GCGCUAGGGUUCUUAUACAAACUGCAAGAAUACAAUCACAACUUCUAACUCCUACAAAUCAGCUAAGUAAAUAUUUGUACAAAGGGAAAGAAUAAAUCACUGAUAGUCAAUGAUUAUCAUGCUACCAAAUAGGAAGGAAACUAAUCAUAUCUCAACAGUUACAGACUUCUAACAGAACGCAAAGAACCUUCCGACGUAUGCCUCGACCUUCACCCGGCAACGAUUUCUGGCGAGCAACCGGGCAAGAAGACAGAUGCUGCAUCUCCAGAGACAAUGCUACUUGUAAAGAGGAGAGGACUAACCCACAAGUUAUGACAAACCUACCAAUAUUAAAUUUCAAUAUCUCGAGUCCAUGUGGAUGGUACGACAAUUUGAUCCAUACAUACAACAAAGACACACACAAGAAAGAAAAAUUUGGCCAACCGUUAAAAACAAACUGAGAUCAAAGAAAUCAAACAAUAAGGUACAUCAAUACAUUAAAUUAUAUGCAAUGCCUGCUGACAUCUCGGAAAUAUACCAACUAAACAGCAUACAACAACAACAACAACAACAACAAAGCCUUUUCCCACUAAGUGGGGUCGGCUAUAUGAAUCCUAGAACACCAUUGCGCUCGGUUUUGUGUCAUGUCCUCCGUUAGAUCCAAGUACUCAAGUCUUUUCUUAGGGUCUCUUCCAAAGUUUUCCUAGGUCUUCCUCUACCCCUUCAGCCCUGAACCUCUGUCCCGUAGUCACAUUUUCGAACCGGAGCGUCAGUAGGCCUUCUUUGCACAUGUCCAAACCACCGGAACCGAUUUUCUCUCAUAUUUCCUUCAAUUUUGGCUACUCCUCCUUUACCUCGGAUAUCCUCAUUCCCAAUCUUAUCCUUUCUCGUGUGCCCAUACAUCCCACGAAGCAUCCUCAUCUCCGCUACACCCAUUUUGUGUACGUGUUGAUGCUUCACCACCCAACAUUCUGUGUCAUACAACAUCGCUGGCCUUAUUGCCGUCCUAUAAAAUUUUCCCUUGAGCUUCAAUGGCCUACGACGGUCACCCAACACGCCGGAUACACUCUUACACUUCAUCCAUCCAGCAUUUUAUGGUUGAGAUCUCCAUCUAAUUCUCCGUUCUCUUGCAAGAUAGAUCCUAGGUAGCGAAAACGGUCACUUUUUGUGAUCUUCGCUAGAUUGCUCCGGUCAUUAGUGUGGAUAAGUAUAUAAAUGGAUAGAGAUAGGAAAGCAAACAUAAGAUGUACGUGGUUCACCCAGAUUGGCUAAGUCCACGGAAUAGAGGAGUUCUCAUUAAUUGUGAAGGGUUUACACAAGUACAUAGGUUCAAGCUCUCCUUUAGGGAGUACAGGUGAAUGAUUUAGUACAAAUGACAUUAGGAAAUAUUGUGGGAGAAUGAUCUCGUAACCACGAAACUUCUAAGUACCGGAGUGUGGUAUCGUCUUAACUUUCCUUAUCAUUCUCAUAGGUAGAUGUGACAUCUUCUCUGGAAGUACUCUUCCUCCAUCCAGGGGUGGUAUCUGUAACUGGUGGAGAUGCACAAGGUAAUGUAUCAAUGUCACUUGAAGCUUACUUGUAGUUUCAGGCUUGGUCAAGCGCGAUACAAACCAUGUAGUAGGAGUCCCCCAAGUCGCCGAGCUAGGGGAUCUGCUGAAAGAGGUAACAGACAAGGUAAACAAUCAGAGCUCCGACUGAUUGUUCACAUUCUCCCUAUCUUGCAGGCAACAUGAAGGAUAAAGAGAAGAAAAAUGAGAAGAGAUGAUAUGGGAUACUUUUGCUUUUGAAGAAGUAACUUUCCACAGGCUUAUUCUUAAAUUGGGCUGGAGGGUUUUCUGGUUUCCUCCAGAGUAUAAGGCCGACUGAAGAAUUUGAAGGUCAAAACAAGUCCAUCAAAUCUAGAGUACGUUCGACCCUGCUGAUAUGGGAUACUUUUGCUUUUGACAGAGUAGUGGAUGUAUCGGCACGUGUGCUGUUACGCUUGUCUCCACAUGCUUCCUUGUAUCCUUCUCACUUGCCCUAUCUGUUCCUCAGGCAGAUGCGGUAUCUUCCCUAGAAGCAUAAGAUGUUGAAGAUGAGUACUCGAGAGCAAUGCCAGGUAAGUAAUCAGGUAAGGGGUUCCAGGCAGUCAGUUCCUGGCUGGAAGCUUGAUUCCAAGUGCUGACUGAUUGCUCUCUUUCUCCUUGUCUUGCAGGUAAGAACAAGGCCAAAGGAAAAGACAGGGAAAAAGCAUGAUAUGGGAUACUCUUGCUUUUAACCCUGAUGAUAUGAGAUAUUCUUGCUCUAGUAUAGCUUGUUUACAGAGGUAUUAUCGGGGGGAAAGAAAGCUGAAUAUUUCGAAAGGCUUCAUUGGGAGUGCCCUCUCAGAUAAGAGGAAGGGUUGAGCAUUUUUGCAGGUCUGCCUGUCCGUUGGGGAUGGAGGUCGACAUAUAUAGGAGUCUCCCUAACAUCAAGUAAUAAUGUUAUUCCUUUACCCUGCUUGGUCAUAGCACGGUAGUGGGAGCUGCCAACUUCACAAGUUUUAACUCUGUCAGAGCAAUUUGAAAAAGUGGUCUGUGGUAUCUGGAAAGCUGAUGUUGUGUGUGAAGAUUACAGACAAGCUUUAUCCAAGGAGAUCCGGCUCUUGAAGUUGGGAAAGUGGUGCCUCUUCGGUUUUCGAACAAGCAAUCCUGUCGGGGAUCUGGCUCUCGAGAUUCGGAGAACGAUGCCUCUUCGAUUUUUGAGAAAGCAAUCCUGCUGGGGGUCUGGCUCUCGAGAUUCGGAGAGCGGUGUCUUCGAUUUUUGAGAAAGUAAUCAUGUUGGAAGUCUGGCUCUCGAGAUUCGGAGGGCGGUGCCUCUUCGAUUUUAGAGCAAGCAAUCUUGUUGGGAGUGUUUUCUCGAAUGUGAGUAAAGGUUGGGCAUGUUUGCUAGUCUACCUUGCCACGAAACACAGAGGUUAACACACAGGGAAUUUCCAAUUAUCCAGCAGUGGUACUGUUCUCUUACCCUCUCUUCGAUUUUUGAGAAAGUAAUCAUGUUAGGAGUCUGGCUCUCGAGAUUCGGAGGGCGGUGCCUCUUCGAUUUUGGAGCAAGCAAUCUUGUUGGGGGUGUUUUCUUGAAUGUGAGUAAAGGUUGGGCAUGUUUGCUAGUCUACCUUGCCACGAAGCACAGAGGUUGACACACAGGGACUUUCCAAUUAUCCAGCAGUGGUACUGUUUCUUUACCCUCUCUUCGAUUUUUGAGAAAGUAAUCAUGGUGGGAUUCUGGCUUUCGAGAUUCGGAGGGCGAUGCCUCUUCGAUUUUGGUGCAAGCAAUCUUGUUGGGAGUGUUUUCUCGAAUGUGAGUAAAGGUUGGGCAUGUUUGCUAGUCUACCUUGCCACGAAGCACAGAGGUUGACACACCGGGACUUUCCAAUUAUCCAGCAGUGGUACUGUUCCUUUACCCUUGUGGGUAAUAAUAUGGUAGCUAGGCCUUCAAAAUUUAUGUGUCUAAACUUUGUUAGUGUUGUUUCUUUGCUAUUCUUUUACCCUUCUUGGUCAGAGCGAUGUAGUGAGAGCUGUAAGCUUCACGUGUCUCAACUUUGUCAGAGAAUUUUGGCAAAGUUAUAUGUGAUACCCAUGAGCUACUGUUGCGUGUGGGAAGUGGGUGAUUGAACAGUACGAUUCAUGUGCUUUCUACCUCGCCAGAAAUCUUCGACAGAAUGCCCAUAAUUUCCGCAAAGCUGAGUGUGCGUGUGACAGGUGCUGACAAGGCUGGAAAAGUAGUCUCAACUUUGUCAGAGAACUUUGGCAAAGUUAUAUGUGGUACCCAUGAGCUACUGUUGCGUGUGGGUAGUGGGUGAUUGAAUAGUACGAUUCAUGUGCUUUCUACUUCGCCAAAAAUCUUCGACAGAAUGCCCAUAAUUUCCGCAAAGCUGAGUGCGUGUGACAGGUGCUGACAAGGCUGGAAAAGUAGGUGCCUCUUCGAUUUCUGAGAUCGGCCCUCGUGGUCUCUGAGCAGCCCAGCUUUUGAGAAAGCAAACCUCUUCGAUUUUUGAGAUCGGCCCUUGUGGUCUAUGAGCAGCCCAGCUUUUGAGAAAGCAAACCUCUUCGAUUUCUGAGAUCGGCCUUCGUGGUCUUUGAGCAGCCCAGCUUUUGAGAAAGCAAACGCCUCUUCGAUUUCUGAGAUCGACCCUCGUGGUCUCUGAGCCGCCCAGCUUUUGAGAAAGCAAACGCCUCUUCGAUUUCUGAGCAGGCGCCUCUUCGAUUUCUGAAGCUUCGUCGAGUGCAGAUUUUUAUAGGGGCUGACAUUAAGUUCCAAAGCACACUUGAAUAUCCACCAGUAGAAGCUCCAUUCUUGCACUUCUAAGAUCUUGAUUUGUCCGACCUUUUCUCUCUUCAACACCUUUGAAAAUGUCUGGCCCCUCCGACCGUCGUUUUGACUUGAACCUUGUUGAAGAGGCAACCCCGCCUUCUCUAGACAACAUAUGGCGCCCAUCCUUCGUCUCCUCUACUGGUCCUCUUACCGUUGGGGAUUCCGUGAUGAAUAAUGAUAUGACCGCUACGGGUGUGGCCAGGAAACUUCUCACUCCCAAAGAUAACAGACUACUUUCCAAACGGUCUGAUGAGUUGGCUGUUAAGGAUUCUCUGGCUCUUAGUGUUCAGUGUGCAUGUUCUGUGUCUAAUAUGGCCCAACGCCUAUUUGCUCGAACCCGCCAAGUUGAAUCAUUGGCUGCUGAAGUGAUGAGUCUCAAACAAGAGAUUAGAGGGCUCAAGCAUGAGAAUAAACAGUUGCACCGGCUCGCACAUGACUAUGCUACAAACAUGAAGAGGAAGCUUGACCAGAUGAAGGAAUCUGAUGGUCAGGUUUUACUUGAUCAUCAGAGUUUUGUGGGUUUGUUCCAAAGGCAUUUAUUGCCUUCGUCUUCUGGGGCUGUACCGCGUAAUGAAGCUCCAAAUGAUCAACCUCUGAUGCCUCCUCCUUCUAGGGUUCUGUCCAGUACUGAGGCUCCGAAUGAUCCCCCUCCGGUGCCUUCUCUUUCUGGGGCUCUACCGACUGCUGAGACUUCUCCUAAGCAACCUUUGUGAAGGCUCCCUCUUGUUUGUUUAUUUUGACUCAAGUAUAUGUACAUAUUUGUAACUUAUCGGGGAUAUCAAUAAAUAAGCUUUCCUUCAUUUCAACGUAUUGUGUUAAAUCACCAAAGCCUUCUUCGCUAAGUUCUUUGAAUUUUCUUUUGUUGAAGCUUGUAUGUUGAAGCUUUGUGAAUGGAGCAUGUAGGUUGAGGUAGUGUUCCCUUAAUUUCCCGAGCGAUGACAACUUCUCGGUUGGAGACUUGGAAAAUCCAAGUCACUGAGUGGGAUCGACUAUAUGAAUCUUAGAACGCCAUUGUGUUCUGUCCUAUGUCAUGUCAUCCGUUAGAUCCAAGUACUCUAAGUCUUUUCUUAGGGUCUCUCUCAAAGUUUUCCUAGGUCUUCCUCUACCCCUUCGGCCCUGAACCUCUGUCCACAAACCAAAACCGAAAAAGUUCCUACCAAUAUUUAUUUAGCAACAUGUAAUCUCAUGAUCUCAUGUGUAAGUGAGGAACAAGGUCCAGAGCCGGACUGACCGAUACGCUGAUGGGGCACAACUCAAAAUGACCUAUUCGGAUUUGAAGAAGAUGACUUGGCUUUUGCAAAAUCAACUAGAUCCUUGAAAAGAGCAUCUUCCUGUUUUACUUGUUUUGUUGGGGUAGACGAAUUAAGGGAGAGAUUCUGAGUCUGUCCCACUAAGUUGUCAUAAGAUGAACCAGAUCCACUGCCUGGAACGCCUUGUUUCUCAAAAAACUGUUGUCUCUGGUUAUACCUGGAAGGCGGAGGUGGAAGGCUGACAGGAGAUUGACCAUUGCCAGGAGACUGAGGAUUCCCCAGAGACUGAGUAUCCCAAGGAGCAGGAGGUAGCCCAUCUAUAGAUUUGCUUCUAGGAGCCGGUUCAUCAUAUACAGGCUUUCCAGUGAAUAUAGGUGAUGGAGUUGUGUUUUGGGAAGAAGGGUGUGAAGGUGAUAGUGGAGUCAAUCGUGAGGUGGAGCUGGAAUGAACUGGAGCGGCAAAAGAUGUGGAUUCUGAUGUUGCAGAGGAUCCUUCAGAUUUGUAGGCUUCUCCACUGAGAUAAUCAAUCACACCAGGACCUAGAGUGAUUGGCCUUUGCGAAGACGGUGGAAGAGGAAGAAGUGGGCUGACUUGCACAGGUUCAGCCUUGGCAUUGGCUGAUCUCUGGCCCUGUCCUUGUGAAUUAUCUCUUGAUGACCUGCAAUGCAUCUUACCGAAUUUUACUAAGAGGAUAAGAAUAUUAAAAGUAAAAAACUAACAGAACUUGCAAUAUUCAUAUUCUGAAGCGCACACAUACAAGUAAAAUUGGUAGAAACAAAAACAAGUGAGAAUGAAAUGACAAUGCAAAUAAAACUUAGAAGUGUUCCUCUAACAAUCACCUGUGCGCUAGUUGGGAAAAUUCAUCCUCAGACACAUCAUCCUCAUGGUUCACAUUCACAAGUGGCACAACUGAAGAUUCUGCUCCUCUUACUGUAGUUGUAGUUCCUUUCACAAUAUCGUCAUGCCGAGAAAUUACACGCUGCAGAUCAUCGUUCAGUGCCAAUCCCUGACAUAGAAGCUCCUCAUCUCUGAGAGGAGAGCAACCACAACUGUCACUAUUGCAUCAAAUGUAUGAGUAAAACUCAAAUCCAUAUCAAAUCACUUACGCAGUCUCAUUCACAAGAAGCCUGACACGCUUUUGGUAUGAACGGCACUGAUCAACAAGGUCAACAAUCACUUCUUCCUUCAAACCCUGCCAUAGUAUUUCAUUUUGACCAUUUAUGACCAUUAAAUUUGCACACAUUAAAAGCCCGGAUGGUAAUAUUACGAUUUUGGUUCAUUUUUUAUUUUUAGUAAAAGCCGAAGAGGAAUUGUAUGGAGAAAAUAGGGAGAAAGAAAGGGCUCAGAUGGAUGAGCAUUAAAAUGAAUAUGGAACGGUAUUUAAACCACAAAUUAAAUCAAUCUCAACUAUUCUAUUUUCUCCUUCAAGUUUUUAUUUCACCCAUUCCCCUUCAAUCAUCCAUACCUCCUCCCUUCUACAAGCACAAGAAAAGUGCAGCCCUUAAAGGUACUAAUUUGCGAGUAAUUAACCACCUAAUUCCAACUCUGCUAAAAGUCCCAACUUCAAAAAAUUUUACAAUCACAGUAAUUGACACCUCUGGAUAGCUAGCCUUAUAAAUAAAGUUUUGUUAUCAAUAUAUCUCCUCAAAUAAUUUACAUACAGUGCAUAAGUAAGGAAAAGUAUGGACCAUAAAUAUUCUCCACAAUUGACCAUAUACAACUUUCAGAAUUUUCUACUGUGGGCACAUAUGAAACUUUCACCGCUAGAGAACUCCACACACAAAAACAAAAAAAUAGAAUCAUUGGCCUCUCAACAAAAAAAAAAUUCUAGAAAAACAUAAAUAAGAAAUUAUCCUUUAAUAAUACCUUUUUGGAAAGAAAUUAAUCAGAAGUAAAAAAAUAAGGUAGAAAAUAUAUUACCUCAGGAUUCUUAGCAUCCAAGGCAUUAAGCAUUUCCAUCAACACAUCUGCAAUUCCACGAGCAUACUGAAUCUCUGGCAAGCUGAUUAAAGACAGUUCCAAUCAGGAUGGAUCUAUCAUAGCUUCAAUAAUAAUUCAGACAAUUUUUACCAAAAAUAAAAAAGCAUCCCAAAGCAUAAAAAACAGAUAGCAUCUGUUACAAUAUCAUUAUGUUGGAAUUGUCUGUAUAGGUAAUUAUGGGGGAUUCGGGAAAGAUGGAAUAACUAUACAACAACAACAAAGCCUUUUCCCACUAAGUGGGGUCGGCUAUAUGAAUCCUAGAACGCCAUUGCGCUUGGUUUUGUGUCAUGUCCUCCGUUAGAUCCAAGUACUCUAAGUCUUUUCUUAGGGUCUCUUCCAAAGUUUUCUUAGGUCUUCCUCUACCCCUUCGGCCCUGAACCUCUGUCCCGUGGUCACAUCUUCGAACCGGAGCGUCAGUAGGCCUUCUUUGCACAUGUCCAAACCACCGUAACCGAUUUUCUCUCCUCUUUCCUUCAAUUUCGGCUACUCCUACUUUACCUCGGAUAUCCUCAUUCCUAAUCUUAUCCUUUCUCGUGUGCCCACACAUCCAACGAAGCAUCCUCAUCUCCACUACACCUACGUGUUGAUGCCUCACCGCCCAACAUUCUAUGCCAUACAGCAUUGCCGGCCUUAUUGCCGUCCUAUAAAAUUUUCCCUUGAGCUUCAGUGGCCUACGACGGUCACACAACACGCCGGAUGCACUCUUCCACUUCAUCCAUCCAGCUUGUAUUCUAUGGGUGAGAUCUCCAUCAAAUUCUCCAUCUUUUGCAAGAUAGAUCCUAGGUAGCGAAAACGGUCGCUCUUUGGUAUUUCCUGAUCUCCGAUCCUCACCCCUAACUCAUUUUGGCCUCCGUUUGCACUGAACUUGCACUCCAUAUAUUCUGUCUUUGAUCGGCUUAGGCAAGGACCUUUAGAUUCCAACACUUCUCUCCAAAGGUUAAGCUUCGCAUUUACCCCUUCCUACGUUUCAUCUAUCAACACUAUAUCGUUUGCGAAAAGCAUACACCAAAGAAUAUCAUCUUAAAUAUUAAGUUUGUGAUCUUCGCUAGAUUGCUCCGGUCAUUAGUGUGGAUAAGUAUGUAAAUGGAUAGAGACAGGAAGCAAACACAAGAUGUACGUGGUUCACCCAGAUUGGCUACGUCCACGGAGUAAAGGAGUUUUCAUUAAUUGUGAAGGGUUUACAUAGUAUAUAGGUUCAAGCUCUCCUUUAGUGAGUACAAGUGAAUGAUUUAGUACGGAUGACAUUAGGAAAUAUUGUGGAAGAAUGAUCUCGUAAUCACGAAACUUUUAAGUACCGAAGUGUGGUAUCGUCUUCACUUGCCUUAUCUGUGUCAUAGGUAGAUGUGGCAUCUUCUUUGGAAGUACUCUUCCUCCCUCCAGGGGUGGUAUCUUUAACUGGUGGAGAUGCACAAGGUAAUGUAUCAAUUUCACUUGACGCUUACUUGUAGUUUCAGGCUUGGUCAAGCGCGAUACAAACCAUGUAGUAGGAGUCCCCCAAGUCGCCGAGCUAGGGGAUCUGCUGAAAGAGGUGACAAACAAGGUAAGCAAUCAGAGAUCCAAGCAAUCAGUCCCAUAUCAGAAGUUUGAUUUCGAGUUCCGGCUGAUUGUUAUCAUUCUCCUUAUCUUGCAGGUAGCAUGAAGGAUAAAGAGAAGAAAAUGAGAAAAGGUGAUAUGAGAUAUUUUUGCUUUUGAAGAAGUAACUUUCCAUAGGCUUAUUCUUGAACUGAGCUGGAGGGUUUUCUUGUUUCCGCCAGAGUAUAAGGCCGACUGAAGAAUUUGAGGGUCAAAACAAGUCCAUCAAAUCUAGAGUACGUUCGACCCUGCUGAUAUGGGAUACUUUUGCCGUUGGCAAAGUAGUGGAUGUAUCGACACGUGUUCUGUUGCGCUUGUCUCCACAUGCUUCCUUGUAUCCUUCUCACUUGCCCUAUUUGUUCCUCAGGCAGAUGUGGUAUCUUCUCGGGAAGCAUAAGAUGUUGAAGAUGAGUACUCGAGAGCAAUGGGGUUCCAGGCAGUCAGUUCCGGACUAGAAGCUUGAUUCCAAGUGUUGACUGAUUGCUAUCUUUCUCCUUGUCUUGCAGGUAUAACAAGGCCAAAGGAAAAGACGGGGAAAAAGCAUGAUAUGGGAUACUCUUGCUUUUAACCCUGAUGAUAUGAGAUAUUCUUGCUCUAGUGUAGCUUGUUUGUAGAGGUAUUCUCGGGGGGAAAGAAAGCUGAGUAUUCCGAGAGGCUUCGUUGGGAGUGCCCUCUCAGAUAUGAGGAAGGGUUGAGCAUUUUUGCAGGUCUGCCUGUCCGUUGAGGAUGAAGGUCGACAUAUAUAGGAGUCUCCCUAACAAGGAGUAAUACUAUUCUUUUACCCUGCUUGGUCAUAGCACGGUAGUGGGAGCUGCCAACUUCACGUGUUUUAACUCUGUCAGAGCACUUUGAAAAAAUGGUCUGUGGUAUCUGGAAAGCUGAUGUUACGUGUGAAGAUUACAGACAAGCUUUAUCCAAGGAGAUCUAGCUCUCGAAGUUGAGAAAGCGAUGUGAGGAUUACAGACAAGCUUUAUCUAAGGGGCUCUCGAAGUUGAGAAAGCAGUGGCUCUUCGGUUUUCUAACAAGCAAUCCUGUCGGGGAUCUGUCUCUCGAGAUUCGGAGAACGGUGCCUCUUCGAUUUUUGAGAAAGCAAUCUUGCUAGGAGUCUGGCUCUCGAGAUUCAGAGAGCGGUGUCUCGUCGCUUUUUGAGAAAGUAAUCAUGUUGGGAGUCUGGCUCUCGAGAUUCGGAGGACGGUGUCUCUUCGAUCUUGAAGCAAGCAAUCUUGUUGGAGUGUUUUCUCGAAUGUGAGUAAAGGUUAGGCCUGUUUGCUAGUCUACCUUGCCACGGAGCACAGAGGUUGACCCACAAGGACUUUCCAAUUAUCCAGCAAUGGUCCUGUUCUUUUACCCUUGUGGGUAAUAAUAUGGUAGCUAGACCUUCAAAAUUUAUGUGUCUAAACUUUGUUAGUGCUGUUUCUUUGCUAUUCUUUUACCCUUCUUGGUCAUAGCGAUGUAAUGGGAGCUGCAAGCUUCACGUGUCUAAACUUUGUCAGAGAUUUUUGGCAAAGUUAUCUGUGGUACUCGUGAGCUGAUGUUGCGUGUGGAAAGUGAAUGAUUGAACAGUAACAUUCACGUGCUUUCUACUUCACUAGAAAUCUUUGACAGAAUGCCCGUAAUUUCUGCAAAGUUGAGUGUGCAUGUGACAGGUGCUGACAAGGCUGAAAAAGCAGGUGCCUCUUCGAUUUCUGAGAUCGACCCUCGUGGUCUCUGAGCAGCCCAGCUUUUGAGAAAGCAAGCGCAUCUUCGAUUUCUGCGAUCGACCUUCAUGGUCUUUGAGCAGCCCAGCUUUUGAGAAAGCAAACGCCUCUUCGAUUCCUGAGAUCGGCCCUCGUGGUCUCUGACCAGCCCAACUUUUGAGAAAGCAAACGCCUUUUCGAUUUCUGAGCAGACGCCUCUUCGAUUUCUGAAGCUCCAUCGAGUGCGGAUUUUUAUAAAGGCUGGUAUUAAGUUCCAAAGCACACUUGAAUCUUCACCAGUAGAAGCUCCCUUCUUGCAUUUCUAAGAUCUUGAUUUGUCCGACCUCUUUUCUCUUCAACACCUUUGAAAAUGUCUGGCCCCUCCAACCGUCGUUUUGACUUGAACCUUGUUGAAGAGGCAGCCAUGCCUUCUCUAGACAACAUAUGGCGCCCAUCCUUCUUAUCUCCUACUGGUCCUCUUACCAUUGGGGAUUCCGUGAUGAAGAAUGAUAUGACCGCUGCGGUGGUGGCCAGGAACCUUCUCACUCCCAAAGAUAACAGACUACUUUCUAAACGGUCUGAUGAGUUGGCUGUUAAGGAUUCUCUGGCUCUCAGUGUUCAGUGUGCAGGUUCUGUGUCUAAUAUGGCCCAACGCCUAUUUGCUCGAACCCGCCAAGUUGAAUCAUUGGCGGCUGAAGUGAUGAGUCUCAAACAGGAGAUUAGAGGGCUCAAGCAUGAGAAUAAACAGUUGCACCGACUCGCUCAUGACUAUGCUACAAACAUGAAGAAGAAGCUUGACCAGAUGAAGGAAUCUGAUGGUCAGAUUUUACAUGAUCAUCAGAGGUUUGUGGGUUUGUUCCAAAGGCAUUUAUUGCCUUUGUCUUCUGGGGCUGUACCGCGUAAUGAAGCUCCAAAUGAUCAACCUCCGAUGCCUCCUCCUUCUAGGGUGCUGUCCAGUACUGAGGCUUCGAAUGAUCCCCCUCCGGUGCCUUCUCUUUCUGGGGCUCUGCCGACUGCUUAGACUUCUCCUAAGCAACUUUUGUGAAGGCUCCCUCUUGUUUGUUUAUUUUGAUUCGUGUAUAUGUACAAAGAAGAUAAAUGAUUUGAAGUCUAUUGUUCAAUUUCUUAUUAGCACAAAAUUCAAUCAAGCAAGGAUGAAUUCUUUCAUAAAUUACAGUUACGGAUCAUGACAUUCAACAAGCAGUAGCUGAAAUAAUUGUACAAGCAUAAAAAAUAUAUGCCGAUUGACAUCUCUUACUAAAGAUUAAGACCCUAGGACUGACGGGACUUAUAAUAGUAAGGAUGUAAGAGACAUCCUCAUGUCAAGGGGAGAAUUGAUGAAUACUUGACAAGGUUAAGGCCUUUCAGAUAUAUAGUCAAAUUUUUCUGCAGUAUUAAAGCAUGCACAACACAUUCAAAUUUGAUAAUGAGAAAGGUAUAAAAUUUUUUUUUUUUUGAAGAAGUUGAAGAAAUAAAAAAUGAAAGAGAAACAAUCGAAUCGCCAAUUUAUGCAGUACAACAUAUGUAGAACAUGUCAUACUGAGGGUUUUAAUCCUGGGACAUUUUCCAAUUGCCUACAAAUAUUUUUAACCUCUCUCAUGCAAUCAACACGCAAGUUUAUAGUUGUGACAAACAUGCAUGUGAAGGAAACAAUAAUUGUUUGAACAGGGAAUAAAUACCAUACUCAAAAGGCCCAAAAAUGUAUGUUUCCAAGAAAACCAUAUUCUCAGCUAGUACCUAAGGCCCGAUGCAUCCGACUGGAGAGAAGCCUGAAUGGCAGCAUCAUCAUAUGAUGUAACAGGAGAAACUACUGGCUGGGUCUGGGGCGGAGUAAAUAUUGGUACACUGUUCUCUUCUCUUGGUGGAAAUUCAACUCCUGCAGACUGUCGGUUAUUCAUUAAGAGAGUUAGGGUGGAAGAAGAAACAGAAUAAAGAGAAAAUAAUUAAAAUCCACAGUUAUACUAAAUAUUGAAUAGCAAGCUUUCCCAUAACUGUAGGAUUACAUCAAGGCUCAUCCUUAAGUCCUUACCUUUUUGCGUUGGUAAUGGAUGAGUUAACAGGACAUAUUCAAGAUGAUAUUCCUUGGUGUAUGCUUUUCGCAGACGAUAUAGUGUUGAUAGACGAAACUCAGGAAGGGGUAAAUGCAAAGCUUAACCUUUGGAAAGAAGUGUUGGAAUAUAAAGGUCUUCGCCUAAGCCGAUCAAAGACAGAAUAUAUGGAGUGCAAGUUCAGUGCAAAUGGAGGCCAAAACGAGUUAGGGGUGAGGAUCGGAGAUCAAGAAAUACCAAAGAGCGACCGUUUUCGUUACCUAGGAUCUAUCUUGCAAAAGAACGGAGAUUAGAUGGAGAUCUCAACCAUAGAAUACAAGCUGGAUGGAUGAAGUGGAAGAGUGCAUCCGGCGUGUUGUGUGACCGCCGUAUGCCACUGAAGCUCAAGGGAAAAUUUUAUAGGACGGCAAUAAGGUCGGCGAUGCUGUAUGGCACAGAAUGUUGGGCGGUGAAACAUCAACACGUACACAAAAUGGGUGUAGCGGAGAUGAGGAUGCUUCGUUGGAUGUGUGGGCACACGAGAAAGGAUAAGAUUAGGAAUGAGGAUAUCCGGGGUAAAGUAGGAGUAGCCGAAAUUGAAGGAAAGAUGAGAGAAAAUCGGUUACGGUGGUUUGGACAUGUGCAAAGAAGGCCUACUGACGCUCCGAUUAGAAGAUGCGACUAUGGGACAGAGGUUCAGGGCCGAAGGGGUAGAGGAAGACCUAGGAAAACUUUGGAAGAGACUCUAAGAAAAGACUUAGAGUACUUGGAUCUAACGAAGGACAUGACACAGGAUCGAGCACAAUGGCGUUCUAAGAUUCAUAUAGCCGAUCCCACUCAGUGACUUGGAUUUUCCAAGUCUCCAACCGAGAAGUUUUCCUCACUCGGAAAAUUAAGGGAACACUACCCCAACCUACCUACAUGCUCCACUCAGAAAGCUUCAACAUACAAGCUUCAACAAAAGAAAAUUCAAAGAACUUAGCGAAGAAGGCUUUGGUGUAUUUAACACAAUACGUUGAAAUGAAGGAAAACUUAUUUAUUGAUAUCCCCGAUAAGCUACAAAUAUGUACAUAUACAUGAGUCAAAAUAAACACACAAGAGGGAGCCUUCACAAAGGUUGCUUAGGAGAAGUCUCAGCAGUCGGUAGAGCCCCAGAAAGAGAAGGCACCGGAGGGGGAUCAUUUGGAGCCUCAGUACUGGACAGAACCCUAGAAGGAGGAGGCAUCAGAGGUUGAUCAUUUGGAGCUUCAUUACGCGGUACAGCCCCAGAAGACGAAGGCAAUAAAUGCCUUUGGAACAAACCCACAAAUCUCUGAUGAUCAAGUAAAACCUGACCAUCAGUUUCCUUCAUCUGGUCAAGCUUCCUCUUCAUGUUUGUAGCAUAGUCAUGUGCGAGCCGGUGCAACUGUUUAUUCUCAUGCUUGAGCCCUCUAAUCUCCUGUUUGAGACUCAUCACUUCAGCCGCCAAUGAUUCAACUUGGCGGGUUCGAGCAAAUAGGCGUUGGGCCAUAUUAGACACAGAACCUGCACACUGAACACUGAGAGCCAGCGAAUCCUUAACAGCUAACUCAUCAGACCGUUUGGAAAGUAGUCUGUUAUCUUUGGGAGUGAGAAGGUUCCUGGCCACCACCGCAGCGGUCAUAUCAUUCUUCAUCACGGAAUCCCCAACGGUAAGAGGACCAGUAGGGGAGACGAAGGAUGGGCGCCAUAUGUUGUCUGGAGAAGGCGGGGCUGCCUCUUCAACAAGGUUCAAGUCAAAACGACGGUCGGAGGGGCCAGACAUUUUCAAAGGUGUUGAAGAGAGAAGAGGUCGGACAAAUCAAGAUCUUAGAAGUGCAAGAAUGAAGCUUCUACUGGUGGAGAUUCAAGUGUGCUUUGGAACUUAAUGCCAGCCCCUAUAAAAAUCUGCACUCGACGGAGCUUCAGAAAUCGAAGAGGCGCCUGCUCAGAAAUCGAAGAGGCGUUUGCUUUCUCAAAAGCUGGGCUGCUUAGAGAUCACGAGGGUUGAUCUCAGAAAUCGAAGAGGCGUUUGCUUUCUCAAAAGUUGGGCUGCUCAAAGACCACGAAGGCCGAUCUCAGAAAUCGAAGAGGCGCUCGCUUUCUCAAAAGCUGGGCUCCCCAGAGACCACGAGGGCCGAUCUCAGAAAUCGAAGAGGCACCUACUUUUCCAGCCUUGUCAGCACCUGUCACACGCACACUCAGCUUUGCGGAAAUUAUGGGCAUUCUGUCGAAGACUUCUGAGGGAAGUAGAAAACACACAUGAAUCUUACUGUUCAAUCAUCCCACUUCCCACACGCAACAAUAGCUCAUGGGUACCACAGAAAAACUUUGCCAAAGUUCUCUGCCAAAGUUGAGCACGUGAAGCUUGCAGCUCCCACUACAUCGCUCUGACCAAGAAAGGGUAAAAGAAUAGCAAAGAAACAGCACUAACAAAGUUUAGACCCAUAAAUUUUGAAGGUCUAGCUACCAUAUUAUUACCCACAAGGGUAAAGGAACAGUACCACUGCUGGAUAAUUGGAAAGUCCCUGUGUGUCAACCUCUGUGCUUCGUGGCAAGGUAGACUAGCAAACAUGCCCAACCUUUACUCACAUUCGAGAAAACACUCCCAAUAAGAUUGCUUGCUCCAAAAUCGAAGAGGCACCGUCCUCCGAAUCUCGAGAGCCAGACUCCCAACAUGAAUACUUUCAAAAAAAUCGAAGAGAGGGUAAAGGAACAGUACCAUUGCUGGAUAAUUGGAAAGUCCCUGUGUGUCAACCUCUGUGCUUCGUGGCAAGGUAGACUAGCAAACAUGCCCAACCUUUACUCACAUUCGAGAAAACACUCCCAACAAAGAUUGCUUGCUCCAAAAUCGAAGAGGCACCGCCCUCCGAAUCUCGAGAGCCAGACUCCCAACAUGAUUACUUUCUCAAAAAUCGAAGAGACACUGCUCCCCGAAUCUUCGAGAGCCAGACCCCCAGCAUGAUUGCUUUCUCAAAAAUCGAUGAGGCAUCGUUCUCCGAAUCAAUCGAAGAGGCGCUCGCUUUCUCAAAAGCUGGGCUGCUCAGAGACCACGAGGGCCGAUCUCAGAGAAAUCGAAGAGGCACCUACUUUUCUAGCCUUGUCAGCACCUGUCACACACGCACACUCAGCUUUGCAGAAAUUAUGGGCAUUCUGUCGAAGACUUCUGGUGAAGUAGAAAGCACAUGAAUCUUACUGUUCAAUCACCCACUUCCCACACGCAACAAUAGCUCAUGGGUACCACAGAUAACUUUGCCAAAGUUCUCUGCCAAAGUUGAGCACGUGAAGCUUGCAGCUCCCACUACAUCGCUCUGACCAAGAAAGGUAAAAGAAUAGCAAAGAAACAGCACUAACAAAGUUUAGACACAUAAAUUUUGAAGGUCUAGCUACCAUAUUAUUAUUACCCACAAGGGUAAAGGAACAGUACCACUGCUGGAUAAUUGGAAAGUCCCCUGUGUGUCAACCUCUGUGCUUCGUGGCAAGGUAGACUAGCAAACAUGCCCAACCUUUACUCACAUUCGAGAAAACACUCCCAACAAGAUUGCUUGCUCCAAAAUCGAAGAGGCACCGUCCUCCGAAUCUCGAGAGCCAGACUCCCAACAUGACUACUUUCUCAAAAUCGAAGAGAGGGUAAAGGAACAGUACCAUUGCUGGAUAAUUGGAAAGUCCCUGUGUGUCAACCUUUGUGCUUCGUGGCAAGGUAGACUAGCAAACAUGCCCAACCUUUACUCACAUUCGAGACAACACUCCCAACAAGAUUGCUUGCUCCAAAAUCGAAGAGGCACCGCCCUCCGAAUCUCGAGAGCCAGACUCCCAACAUGAUUACUUCCUCAAAAAUCGAAGAGACACUGCUCUCCGAAUCUCGAGAGCCAGACCCCCAGCAUGAUUGCUUUCUCAAAAAUCGAAGAGGCAUCGUUCUCCGAAUCUCGAGAGCCAGAUACCACAGACCACUUUUUCAAAGUGCUCUGACAGAGUUAAAACAUGUGAAACUGGCAGCUCCCACUACCGUGCUAUGACCAAGCAGGGUAAAGGAAUAGCAUUACUACUUGUUGUUAGGGAGACUCCUAUAUAUGUCGACCUCCAUCCCCAACGGACAGGCAGACCUGCAAAAAUGCUCAACCCUUCAUCAUAUCUGAGAGGGCACUCCCAACGAAGCCUUUCGAAAUAUUCAGCUUUCUUUCCCCCCGAUAAUACCUCUGCAAACAAGCUAUACUAGAGCAAGAAUAUCUCAUAUCAUCAGGGUUAAAAGCAAGAGUAUCCCAUAUCAUGCUUUUUCCCUGUCUUUUCCUUUUGGCCUUGUUUUUACCUGCAAGACAAGGAGAAAGAGAGCAAUCAGUCAGCACUUGGAAUCAAGCUUCCAGCCAGGAACUGACUGCCUGGAACCCCUUACCUGAUUACUUACCUGGCAUUGCUCUCGAGUACUCAUCUUCAACAUCUUAUGUUUCCAGGGAAGAUUCCGCAUCUGCUUGAGGAACAGAUAGGGCAAGUGCGAAGGAUACAAGGAAGCAUGUGGAGACAAGCGUAACAGCACACGUGCCGAUACAUCCAUUACUCUGUCAAAAGCAAAAGUAUCCCAUAUCAGCAGGGUGGAACGUACUCUAGAUUUGAUGGACUUGUUUUGACCCUCAAAUUCUUCAGUCGGCCUUAUACUCUGGAGGAAACCAGAAAACCCUCCAGCUCAGUUCAAGAAUAAGCCUGUGGAAAGUUACUUCUUCAAAAGCAAAAGUAUCUCAUAUCAUCUCUUCUCAUUUUUUCUUCUCUUUUAUCCUUCAUGCUGUUGCAAGAUGGGGAGAAGGUGAACAAUCAGUCGGAGCUCUGAUUGCUUACCUUGUCUGUCACCUCUUUCAGCAGACCCCCUAGCUCGGCGACUUGGGGGACUCCUACUACAUGGUUUGUAUCGCGCUUGACCAAGCCUGAAACUACAAGUAAGCUUCAAGUGAAAUUGAUACAUUACCUUGUGCAUCUCCACCAGUUAAAGAUACCACCCCUGGAUGGAGGAAGAGUACUUCCAGAGAAUAUGCCACAUCUACCUAUGAGACAGAUAAGGCAAGUCAAGACGACACCACACUCCGAUACUUAGAAGUUUCGUGAUUACGAGAUCAUUCUCCCACAAUAUUUCCUAAUGUCAUUUGUACUAAAUCAUUCACUUGUACUCACUAAAGGAGAGCUUAAACCUAUGUACUUGUGUAAACCCUUCACAAUUAAUGAGAACUCAUCUAUUCCGUGGACGUAGCCAAUCUGGGUGAACCAUGUACAUCUUGUGUUUGCUUUCCUAUCUCUAUCCAUUUAUAUACUUAUCCACACUAAUUACCGGAGCAAUCUAGCGAAGAUCACAAAAAGCGACCGUUUUCGCUACCUAGGAUCUAUCUUGCAAGAGAAUGGAGAAUUAGAUGGAGAUCUCAACCAUAGAAUACGAGCUGGAUGGAUGAAGUGUAAGAAUGCAUCCGGCGUGUUGUGUGACCGUCGUAGGCCACUGAAGCUCAAGGGAAAAUUUUAUAGGACGGCAAUAAGGCCAGCGAUGUUGUAUGACACAGAAUGUUGGGCGGUGAAGCAUCAACACGUACACAAAAUGGGUGUAGCGGAGAUGAGGAUGCUUCGUGGGAUGUGUGGGCACACGAGAAAUGAUAAGAUUGGGAAUGAGGAUAUCCGAGGUAAAGUAGGAGUAGCCGAAAUUGUAGGAAAGAUGAGAGAAAAUCGGCUCCGGUGAUUUGGACAUGUGCAAAGAAGGCCGAAUGACGCUCUGGUUCGAAGAUGUGACUACGGGACAGAGGUUCAGGGCCGAAGGGGUAGAGGAAGACCUAGGAAAACUUUGGAAGAGACUAUAAGAAAAGACUUAAGAGUACUUGGAUCUAACGGAGGACAUGACACAAAACCGAGCGCAAUGGCGUUCUAGGAUUCAUAUAGCCGACCCCACUUAGUGGGAAAAGGCUUUGUUGUUGUUGUUGUUGUAAGCUUAUAAGUAUUGCUGGCCAAAAUGAUGGAAAUGUUAUUUUGGACCUAUUAAACAUCAUCAAAAGGUAGAAAGGUAAAUGCGUUGAAAUCUAAUUGUGUGAAAGCUGAGGCGUAGUUGCCUCUUUUGUCAGACAAGGCAAGGCAUAAGCCUCUCGGACAUGAAAUCUUAUAGGAAGCAAAUAAAUAAUGCAAUACUAAUAAGUUGAAGUGCUAGUGAGUAACUGAAGUAUAAUAAGAAAUCCCAAUAUGACCACAUAUAAGUUAUAACAGUCAUUCAAGCAUAACAACCAAUCACAAAAAUAAAAUACUCAAUUGGUCAUACAAAUAUUCAAAACCCCAAAAGAUAAACUCAGUUCACCACAAUACUUGUGAUGAAUAGAAACUAACAUCACUAUCAUACUGGUCCAACAGACUGAUGUGAUAAGGGACGCAUAGCAGUGACUUGCACUAGAGGAGAGUUUGCAAGAUCACUAUUACUUCCAUUGUUCACAACAUUUACUAUCAUCUGUCAAAGCUGAAGGCACUUGGGCUGAACAUGUUUACCCAUUAAUCUUAACUUAACUAGGUCAUAUAAUUAAACAGAAAUGUUUAAAAACAUGGCCUAUUAAGCAACUCAAAAGAAAGAUGACAGCAAAGAAUGUCACUGAUUGGACCGGGUCAGACUGGUGAUAUCAUAAAUAUAUAACAACAUGAUUCUAUUCUCUAUAUACUAUAUCCAUUCUUCGACAAAUGAAAGAAAUAUCCUAUAAGGCAGUUUUAAAAGGAAAUACUUUUUAGAAGACGGUCUACUUUGAUUAGUAAAUUGAAAAUUAGUAAGAUAGUUCCAUGGGAACACAGCACAAGUACAAAUGCAGUGUACAUAGUACAGAUUACAAACAAAAGCUUAACAUGAGUAUAACAAAGAUGUGAUAAAACAAUUACCCUCAAUUCAUUAUAUGCUGCAUAAUACUGGGGAAAUCUUCCCCUUGGUCCCCCAAAAGCUUCUUGCCAUGUAUCUAUCAAAAUAGUAUCUUUUCCCUAACAUUCAAGUCUGGCUGCAUAAUGGAAUUAGAAUAACAAAGCAGAAAGAAAGUUAGUAUCCUAUUCAUGCACAAACUGGAAAGAAAAAAGGAAGCAACAAGUUAGUGAAAACAGAAAACAAAAGGUUGGGAGAGAAAUGCAGCACCUUCUUCUUUACUAUUUUGACCAUUUCAUGCAAGAUAUCACGCUCAACGAUCUGCUGAAAAACAUUCUCACCACAGUUCUUGCUCACAGUCUCCAAUGCCUGCAUCGAAUAAUAAAUUAGGAGAAGGAAAAAGACACCAUUGCUCAGAAAUGGCUUGUUUUGUGCUGAUGAUAGGCUAAUGCAAGGCAAUCAUUGAACCACAACAGGUCCAUCAUAAAUCACAAAUUUAUUGACAUUUUCACAUGUAUACAUAUUUUGGGAUGGGAAGGGUACCACAAGCUUUACAUCAUGAAUUUAAAAUUUUAAAAGAAAGAUGCAAAAACAUGACAAGAAAUAACACAAAAAAUACUGAAAGUCUCACAAAGAAAAGGAAUAGUACUAACAAAAAGAGCCAGGAGUUGUAUUUUUGGAUUUUUGCUGCCCAGGCGCUUCGUAUCUUCAAGGCCUCUUUUGCUUGCCUGAAAGUUCAAACCAGUUCAUUGGCAAAACAAAGCAUUCCGAAUAUUUAAAUUAGGAAAGAGAUUCUAUGGGAAAAAUAAUCCACAACAAUAGAAAAUAAAGAGGAUAGUCUUCUGCAGAGUUUAAGAGCUAAGAAAUGUCCAACAUAUAAAAGAAAGCCCGAUACACCAAGAUGCUCAUGGAAUCUAUUUGAAAAAUAAAUUACUCCUUCUACGAAGUUUCCAGUUCAUCCCAAAUCAAUGUAGCGAAAGCAUUCUACUACCCUGUCAAUUUUUUAAAGUGUUACUUUUCAGGAGGACAUGAUUUCCUUAUGAGAUGAGCCACAUCUCCCUUUCAGGAGGAGAUCUCCUCUUCUACCAGGAGCCAAGUAUUAAACUUCGUGUGUAUGUGCGUGCACAUGUAUAUAUGAAUACAUAAUAAGCUCUGAGCACUUUAAAGUUUCAACCAACGACUACGAUAUCAAUAUUUCAGAAAAGAUUCAACGUACUCAACAAUUUAAGAAAUGCGAACUCUAAACGGGUGGAUAUACCUAUAUAUAAUAUUCAAUCUAAAAAAUGAAAUUGAGGGAAAACAAAGUAAUCAUACCCAGGGUCAAUAUUGAUAAUAUCACAUAAUUUGCCCAGUCUGGGCCAAUCAACAUAUCACUUGUUGCCCUCUCUGCACAGGCCGCACCAUUACCAGCCAUGUCGUAAUCCCCUUCACGCAAGUCUUUUUCCUUAAAACUUCCUAAAUCAGAAGCCAAAAACAAGUUCAACUACGCGCAAUUCAACAUUUGUGAUGUAAAAGAACUUAAUAAAUGCUAGAAACGGAAGAUCAUAAGACACCUGUAUCACUAAUUAGCUCGAUGUCAGUAAUCUUGUUCAAUUCCAAAAGUUCCACAAAUUAUUUCUUACCCACCAAGACAAAACCUAUGAAAAUCCCAAUUUAAUUACGAUAAUUGAAAACAGCGGAACUAUACAAAAUUGAUCCAGAAAAUAUUAAAAACCCGAAAUCGCAAACAAAUAGGGUCUAUAAACAAAUUCAACUAUCUGCUCAUCCCCAUCACAAAUACGUAUCCCAAAUCAAAAUAACAAACAAUCAGAUCGUCAACAAUGUACGCUUAACACCAAUACAAGUCCCACAUCAAGAAACCCACAAAAAUUUGUGCCCAUAAAACACAGACAAGCAAACCCAAUUGGAUAUUAGUACUAAAAUUGAAAAUCAAAAUUCGAAUUAGCAAGAUAAUGGUCCUGUGCUUAAAGUUAAACCCAGUUGACAAAACGAUCAGAGAAUAAGGGAAAGGAAUGAGAGAUUUAUGCGACCAAACCAUUGCUGAAUGUUUACUUGCUUGAUGCUGCGUGGUUAGGCUUAGUCGACCUCACUCCAUCUUCAUUGCUUUGCUACUUGAAAUGAGGGAUUCCAAACAUAUUGGCGAAGCCGGCCAAUGUACCCUUCAAUCUGUUGGAAAUUCAAAUUAAAAGUCAUGUGAUGUCUAACUAUCUGUCCAUGUGAUGCUAGCUUUUCUUUCCAUGUUGUAUCCCGCAAAUAUAAACAUCAUUACUCCUCCAUCUGUUAACCGAAAGCUGAUUUAAAGACAGCAUAGAUGUGGGCUGCUGUGUGCUAGCCGAAAGGUUGUGUUUGCAAGCUGGAAGGAUGCAAUGCAUGUGUGUGCCAACUAUCCAAAGUUGCUGCAUGUGUUUGAAAGGGUGGAAGGAUGGUAAACACCAUCAUUCAUUACAUGUUGUUGUAUUGUUUAUCAAUUUCUGUUUUGUAUAAAUAGGCCUUCUUGCUAGGCUUUAGAACAUCAAUUCCAUUCCAAUUCCUUUCUCAUUUUCAGCUUGUAAGCUAUUGGUUUUGUAAACUCUCUUUUCAUAUAUCAAAGUCCAAGUGUUUUGCCGAAGCUUGUCCCUCCUUUCUCUAUUUCUUUGUCCAAUUUUAUUGAGAGUGCAAAGUGAGAGGUGUGAUAGAGUUUGUAAACUUAUCAUCCACAUAUUUUGGUAUUGAGUUAGUAAACUUUUCAAUACCAACAAUUGGUAUCAGAGCCAGAAUACCAUUCUGGCAAGUGCAGCAGUUAUGGCAUCCAACUUAGUGCAGCUCCAAGUUCCCACAUUGAAGAAAGAAAAUUAUGAAAGAUGGUGCAUCCAAUUCAAAGCAUUGUUUGGAUCACAAGAGCUAUGGGAAGUUGUCAGUAGUGGGUAUGUUGUACCCACUACCGAGCAAGAAGCCACAUAUACUGCAGAUCAAAGGAACACUCUCAAGGAUUUACGAAAGAAGGACCAGAAGGCGUUGUAUCUUCUCUAUCAAGGAUUAGAAGAUUCAACGUUCGAGAAGGUUGCAGAAGUAACAACGAGCAAGCAAGUAUGGGACACACUCAAUACAAUCUACAAAGGAGUAGAUCGAGUCAAGAAAGUGAGGUUACAGUCACUUCGAGUAGAUUUUGAAACUGCUCACACGAAUGAAGGGGAGAGCAUCUCCGACUAUCACUCAAGGCUCAUUGUGAUGGUAAAUCAGAUGAGGAGAAAUGGCGAGAGACUCGAUGAAGUACGAGUUGUGGAGAAGAUACUCCGGUCACUUACAUCUAAGUUUGAGCAAGUGGUGACUGCCAUUGAGGAAUCUAAGGAUUUGGAGGCGAUGAGCGCAGAUGAGCUACUAGGAUCCCUCCUAGUUCACGAGCAACGCAUUCAGAAGAAUGCAAGCCCCACAACACUAGAGCAAGCUUUGGAGUCAAAAUUGAAAAUUGACAAACCAAAUAAAGGUCGUGGGCAGUGGAACUCACGUCGUGGGAGUUCAUCCAACCGUAGCCGAGGACGAGCCCGAGGAAGAGGUCGAGGCUAUGAACAAAACCGAGGUCAAUCUCAAGAGUGGAGAUAUACCCAAGGAAAGGCGUAUAUCCAAUGUCACACUUGCAAGCAAUAUGGACAUUAUGCAAAUGAAUGUUCAUAUAAAAAUGGUGAGCAUGUCAACAUGGCAGAAUCAAAUGGAAAUGCUGGUGAGGAAUUUACAGUCUUACUAGCACACCAUGAUAUCAGUAGCCAACAAGAUGUUUGGUAUUUAGACUCUGGUGCAAGCAACCACAUGUGUGGAAAGAAAGAGUUUUUUGCAGAACUCAAAGAUGGGCCUUAUGGAUCUGUGAGUCUUGGUGACUCUUCAAGGUUACCAGUUGAAGGCAAAGGAAAGAUCAAAAUCAUCCAGAAGGAUGGUAAAGAAGAAUACAUCUUCGAUACCUACUACAUACCAGGUAUGAAGAGUAACAUUCUGAGCAUUGGUCAACUGCUCCAGAAAAGGGUAUGUUAUACAUAUGGAGGAUAUGUUUCUCACUCUCAGGAAUGCAAGGAGAAAGCUUAUUACAUGUGUUCAAAUGUAAAAAAACCGAAUGUUCCCGUUGAAGUUGAACACAAAGAUUGGGAGUUGCAACAUCGAUGUAAUGGAAGAUGAGUCAUGGAAAUGGCAUCUUCGAUUUGGCCAUCUUCAUUUCAAUGGCCUAAAGUUGUUGUCAAGUGGAGGAAUGGUUCGUGGUCUACCCCAGAUUGAAGCCACAUACAAAGUAUGUGAAGGUUGUGUGCUUGGCAAGCAAGCACGACUAUCAUUCCCUGUUGGUGAUACAUGGAGAGCAAAGGCACCACUGCAGAUGGUACACACGGAUAUAUGUGGUCCAUUGGAUCCUAUGUCUUAUGGAGGUAAUAGGUAUUUUAUUACUUUCAUUGAUGAUUUUAAUAGGAAGACUUGGGUUUAUUUUCUCAAGGAGAAAUCGGCUGCCCUAAGAAUCUUCAAGGAGUUCAAGGCACUCACAGAGGCUGAAAGCAACCACAAGCUUGUGGCUGUGAGAUCAGAUAGAGGUGGAGAGUACACCUCUAAUGCUUUCCAAGCAUACUGCAAGGAGCAAGGAAUUAGGCAUCAACUGACUGAUGCCUAUACCCCACAGCAAAAUGGGAUAGCCGAAAGAAAGAAUCGAACCAUCCUUGACAUGACAAGGUCCAUGCUUAAGGAGAAGAAUUUACCAAAAGAAUUGUGGGCAGAAGUUGUAGCUUGUUCGAUUUAUUUGUUGAAUCGAUGUCCAACAAAGAGUGUCAAAAGGAUGACACCACAAGAGGCUUGGAGUGGAUACAAGCCGAGUGUUGCACACCUAAGAGUUUUUGGUGUGUUGCAUAUGCUCAAGUUCCAGAAGCCAAGAGGAGAAAGCUCGAUGAUCGAGGUGAGAAGUGUGUGUUUGUGGGCUAUAGUGAAGAGUCCAAUGCAUACAAGCUCUACAAGCCACUAACUGGCAAACUAGUGGUUAGUAGAGAUGUCAUCUUCAGUGAGGAAGAGGCAUGGAAGUGGAACAACAAAGAAGUCAGUAAAGAGAAGAUCGUCUCCACUGAUUUUGAAGAACCAGAAGUUGUACCACCUGUUGAGCAAUAGCUUGCUUAAACAAUCACAACAACUCCAGUGCACAGAAUUGCAAGGAGUGGUCCUACAUCUAGUGAAGAAAGCAGCUCCUCAACUCCAGUGAGGCUAAGAAGUCUUACCGAGAUAUAUGGACAAGAAGAAGAAGAAGAAACCAACCUUUUCUGCUUGUAUGCAGACCACGAGCCUCUCUUAUUCAAUGAAGCUGUGGAAGAAGAUCGUUGGAGAAUAGCCAUGGAGGAAGAAAUCCAUGCCAUCGAGAAGAAUGACACUUGGGAGUUGACAAAGCUCCCACCAAAUCAGAAGGCUAUUGGUAUCAAGUGGGUGUACAAGAUCAAACGCACUGCAGAUGGGAGUGUGGAUCGAUACAAAUCAAGGCUUGUAGCAAAAGGCUACAAAAAAAAGUACGGAGUGGACUAUGAUGAAGUCUAUGCUCCAGUUGCAAGACUUGACAAGGUAAGAUUGCUAAUCUCUCUUGCCGCUCAUCAUAAAUGGAAAAUUUAUCAACUAGAUGUCAAGUCAGCCUUCCUUAAUAGAGUUCUUGAGGAAGAAGUGUACGUGGAACAACCAGAAGGCUUUCAAGUACAAGGAAAAGAAGAUAAGGUGUAUCGUUUGAAGAAGGCGUUGUAUGGCCUCAAGCAAGCACCACGAGCUUGGAACUCAAGGAUUGACAACUACCUUCACCAAAAUGGAUUUCAGAAAUGUCCAUACGAGCAUUCAGUUUACAUGAAGAAUGGUGCAAAAGGGGAGUUCUUAAUUAUUUGUCUCUAUGUAGAUGACUUGUUGUUUACAGGAAACAAUGAAGCAAUAUUUUGUGAGUUCAAGCAAUCCAUAUUCAGUGAAUUCGAGAUGACUGACAAUGGAUUAAUGUCAUACUUUCUUGGCAUAGAGGUGAAGCAAGAAAGUGACGGUAUCUACAUCUCUCAACAAAAGUACAUGAGAGAUAUAUUGGAGAAAUUCAAUAUGGAUAAGUGCAAUAUUGUCAACACUCCAGUUGCAACUGGAUUGAAGCUGUCUAAGGAAGGAGAAUGUGAGUUUGUAAACUCAACCGUGUACAAAAGCUUGGUUGGAAGCCUAAGGUACCUUACAAUCACAAGACCUGAUAUAGUUUAUGGUGUUGGACUCGUGAGUCGAUACAUGGAAACACCAAGGGAGUCUCAUUGGCUGGCUGCCAAGAGAAUUUUGAGGUACAUAAGAGGUACUCUAAACUAUGGUUUAUUUUAUAAUUUUGGUGAAGAUGCAAAAUUAUUUGGUUAUUCAGAUAGUGAUUGGGGAAGUGACAAAGAUGAAAGGAAAAGCACAACUGGCUAUGUGUUUUUUCUAGGAUCAACAACUUUCUCAUGGACUUCAAAGAAGCAAUCAAUUGUUGCUUUGUCAUCAUGUGAAGCUGAGUAUGUUGAUGUAGCCUCAACAGUGUGUGAGGCAAUUUGGUUAAGAAAUCUAUUGAAGUCAGUGUGUCAUCCACAAGUGGAAUCGACUGUGAUUCAUGUGGAUAACAUGUCUGCAAUCAAGCUUGCAAAGAAUCCUGUUCAACAUGGAAGGAGCAAACACAUUGAUACCAGGUUCCAUUUUCUAAGGGACCAUGUGAAGCAAAAGACAAUUGAGCUUGUCUAUUGUCACACGAAGGAACAAGUGGCAGACAUCUUCACUAAGCCACUACCAGUUGAAUCAUUCCGACUACUACGUGAAAUGCUAGGCAUGAAGGCGUUUUAAUUUGAGGGGGCAUGUUGGAAAUUCAAAUUAAAAGCCAUGUGAUGUCUAAUAACUGUCCAUGUGAUGCUAGCUUUUCUUUCCAUGUUGUAUCCAACAAAUAUAAACAUCAUUGCUCCUCCAUCUGUUAACCGAAAGCUGAUUUAAAGACACCAGAGAUGUGGGCUGCUGUGUGCUAGCCGAAAGGUUGUGUUUGCAAGCUAGAAGGAUGCAAUGCAUGUGUGUGCCAACUAUCCAAAGUUGCUGCAUGUGUUUGAAAGGGUGGAAAGAUGGUAAACACCAUCAUUCAUUACAUGUUGUUGUAUUGUUUAUCAAUUUCUGUUUUGUAUAAAUAGGCCUUCUUGCUAGGCUUUAGAACAUCAAUUCCAUUCCAAUUCCCUUCUCAUUUUCAGCUUGUAAGCUAUUGGUUUUGUAAACUCUCUUUUCAUAUAUCAAAGUCCAAGUGUUUUGCCGAAGCCUGUCCCUCCUUUCUCUAUUUCUUUGUCCAAUUUUAUUGAGAGUGCAAAGUGAGAGGUGUGAUAGAGUUUGUAAACUUAUCACCUACAUGUUUUGGUAUUGAGUUAGUAAACUUUUCAAUACCAACACAAUCUACCACAUCGCUAAUGGAUUGGGUCGCUAUUUUAUCCAACUCUUCCACAUCGCCCUCGUACACCAAACGAGUGCCGCAACUCUUCACCAAGCAGGGGCCUGAGCUUUUGAAAUGAAAAAUUAACUGACUGAAACUGUUUUGCCACUCUGUACCAAAGCUUAUACCACGAGACACAUAGAUCAGCCAAAUAUGAUCUGACACGGGCUGGACAUCCAAAGAUAGGAGAGGCGCAGGGUACUCUUCCUUUCCAUUGACUUCCAAAACACCAGAGAGCUCCCAUCCGCUCCCAUAAACUUCAAAUACAGCGCACAGAGCAUAUCCCAUCCACUUGUUAUCACGCCAUUGCCGAGUUAGGUCAACGCUUACUUCUGAUCCCAUACUUUGACGAGUGAACCACCUAGGAAUUUCCUUUCCAGGCAUGACAAUUUCACAUCUAUCUCCUGCAUAAGGGACUCCCUGUACAGGUGAAACAGUGAUGUUAAGCAAUGAGAGAGAGAGAGAGAGAGAGAGAGAGAGAGAGAGAGAGAGAGAGAGCGAGAGAGCACCUUAAGAUAUCUUUGGAGCAUAGUAAAUGUAAUAUGAUUGUAGCUUUCUUUCUCAAGCAUUCCAAAGCAAUUGAUGAGAUUGAAGCAUGACGAAUUCAAUCUGUCCAAAUUUGAGGGACAUUCCAGCAUUUCCAGUUUAGUACAAUCAUCUGCAGUUACUUGUAGUAAACCUACAUCUGAUGAAAGAACUGGAAGGUGUUGAAGCUUCCUGCAACGACUCAAGCAUAAAUUCUCAAGUUUAGAGAGUUGGCUAAUGCUUGUAGGAAGAUUAACAAAAUUGUUUCCACUUAAGUUCAAUGAUACCAAAGAUGAUAAGCAGCCAAUAUCAUUGGGGAUUGCUCCUUCACAAAGAUUGUGACCACUUAAGUCUAAUUCCAUUAAAGAACAAAGGCCUGAUAGAGGAGGCAAGAACAAACUGAUGGGAUGAUGACGGCUCCCUGGCAUUAAUCUUAAAAGGAGCGAGAUAAGCCAUGGUCGUUGUGAUGGCCCUUCCAUUCCAUGAAAAAUCAAUGCUUUAAGGUUUUUCAGAAGGGCAAUGGAAGAUGGACAUUCCUUUAUAGCAGUUCCACUUAAAUUAAUCUUCUCCACAAACUCUAAUUUCCCGAGGCUUUCUGGCAAUUUGGCAAGAUUUGAGCAUCCAGAAUCAUCAAGAAUUUUAAUAGCCCUCAAAUUUCCAAUGGCACUAGGAAGACAUUUCAGAUUUUUGCAAUCUCUCAAGUCCAACAAAGAAAGGCUGGUUAGAUGUUCAAGUGGUGAAGGUAUACAUUCAAUACCAGUCCCAUCUAAAGAAAGCUUCCGUAAAUGCUCCAUAGGUUCCACAAAAUUUGGAAUCUUUUUAACGCUUGAGCAGCCAGAAAGAACAAGAACUUCUAGGUGCUCCAUCUCAAUCUCAUCCGGAAGAAGCUUGAGACUUUUGCAAUAUUUAAGAGUCAAGAAAGUAAGCUUUUUGAGAGUUCCUAUGGAAGAGUGAAUCUCAUCUAAACUUUCGCAUCCUUCAAAGUCUAAUCUCUCAAGAUUCUGAAUCCCUUCAAAAUCAGGGGUUCUAGUCAAACUUUUGGAAUGACUAACUUUAAUGAUUUUCAACUUGUCAAAAUUCUGUAAUGUUUACAAGAAAUGUAGAAUAAUUAGAUCCAGAAAACUCAAAUAAGGUAAUGAAAUAUAUACUUUAACAAAUAAGGUAAAUAAUAUUGUAGAUGUAAGUGCUUACCUUUUUUCCGUUCCAGAGCUGUUCAAUUCUACUAUGACACAUGAUCAGUUCAACAAGCUCAUCCGGGUCGAAUCCUGAUGGGAGAUAUUGUAGAGGAUAACCUCUCCAUUCAAGAAAUCUCAAGGAAUUAGGGAGACGGUUGAGGCCUUCAGGAAGGCGCAUGUUGUGGACUUUGAGCAAUCUAAGAUUAACCAUCUGAGAAAAAGCUUCAGGAGGGCAUUCCACCUCUUUUGUUUCCAGCAAGUCUAGGACAAUGCCUUCAACUGUUGGUGUCCCCUGAUAACCAAGAAUAAAAAAACAAGUGAAUUGCAGUAUAAUAUGCACAUUAUAAAAGUAAAGGAAGAUGAGUAAAACAAACUGUUUUUUUUUUUUUUACGUGCCUCUUAAUCGUUAGAUUAAUUUACAUUUGACGUAUUAGGUAAGCUCUUACCGUUUUUUCCUUCAAAACAUGAAAGAUGUCCUUACAAUUGUUUGACCCUUUUUUUGUAACAAAUCAUGCAUCCGCACCCUGUUAUCUGAAAUUGUUGUCAGAGACUUCUCCAUAAGGACAUCUAUGUCAAUACCUGGAUUAAAACCACAACUAUCAAGUAUUUCAAAUACUCGAUCUUUGUCCUCCCCUUUAAAGAAACAUGCGAUGUCAAGGAAAAUCUCUCUCCCUUGCGGAUCUAAUCCCUCGUAACCUGUUAUAAGAAUCUUCAUAAUUUUUUCAUCCAAUGUGAAAUCACCCUCUAGUUUACGCAAUUGACUGCUCCGUGCAUCUAGAUCUCUUCCAUACAAAAAAGACCCCAAGACUUCAAGAGCUAAUGGAAGGCCACUGGCAUAGUCCACAAAACUGUACGACAGAGCCUUAUAACUUUCAGGUGGAUUCUCUCUAGGGAAGGCUCUCAAGUUAAAAAGUUUAAGAGCAUCAACUUUACCCAGCUCCGGCACCUUAAAUUGUUUUUCUACACCAUGUGAAAUUAGCAAGCGUUCAUCUCUAGUCGUAAUAAUGAUUCUACUCCCCUGACCAAACCAAGCUGGUUUUUCACAUAGCUCUCUUAACUGGAUACUAUCGUCCACGUCAUCAAGAAUGAUGAGAACCUUUUCUGAAGUAAGAAACUUCUCCAUCUGGCAGCUUCACCGGCAGCCCAGUCUUGUAUAUUUCUUUUCAUAAGGCUAUUGGAAAGCUUCCUCUGUACACAGGCCAUACCGUGUGCCUUAGAAUCCUCUCUAACUCCGUCAUGAAAGCUUUCGGCUUGAAAUUUAUGACGAAUCCUCUCAUAACAUGCUUUGGCAAGGGUUGUCUUACCUAUCCCACCCAUCCCCCAUAUUCCUAUAAAGAGAACAUCAUUUGACUCUAGUUCUAAAAGCACAUCAAGUUCCUUCAGUUUCGAUUCAAUGUCAACUAGCUUUUCUGCAGGUUCCAAUGAUAAAGGUCCUACUUUAUUCCGUACAUUUUCAAUAAUUUGUUCGAUGACAUCUGGUUCUCUACAAGAAAAAUAGACAAUGUCAAGAUAUGACCUAAUACACAAGGAAAUAAAAGAGCCACAGACUAUUUUUGUUUUCGUCCACCUGAAGUCAUAGUACCAAGUGGUCUCUGCGUCCAUCUAUAAGAGGGUGGUUUGGUAUUGGACAAAAUUAGAGACGGUUUAGGAAAAGGGGAGGACAAAAAAGCGUAGCAGUAUUGGAUUUCAAACAUAUGACUUCUUAACUGGAUCAAUUUUUUCCCCUUAGACUCUCAAAUGGACCAAAUAAUGGUAAAAAGAAAGGCUCUCUAGGAUGGAACUGUAGGCAUAAACACAGUCUACAAAGCCUCAAUGUUUAGUCAUUAAGUUGUAUUGGGAUUAAGCGGUUAUGAAGCACCUUCAUUACUGUGCAAAAAGUAAAUGAUAUGAAUUCUUCGAUUUUCCUAUAAGUUAUUGUAUCAGGCUUUAGAAGAAUUGAAUUAUAAAAAAAAUAGCAAGAAUGAAGGGUCAAGUGCUGAUUGCUAAAGCUUUUGAAUUGAGUGAAAGAGAAAAACAAGUAAUGCCAACCUAUUCUUUGAAGUAGACCCUUUGAUUUUUGCCACUUUUUGUAAGGCAUCUUUCCAUUGUUCCAAAAUCACUUCGGCAUUCUCACUCUUUGUCAUUCUUACACUUUUGUUCGAGUUCAGUGAAGCCUUUCCCAAAACUCCCAGACCUAUCUCCAACAUCGCAGGGUUCCACCUGGUAGAAAACUGGUAUAAUUGCCCCUCUCUCUUCCAUGCAUUCAAGAAUCUUUACGAGUUCGUUCAGGCACCAUUUUGAAGAAGCGUAGUUUGGAGAGAUGACCAUGAUGGCAAGCCUCGACUUUUCAAUUGCCGGGAAGAUUUCAGAAACUUUUCUUCCUAUUUCAAGAUCAUUGUCAUCAAAGAAAGUUCUUGUAAUUCCUUGUUCUUCCAAUUCCUUAAGUAGAUGGGCGGUAAAACCUAAGCGCGUGUCGUCGCCCCUAAAACUCAAAAAGACAUCAUACUGCCAUUCAAGAGCUGAAGGAAGAGAUGAAGCGGCUCGUUGGGUGCUCGAUGCCAUUGAAUACAAGCUAACUGGAAUGGUGGUAUUAGUUUUCCAAGCAAAAACAUGACCAGAAAAAUAAUUCAGCAUUCAAAAUAUUGUAUUAGCCAAUAACAUGAACAGAAAUAACCAUGAAUCAGAAAGAUGAGCAAUAACCUGUGUGUAUGUAAGAAAAUGAAGUCACAGAUCAAGUCAGAUCAAGUCAGAGGGGGCAUGAGAGGGGCUACAAGUCUGUCUGUAUGUCGUCAAGUCCAAUCAAUGCUUAGGUACACCAAGUUGCCUAGUGGCCGUCGUCGUCUAACGAAACUUCACCGCGGAGGCUUGAUGGACGUGAUUCAACUGCUGCUUCUAUCCGACGGUCAAACCGCGUAAGCUCUAUUUUCCCACUUUUUAUUUUAUUCGUUUGGUGAUUCAACUGCUCCAUUAUUUUAUUUUUGUGUAGCUCCAUUAUUAUUUUUUAUACUAAUGCAGAGCACACCACAGUUGAAUGUUUCUAACAAACACAAAAUUUAAUUGCAUGCACUUCUUUUCUUCCAGAAACACAAAAUUUAAUUUUCUUUAAGUUGACCCAGUGCGUUUACUUAGACAAUCACCUGUGCACUAGUUGGGAAAAUUCAUCCUCGGACUCAUCGUCCUCAUGGUUCACAUUCACAAGUGGCACAUAAAAAUCAGGUGUUGAAAUUAGAGAUAAAAUGUAGAAGAUACUGUCGGCAAAAGCAAAUAAUUUUUGUUUUGUUUUUUUUUAUUUUUUUGUUUUUGUUUUGUUUUUAAUAUAACCUAAGAAAUAAACUGCAGCUAGAAAUUGAAAGUAAUGAAAUAAAAAUGAAAGAAAGUAAAGAAAAAGUUACUUUAAGUCUGUAGCUAGACGUCGCAGAAGCCCGGUGGCUAGAUCACUGGUUCCUUCAGAGUCAAAGACUCGCUUGUACCAAACUUCUUUGGGAAUGACUUUAGUAGAGACUUCUUGACCUUGAGCACACAACCCCUGCCCUCUAGUUCAAUGUCCACAUUACUGUUUUGAAAAACUUGCUUAACCAUAUAAGGUCCCUUCCACCGAGACUCUUGUCUCCCUGGAAUUAACUUGAAACUGGAAUUUAACAACCACAUCUUUCUACCAGGCUGUAUUUUUGCAACUUUUUAUUCUUUCCCUUGAUAUUUGGAUGUUUUUGGUCAAUCUGGUGGCCUAGAUAGUUGUCAAACAAAGUUGGUUCUGCUUUUGAUUUUUACACUUCAACCGCCCGAACUUUUUGCUGUUGCACUUUACUAUCACACUCACGAAUCACAUCUUGAGUCUUUAUGAGCAGAUGGUUAGUUAAUGAUCUGGUCAUAAAUUUGGCCUUAGGUAAACCAUCUAAUGCAUCAACACGCAUGCAUUCUUUCUUGUCACUUGGAUGUGUGAUGACUUCAAACAAAUUGAAAACAACUGUUUGAUCUUCAACCCGUAGUGUUAAUGUUCCUGCUUCAACAUCAAUAAGAGUUCGGGCUGUUGCCAUGAAGGGUCGUCUCAAAAUGAUGGGUGUUGUCAAAUCUUCAUCCAUGUCCAACACCAUAAAAUCAGCUGAUAAAUAUAAAUUGUCAACCUUAACAAUAACAUCUUCGAUGAUUCCUCUAGGAUAGGUAAUUGAACGGUCAGCCAAUUGAAUAAUGUUGGAGGUUGGCUUCAGCUUGCUUUCACCUAAACGUUUAAAAACAGAAUAAGGCAUUAAGUUUACACUAGCACCUAAAUCAAUUAACGCACUUUAAAAAUCAAAAUUGCCAAUAGUACAGGGAAUAGUAAAACUCCCUGGAUCUUUCUUCUUUGGAGGCAAUUUGUGUAGUAGAACUGCACUGCAUUGUUCUGUGAGCACAAUUUUCUCUGUUUCCACGAGCUUUUUCUUCUUAGUGCAAACAUCUUUCAAAUAUUUAGCAUAAGAAGGAAUCUUGUUAAUCGCUUCCCACAAUGGUAAAUUAUUUGAACUUUAGCCAAUGUCUGUAUGAAGUCUUUUAACUGCUGAUCCUUAGCCUUUGGUAUUAACCGUUCUGGAUAUGGUACUGGAGGAUUAUAAACACGCUCAGAAACCUGUUUUGGGACAGUUUCUGCACUGGUCAGAUUCUGUUUUGAUGCAGAAUUGGCAGGUUCUACCCUUGUUUUUGCAGAUUCUGUAGAAAUUUUCACUGCUGGCAGAUUCUGUUCAGUGCCAUUUUCACGGUUGUCAUAACUUUUACCACACCUUAAAGUCCGUAUUGCACAACAAUCCUCUGUACCUCUUGGAUUAUACAUCAUUUGACUAGGAAACCUUCCUUUUUCUCUGUCUGAAAUCUGUGCAGCUAGCUGCCCAAAUUGUAACUCUAAACUUUUAAUUGAUGCCUCAAUAUUCUGAAAUCUUUGAUUGCUGCCUUCCAUGAAUGUUUGUGUUGUUGCUGCCAGUUUAGUCAUUUGAUCCUCCAAUGAUGGUUUGGAUGGUACAAAAGGUUUUUGUGCUUGUUGGAAUGGUCUUGCAUUAUUUUGAUUGUCACCCCAUUUGAAAUUAUGAUGAUCAUUCCAUCCUGGAUUGUAAUGAGUUGCAUAUGCAUCAUUCCUAGGCCUUUGAUAACUGUUCAUCAUAUUAACAUGUUGCUCGACAAGCUCUGGGUAAGAUUCUUUAUGUGGACAGCCCAAUAUGUCGUGUGUAGCCAUGCUGCAGAUAGUGUAGAUUGUUGAUGUAGGUUGCUGCUGCUGUGUAGAAUUUGCUAUCUGUUGUAAAAUAAUGUCAAACUUUGCAUCAAUUUUUUUCUCCAUUUUUUCCAUUUGUGCAGACAUAUUAGAGGAACCUGCUGAUAACUCAAAAAUGCCCCUUUUUUGUGAAUGUUCUGCUGCCCACUCUUGAGAUUCUGUAGCCAUUGUAUCAAAUAAUUCAAAUGCUUCUCUUGCAGAUUUAUUUGACAAUGAACCCCCAUCUGAUGCAUUAACAUGACUUUUAGAUGUAGGAUUAAGCCCAUCAAAGAAAAUAUUCAUUUGUUUAUCUGAAUCAAUAUUAGCAUGUGGACACUUUAUAUACAUUUCUGUAUAUCUCUCCCACGCUUCAUGAAAUUCUUCGUUUGGCUUUUGAGUGAAUGUCAUAAUCUCCCGCUUGUAAUUUAAUGUCUUGGAUGCCGGAUAAUAUUUGUUCAGGAAUUUUGUAUGCAAUUGUUGCCAAGUAGUAAUGCUAUUAGCUGGUAAAGUGAACAACCAAGUUUCUGCCUUAUCCUUCAAAGUAAAAGGAAAAAGACGUAACUUAAUAGCCUCGACAGAAAAACCCCUGAUCAAAAUAUUUUUGCAACCCACGAUGAAUUUUGCAACAUGUAAAUUCGCAUACUCGUUAGGCAGCCCACAAAAAGUAGGUAAAAUUUCAAGCAUAUGGUGCUUGAUCUCAAAUGAAUCACCAUCUUCAUGGGCAGGAUACACAAUACAAUUAGGAACAUCAUUGACUCAGGCAGCCAAUGACUCUCUGAGUGGCCUGCCUGCAGCAGGCAAUUGCAACGCCAUUGUGAUUUUACUGCCUACAAAACCAGCAAACAAUUCCUGCAGGAAUGUGCCUUGCACUGCACAGUCCCAAACCAAAUUAUUUUCUCUCCCCUGUCUAUGCAGUGUGCGUUCGGGUUCUGGACCAAACUGUGCAAUCUGGGCAGUUCCUGAUCUAGUUUGGACCAUGCAAUUUACAGAAUCUACAAUCACACAAAAGCGUUAAAAUAAUUUGAAUUUUUUGUUGUCUUUUUUUGACGAAAAAUAAUAUAAAAAAAAAUAAUCAGAAAAAGUUUAAACAAAAAUUAUCUAAAAUAGUCCCCGGCAACGGCGCAAAUUUCUUGAUAGGAUUUUUAACGUCUAUGCAAAUAGGGUCAAAAUCACAUGAAAUACUUGCAAGAAUACAAGGAUGUUGUAGUAUAGAUGCUCAUGCACGGUCGUUUUCCUCAAUGAUUAUUUGGAUAAUUUAUGUAGAAACAAUUCCUAAUUAAAUAUUUAGAGUUAAAACUUGAGAAAAGAGAGUUUGAGAGUGGGUAAUAUUAAAAGCGAAUUUUAAGCAAAAACUAAUAUAAUCAAAGAAAAGAGUUUUAAAUACCAAUUUAUAAAGGCACCAGGGUUCCACCAUCACCUAGCAAUUUUAUGUAUUUUUACCAAUUACUUAUAAUUUAGACAUGCCACUUCGAAGGUUAGGUUUUCCUAAUACAUAUUCUCCUCGUGAUAGUCAAGCAAGAACAUAUAUCUAACAUGCAAUCCGUAUGUGAUAUUCAGAUCAAAUAUGAAUAUGCAAGACUCAUUAAGUUUUAUGAAAACCUUUUGAAGAACCAUGCAACCCCUAAGAACGUGAUAUUCGCCUUAGAUGAAAUUACAAUUAUCAAUCACAAGAAGCAAUACUCAAUCCUCCGGUGAUAUUCCGACCGAAUUGCAUCCAAUUACUUGUCUAAACAUCCUAAUAGUGGCCAGUCAUCAAGAUAAUUAGAUAGUUUAAAACAGUGAUCAAUAAUUCAAAGUGUGCAUGCAAUCAAUCAUAAGCAAUUAAAUAAAAAUUACAUAUUCAUGCUAAGGCUCAAGGUUUCGCCCUAGCAAAAGGAAUUAGUUAUGCAUAUUCAUAAUUGAAAUCAUAGAGCUUAUUAUUAAAAAUAAAAGGAAUGAAAGCACCUUAAAGUAGAAAAUCUCCAAGAACCCUAGCCAAGUUCUUUGUCUCUAAAGUUGAAUAAUAAUAAGCGUAGAAAAAAACUAUAGACGGCCAAAGCAAUAUAUUUGCUCAGCCCUUACAAACCCUAAGACAUAGGUUUCUUAUUCCAACUAGGAAACUAAAAAUAAAAUAAAAUAUCUUAGAAAAUAAAACCCUAAUUAAACUAGGAAUCUGCCAAGUACUUGUCCAGCCACGUUUUAGCCUCAGAUCUCCUCCAAAUCCAGCCCAAGAUAGCUUGUUUUAAAUAAGAACGUUCCGAACAGAUCUCCAGAAGGCCACGAAACCAUUCGAGGUCAUCUUGGGCUCCAAAAACGCAAUUUAAGCCCAGAAACGUCAUUUUUCAGCACCGCGCAUCGCUCCUUUAUUUUAUCGCCAAAAAAUAACCGCUUGAUGGAAAAAUCCCAAUUUUUGAUACGAUCAAGCUAAGUGACUCACGAACGUCUUCCAACUGGAAUUACUCCAAAAUUCGUCCAUUUGACCACGUUUUGCUUCAGAGGAAGUCGAAAGUCCUAUAUUGAAAAUACAAUUCAAAGUAUCAAAAUUCUUCUAAAAUAUGAACCAAAAUAUACCAAGAAUAGGGUUAAAUAUAUAAUAUAAAAUUCACUUAUCAAAGCUCCUCAUCUCUGAGAGGAGAGCAACCACAACUGUCACUAUUGCAUCAAAUCUAUGAGUAGAACUCAAAUCCAUAUCAAAUCACUUAUGCAGUCUCAUUCACAAGAAGCCUGACACGCUUUUGGUAUGAACGGCACUGAUCAACAAUCACUUCUUCCUUCAAACCCUGCCAUAGUAUUUCAUUUUGACCAUUUAUGACCGUUAAAUUUGCACAUAUUAAGAGCCCGGAUGGUAAUAUUAUGAUUUUGGUUCAUUUAUUAUAUUUUAGUAAAAGCCAAAGAGGAAUUGUAUGGGAGAAAAGAGGGAGAACAAAAGGGCUCAGAUGGGUGGGCAUGAAAAUGAAUAUGGAACGGUAUUUAAACCAAAAAGCAAAAUCAGUCUCAACUGUUCUAUAUUUCUCCUUAAAGUUUUUACUUCGCCCAUUUCCCUUCAAUCGUCCAUACCUCCUCCCUUCUACAAACACAAGAAAAGUGCAGCCCUUAAAGGUACUAAGUUUCGAGUAAUUAACCACCUAAUUCCGACCCUGCUAAAAGUCCCAACUUAAACUUUUUUUACAAUCACAGUAAUUGACACCCAAUUACUAGCCUCCUCCACCUCUGGAUAACUAGCCUUAUAAAUAAAGUUUUGUUAUCAAUAUUUCUCAUCAAAUAAUUUACAUACAGUGCAUAGUAAAGAAAAGUAUGGACCAUAAAUAUUCUCCACAAUUGACCAUAUACAAGUUUCAGAACUUUCAACUGUGGUAAGAGUCCCAUAUGAAACUUUCACCGCUAGAGAACUCCACACACACAAAAAAAAAACAUAGAAUCAUUGGCCUCUCAACAAAAAUAUUUCUAGAAAAACAUAAAUGAGAAAUUAUCCUUUAAUAAUACCUUUUCGGAAAGAAAUUAAUCAGAAAUCUAAAAUAAGGUAGAAAAUAAUAUUACCUCAGGAUUCUUAGGAUCCAAGGCAUUAAGCAUUUCCAUCAACACAUCUGCAAUUCCACGAGCAUUCUGAAUCUCUAGCAAGCUGAUUAAAGACAGUUCCAAUCAGGAUGGAUCUAUCAUAGUUUCAAUUAAAAGGAUGAUUUUUGCAGCAGAAGAACAACAUUGACACCAUUCAAAUACAAACAUAUAAGACAAUAACAUAUGUUUCAACUCUUCUUCCAGCCUUGAAAUAGAUUUGGAUGACUAAGAACUCCUACUCUCAAGCCUUUGGUGACACGCCCCGAUCCCGAUAUUCCCAAAAUACCAGGAUAAGCACAUGCUGGUUGACACCUGACGAAAGCCAUUUAUUGAAUGCAAAUGUUGAGAAUAAGGAAUAAAUAAGACUUAGAAAUAUAAAAGAAUAAUGAAUAUGCAUUUAAGGAACGCGUUCAGAGAAUACAACUAACUAGAACACUAAAAGAAAUAAUAUAAAAUUCAAAGAAUAAAAGAAUGGGUCCUACACCGAGAGGACUCGAAGAUGCCGAUGCGGAAGUGCCUUGACGUCAGGAUUGUAUGUCUCGAUUCUAAGUCCUGAAGGGGGCGCAAAACAAACAUGAGUGGACCAAGUUGCUAUAUAUAUAUAUAUAAUAAAACAGUUAUCAACAUACUAACCCCCAGGUUUUAUGAAAACACAUAUAUAUCAUGAUAAACAUAUGUUUUCCGAAACCUAGCAUGUCGUGCAAUGUCUCAAAUCAUAACUUGUAUAUAUAAUAAUCACUAGUGAAUUGUCCGAUAACCCCCAGGCCCCAUGCCGACUCCCCGUCUCUGAGCAGACAGUCAAAGGAAAAUACACUUCAAGUCCCAUGCUGGCUCCCCGUCCCUGUGCUAAAUAGGCAGAGGAAACACACUCCAGGCCCUAUGCCAACACCAAACCGUCACCAGGGACGGACCAGAAUCUAUCCCUACGUCCCGUAGCGGAAAUGACCACUAGGUAAGUACAAAAUCAUUGAACAUAUAUAUAUUGAAAAACAACUUCAUAGUAUAAAGUCAUCCAUCAUCUAUACUAUAAAGAGGUGUUCGAAACAUGUUCUAAAUAUUAUAUCGUCAUCCAUCGGAUAUUUAUAAGAACACGGGUUAUAGGAAAAAUAGGAAUAAUUCAACUAGCCUCAAUAAGCAUAUUAUCUCAUAAAACGUUUCAUAAAACGUAGUCAUCAAAUCAUGUUUUUCAUGUAUGCAUUUCUACUAUCAAAACAUGCAUUUUUAGAAGGGGUCCACUCACAGAUACUUAGCCGCCAAAGAGCCACGCAAACUAGCAAACACGGAAACGCCACAAUAAUUGCUCCUAAGCACGUAAAUGGUCCAAUUAAUAAAACUAUACUCAAACGAUUUAAUUUGGGAAAACAGACGUCGAAAACGGAUUCAGAACAUCAAAUUAUCUUAAGAAGGGUCCCGGAUAAAUUUCGUAAACGUCAAUAGAAUAUUCCAAAGAAUAUUCCUUGACGGAAUAUUUUCUGAUGGAAUAUUCCACAAAAAGGUUUGAGCCGGUUAGGGUUUAGGGUUGGAAGGGUUAAAGGGUUUAGGCUUAGACUUUUAGGUGGGUUGGGUUUAGGUUUUUAAACUGAAAGGGUUGCUUUAACAUAUAAGGGCCAAUGGCCUUUAAAACCAAAACAAAUAAAAUAGAAAAUAAAAAGGGCUGGAGGGUUCUAGGCCCAAAGGCCUAAACUAAAAAAGGGUUUGGGGUUUAAAGUGUAUGGGCCCUAAGCCCUCACAGCAAUGGCCCAAAGGCCUUUAAUUAAACAAAAUAAAAUUAAAACAAAAUAAAAAGAGAAAUGGGUUUGGGUUGGGCUCGGCAGGAAAGGCCCGAAGGGCCUAUGUUUGAUGGGUCGCUAGACCCAAGGAAGAAGAAGGCUGGAAUUCGGCCGAAAGGUUCUCUAACUUUAAACGUUCAUAACUUUGUCAAUACUCAACGAAAUCAAGUGAUUCAAAAACAGAAAUCGUAGCCCUCGAAGAGACGAAGAGAAUGGUACCUUGCACGACGUCUAACUCAUCAUGGUUUGGCCGAAAAUUUCCUCGAAAGGGAUGAGUCCCUAGUCGGAAAAUCUAGGGAAAGCUCCCCAAGUUGUUUUCACGUCUAAACCUUCACCAAAUACCAUAUUUUAACAACCUCUAAGCCUUCUAGACUACUAUGAAGGAAGAUCGAAGGGUGUUUUUGACUUACCUUGUCAGAAAUCACGUGCACCGUGACUGUGCACAGUGCCUAGACGAGAGAGAGAUCGCAGGGUGGUGAGGAAGAGAACGAUGAAGGUCAGAUGAUGAAGAUGAUGGUGAAGUUCUCCUGUUGGCUGUGUGUAUGUAUGUAUGGGUGUGUGUGUGAUGAUACUCGGGGAAGGAAGGAGAGAGUGCAGAGAGAGUUGAGAGAAGAAAGAGGGAAAAAGAGAGAAAGAAGAGGAUCACGGGGAGGGAACACAAAUAAAGGGGUUGGGCUCACCAAUUAAGAACUAAAAUUCAUUUUUAAAUAAAAUGGGGGUGGGGUGUAACAUUUGGUACUACUAAAGAACCGUAUAUUUAUUCGUAGAUGAUCAAUUGAAACACCCCACGGAUCAAUUAAUUCAAAUCAUAAUUAAAUACUAAUAGUGGCUUUAAAGAAUGUGUUACAUAUACAGAUGAAAAAGAAGAUUCAACAUCGUUACCAUUCAAAUACAAACAUACAAGACAAUAACAUGUUUUAACUCUUUUUGCAGCCUUGUAAUAGAUUUGGAUGACUAAGAACUCCUACGCUCAAGCCUUUGGUACUACCAAAGAACUGUAGUUUUCUUCCUAGAUGAUCAAUUGAAACACCCCAGAGAUCAAUUAAUUCAAAUCGUAAUUAAAUUCUAAUAGUGGCUUUAAAGAGUAUAGGCGUGUUAUAUAUAUAGAUGAAAAAACAGAAUCAACCUAUCAUAUAUACAGGAUGGCAACUUGUUUGGUGAUAGAUUCAGAACAACAGAGAGAAUUUUUUUUUAAAGAUAAGAUACCUUAAUGGUGUUUGAGUAAUAACACAUACAGACAUUAAAGGUGAAACCUUUUCCAAGCAGAUGCAGACAUACAAAAAGAUAUUAAGCUUAAAGACCUUAAUAUCCAGCUUUGGGUAUUGGCAAGUAUCUGCUAACCUUCCCUUAUACGUAAAAAAUUCUGAUAACCACAAUCAAGGCAACAACAACAAAAACAAAAGCAAAAAUUCCAUGCCUUAAGUAGAAAAAGUUCACUUAUGUUGUAAAACCCAUUCAUAAAGAUUUAGUCAACCAUUAACAAUCAUUCACUGUUGUAUCAACAAAAAAAAAUAGAAGGAAACAAGUUCUUAUGAUUGAAAGAGAUGAUUGUGAAAGGGUUAGGAUAUACCUGCUGCUAUGAAUUAUAGAUUCCAGUGGAUGAGGCUCUCUGUUUUUGAAAAACGUGCGUAUGGUUGAACGGCAACGAUACAUGACAUAGCAAAAAAUUAGAGGGAAAAGGAGUUUGUAUUCAAACACAGUAAAGAGAUUUGUAUUAGAAAUUAGUUUGUAUAAAAGUUAACAAAACAUAACAAAAUUUAAAAAUGGAUAGACAAAUACCUCAGUGUUUGAAUGAAUGGUUGCUGUGUGAAUGAAUGGUUUGAUCUGUAUGCUUGUGUUGGAUCUACAUGCAUAUGAAAAAUUAAAUUAAAAAGUGCAUCACAGAGAAAUGGAAAAACAACCUAGCAACAUAGAGAUAUUCGAAUGAUGUGAAGUGGAAAAGGAACCUGAAGGUGAUUUGGUGAGAAGCAAAUAGUAGGAAAGCAUGAAGAAACACACAAAUGAGCACAGUGCAACCCCUUUAUUUAUAAAGACAGAAAUCUCACACUAACAAUGAACUAAACGGCCUAAACCCACUAAUUAAAAAAUAAUAAACUUAAAAAGGAGUCUAAAUUUUGUUUACUCAUAAACAAAGGAAAAAAAAUUCUGAAAAACACAAAUAUCAAGACAGUGUAGUCCCCUAAUUUACAAAGACUAAGAGCAAACUCUAAUAGUUAACUAAACAAUUUAAAAAUAUCUAUGACAACUUUAAUGAAGGGAAAAUUAGCCAUGACAAUUUAACAGUGUAGCCCCCUAAUUUACAAAGACUAAGAGCAAACUGUAAUACUUAACUAAACAAUUUUAAAAUAUGUAUAGCAGUUUUAAUGAAGGAAAAAUGAGCUAUGACAAUUUAAUGAAGGGAAUGGCAAAUCAAACAAUGAACAGCAAAUUGAAAACAAUAAAUUGUAUAAAUUUACAUAUGUUUUACUCAAUUUUUUUUUUCCAUUAAGCUUUCAUGUUGCUGUAAAUUUAGGCGUUUUCUCUCUGUGUUGGUGUAUCUGCCUAAACUUGUAAAAUGUUGGUUCAUCUUAUGCAAUUUUUGAUAUACUUAACAACCUACUGCCUAUGUGCAAUGGAGCACCACAAAUUUAUCUACAUUAUGGUUGUUAGGACAAUGGAUUAGGUUGUAGGAUAAAUUCGGACAUACAGCUAACCCUAGAGGUGAUCUAAACAAUCUACAAAAGACUAAGAGCAAACCCUAAUAGUUAAGUAAACAAUAUAAAAUAUAUAUGAUAGCAUUAAUGAUAGAAAAAAUAUCUAUGACAAUUUUAAUAAAUGGAAUGGCUAAUCAAACAGUAAACAACAAUUAAAAACAAUAAACUGAAAAAGAGUUAACCCUAAGGUGAGCUAAACAAUCUACAAAGAUAUAUGACAAAUUUAAUGAAGGAACAAAAUAUCUCUAACAAUUCUAAAACAAAAAAAAGGAUCAAUCACACAAAAAUUAAUCAAGAAACAAACAAAUUAAAUCAGUGGAAGACCCUAAUUGAAAAAAAUAGAGACAUAAUCCUAGCACCCAAUUGAACAAUUUAUAAACAUCCAUGACAAUUUGAAUGAAAGAACAAAAUAUAAAUGAAAAUUUUAACAAAGCAAAUGGCAAUUGGAUACUAAACAAUGAAAAAAAAAACAGUGCAUUACCUUUUGAAUCAAGGGAGAAAGUUGAAAACCCAGACCCUGCCAUUCGUCCCUCAGCCAUCCCCUCUUCACCGACUCUGUGCGUAACCCGUUAACCCUAAAGAAUACACACACCCAUGCUUUCCGCUCUGUAUCUAUCUCCCUGUCCAUCUCUCUCUCUAAAAUGGGAGAAAAUCCCAUAGAUCCUAGCAGAGGACCUAGCUAAAUCUAUCUCUCACUCAGUCCAAACCCAUAGCUCCCAUCUCUCUCCAAUCUGUCAGGCCUUGUGUCUCCCUCCUCUCUAGUCGCUCCGUCCCCCUUUCUCCGCUCGCCACAGCCACAACCACACCCAGCUGUCUCCGAGUAAAAAAUAGGAACGAUCGUCUCUCUCCAAUUUGUCAGCCGUGAUGUCCCCCUCCCCUUUCUCUCCCCGAGUCAAAGCUGAAAUGCAGCCAACGGCUGAUAAUCGGUUUUUAAGCCUGAGUGGCAUUUUUGUAAUAAAGCGAAAGUUGGUUAAAAGCACCCUGAGUGGCAAUCUUGUAAAUAAACUGAAAUGUCUUCCAAAACACUGCUCAAUUGUACAAUGCAAUUUCCCCUCCUUCAUUAGACUAAAGUAAUAAUAAUUCAGACAAUUUAUACCAAAAAUAAAAAAACAUCCCAAAGCAUAAAAAAAGAUAGCAUCUGUUACAAUAUCAUUAUGUUUGAAUUGUGUAUAUAGGUAAUUAUGGGGGAUUCGGGAAAGAUGGAAUAACUAUACAAAGAAGAGAAAUGAUUUGAAGUCUAUUGUUCGCUUUUCUUAUUAGCACAAAAUUCAAUCAAGCAAGGAUGAAUUCUUUCAUAAAUUACAGUUACGGAUCAUGACAUUCAACAAGCAGCAGCUGAAAUAGUUGUACAAACAUAAAAAAUCGAUGCUGACUGACAUCUUUAAUUAAAGAUUAAGGCCCUAGGACUGACAGGAUUUAUAAUAGUAAGGGUGUAAGAGACAUCCUCAUGUCAAUGGGAGAAUUGAUGAAUACUUGACAAGGUUAAGGCCUUUCAAAUAUGUAGUCAAAUUUUUCUGCAGUCUUAAAGCAUGCACAACACAUUCAAAUUUGAUGAAGUAUAUAUGAAACAACCAACAUGUCUUCGUUGAUUCUCAAUUUCCAACACAUGUUUGCAAAUUGAAACAUUCUCUCUAUGGUCUUAAACAAGCCUCAAGGGCGUGGUUUCAAUGUUUUUUCCAACCACCUAGAACAUCUCGAUUUUGUGUCUUCUUAAGCAGAUUCGUCUCUAUUUGUUUACUGUCAUGGUUUAGUUCGCAUUUAUUUACUAAUCUAUGUUGAUGACAUCCUUAUCACAGAAAAACAUGAACAUAAAUAACCAUGAAUCAGAAAGAUGAUCAAUAACCUGGGAGUAUAUAGAAAACGAAGUCACAGUGUUCGGGCGAAGAUUUCUCCGGAUAGGGCUCCUCGGCUCUCAGCACAGCUCUCCAAGGGAUUGGCCUUUUGGAUGUGUAGUUAAGCUCUUGCUUGUUGAUGUGUUGCAAGAAGAGGAUAGAGUUAGUUUUGAAAGGUGCCUUUGUAGGGCCUUAAGUGUAGGCCUUGAGACUCGCAAUCAAAACUAACUGAAUGCUAGGCGUGCCACUGCUAUCUCAGUAUAGCAGAUGUAGAACAAAUGUGUUUUAGUCGAUUACUUACCCCCCAAGUUACUCAGACUUCUUGUUAUCAAAAGAUUGUCGUGGAUGGGUUAAGUCCACAUUAAGUUCUUUUUCUUGCCUUAUGACCAAGGACUUUCAGUUCAUAGUCUUGUAUGUUCAAGUGAGGGAAGUCCAAAUCUCCUUAAGUCAUCUACUCGGUUCUUGAUUGGUUUUUAAUGAAGGCAUAUUCAUUUAGGUAACCAGAUGCGAGCACAAACGAGACUCUUAAAAUAGGAAAACAGAUGGAUAUGACUUGAAUACAUGAUGGAGAAUACAUUAAGUAGUAGAUUUAUUAACUUAUAAAACAAACAAAGAGCUUUGAGCAAGAUUUCACCUUGUCGGGCAAGGUUGAACUUCUUGCAAUCACUUCUCUUUUGAGUUUACAAGGUUUAUUUGCUAAGAAGGGAUGAAUGGUAAACAAGUUUACACAAGAGAAUCGAUACUACGCCACUAGGGGUGAUAACAGAGCUUCUAAACUAGACAAAAGAUGGCUUUUGUGGGGAAUGAUCAUGAAAAGAUGGCUAACUACAGCUUUUAGAUGCAAAUCCGGCUUGAGAUAAGAGUUUGUAUGAUUGGUUGAGUGUCAUUGUCUUUGGGGCCUCUUCUUCCUUUUAUACACAGAUUAGCCCGACUAUUGUAGCUUUGCUCUUGCCCAAAAGUAAUUGAAGGGUAGUGAGUCAUCAACUUUUUACUUGUAUUGCCAUUAAAAAGUGCUUUUUGGCUAAUUAUGGGUUAGUCCCCAUCACUUGACACUUAAAUCAUAGGCACAUGACCAAUGCAUUAAUGAGAAGGCGCCAAUUUAUCUCUGGGCUUGAUGCUGGGCUUUGGGCAAGUCUUCCUUUAAUUGGUGUUUUUGCUUCUACACACUUGCAGCCUAAAGUUCAAAUAUUAACCCAAACAAAACUUCUAACCCACGAUCAUAGUGGUCACUCCUCACACCCCAAGCCAGAUCCCUCGAUUGGAUGCAGCUAAUGAAUCUCUCUCUACAAAAGGGACUAGCAUCUUCCCUAAAAGCGUCAUGGAAGACCGAAGUUGUAGAGGGCAGAGAUGUCUCCGAGUUGCUUGGAGAUUUUGAGGACGAAGCCGAGCUUGUAGUUGAGUGUUGGCCUACAUGUCGGACUCCGGCAAUGGUGGUAGAAACUUCAGAGUCUGAGCCCGAAGCGUGGCUGGCUCCAACAAAGAAAAAGAUGCGGGCACAAACUUCCACAGCUUCAAAGUCUUCUACACCAGUGGCUGAGGUGGGUAGGGAGAAACGGAAAGCUUUUAGUAAGUAAUCAUUGCUUCAUUUUAUUCACAACUUCAUGAUGAGAGUUGACAACUCUCUUUUCUUUGAUUCCAAGGCCCCAAGUGACUAAAAAGCCUACCAUCGCUUCAAGGGAUGACCCAUUGCGGGCUGAGAUGUCUCAAAAAGCAAAAAAUCUGCAAGAUUUCACCCUGGAGGAACUUGAGGUACAUCUUGCAUAUUAAAUUUUAUUCCAUUGGGUUCUUCCCUUUUCCUUCUUACUCUCCUCCAUACUAUCUGCCUAUUUUCUGAUUUAGGCCAUAAGGGAAGGAAAGAUCUCUCCGCCCGAGGCCUCCUCACCUCCAGCCCGAAUGGUACAAACUUCUCCCCCUCAGGCUAAGUCUUCAAAGGUAUAUCUUUUCUCUUCUUUUAGACUUGUAUCUUUAACAAUCCCAGAGUUCUAACACUCGAUUUGUACUUUCGUAGGCCAAGGUUGGAGAGGUUGCUUCCUCACUGGGCAUAGUUUUACCUUCAUUCUUCCAGCCUCUCUUCCACUGGUGGUGGCUCCUACUUCCUAGUUUGAUCCAAGCACUGCAAAGUUGUUACACUUUGUAGAAGAUAAUAGUCGCCCAGUAAGUACUUCCAUUAUCCUUUUUAUGUUCAGAGUUCCUUUUUUUCUUCCUUACUUAUCAUCUGUUGCCAUUUGUAGCCUUCCUUAUCACAGACAUCUCACCAACCAGCCGUGUUUGCUUUUGGAGAACCCGUAGUCCCUGAGAUCCCUGUGGUUUCAGAGGUGACUAGCCUGAGGGCUUCUCGGGCAGAGUCUCUUGAUGUAGUUGUUUCUGAAUUACCUAUUUCUCAACUUCAAGUAUAUCAUUAUCUUAAACUUUCGCUUCUUGUUUUCUGCAAAUUGUCUUUUUGACACUUGUUCUCUUUGAUGUCUAAAGGCCUCAGGUAAAGGCCCAGGCAUUAUUCCUUCCUCCUUAACAACCAAAAAUGGUCCCUCUCCACAACUAAAGGAAACAACUCUUCCUCCAUCUCAUUCCUUGGCUCCGAGCUCAACCCAGGUAUAUUGUCCUUACUUGUCUCGCCUUCCGCCAUUCUGAAUCAUAAAUUAUUUCCUUAAUUUUUCUCCAUUGGUUGCAACAGGGCUUUGGGGAAGGCUCAGGCAAGUCUUCACCACGCUUGGUGCACAAAAUAGAACUCCCUCGACCUUCUUUAGCUUCUAGGGUCAUAGGGAUUCCUAUCCCAAGGCCGAAAAAGAAGACUAAGACCAUAACUGCUUCUAUCUCUCAGGUUCCUCCCUCGGUUGAAACUUCCUCCAUUGCUGCACCCUCUGAAGUAGCUGGAGUACGACCUUCUUCUCCUGUACCGGUUCCUUCAACAGUAUCUCUACCCGAGCUUUUUAAAGAAUUCGGGCAACUCAAGACAAAGUUAAGAUCUCCCAAGCAUCCAGGCAAUUCAAAACAAAGCUAAGAUCUCCCAAGCAUCCAUCUGAAUCUUCAGGCCUCCAAGAUCAACGCCGAGUCUUCCGAGAAUGGUUUAGAAGGGAUUUCUCAGCAUCCUUUAGCCUCAAGGCCCUCCAUGAUGUAGAGAAAGUAGUGACCGACAUUUUCAAGGCCGAUCAAUUAUCAAAAGUUCAGUAUGAGUCAUUUAUCUCAUAUUUUGAAAACUUGAAGGCUCUUAGAAAUCAGCAUAGUCGGGCUGAGAGGCAAACCAAUUGAGUAAGGUGCUUCAAGGAGAAACAAUCUAGUACUUUAACUCAAAUUUAGCAGCUAAUAAAUAAAGGCUCAGCCACGGAGGAGAAGAUCAAGAUGGUCUCUUCCAAUAUCCAGAAGUUAGAGGAGCAACUUGCUGUGUUGAAGGCUGAACAUGCGACUCUCAUUGGCAAGCUUCAGCAGCAAAUUGAAGGAGUAAAAAAGGCCAACAUGGAACUUGAAGACGCCGAAUCUCAACUUAUCAAUAGCAGCAUUGUUUUGACGGAGCCUACCAAAAUUUUCGCGCUCAUGUAGACUUAUUACUCCAGAAUAAUUACUCUGGGUGAAGAUGUACAUCUGUUAGGCUAUGAUCAAAUAUAAUCUUUUCUAAAAUAUACUUCUUUUCAUCUUGACUUGUAUCACUUUAAAUUGAAAUUCUUAUUGCCUUUUUUACUUCACCUCUUUUUUGAAAUCAUUAACUUUGUUUAAUAUAACGAUUUCUAACCCUCAAACAGUUGGAUGUCACCUCUUUAAACACUUAAUACUAACUGGAUGUCUUUGUAAGUUUUCUCUAAAUUGGUCGAUUAAUAUUUCCCUUUAUCUUGUGUUUUUCUCUCUUCCACACACCAAUAGUCUUUUGAUUAAGUACCUGACUGCAACUACCUGGUCAUUUCUUCUUUGUUCUGACAUUACUGGUGUUGGGAAAAUAUGGGGUCGGUCCCAUUCUUCCCUUGUAAGGAACAACCUUUGUUCCAAAAGCUUUUGGGCCGUCACCUUAGUCGGGCGGUCGUUCUCAUCAGCUCCUAAACACUGGAGAAUCUCAAUGCUAGGAUUAUAAAAAUUGACUUUUGCAACAUUGGUAGUGGGAAGGAAUGGCCGUGACUCGGCCUCUACCAUCUCCCAAAAUCCAGGUCCCAUAGCGCAUUCUUCGUGAUAAACUGCUACUUGUUGAUGUAGGGUGGAUGGCACCGAGAGACUUUGAUGAAUCCAAUCUCGGCCUAGUAAAGCUCCAUAUGUGGAAGUACUAUCCACAACGAAGAAAUCUAACAUGAUUUGCUUGAAACCCAAGUUAACCUCAAAGGGUCAUAUCCCAUGGGUUUUAAUGAUGGCUUCAGAGUAAGUGGAAACUGUUAAGUCCGUGGGGAUGAGGUCCUCCUCAUUUCUACAUACCCGCUUCAUCUGCUAAAGGGCAACACAUUGACCGCGGCUCAUCCAUCAAUCAAAACCCUCUUGAAGGGCACUCCCUCCAGAUGAGCAGUUACAUAAAUGGGCUUGAGAUGGUUGGCUAGGGUCAAACUCGGAUGACUGAAGACAAUCAUGUAUGUGUACACUCUCUCAGGCUUUCUCUUUGUGGGCUCGGGCACAUCUACUCUGCCCGAUUCCUCUUUUCCCACCUCUUCAACACUAACAUGUGCCAUCAUCGGUUCCGUUGCUAAGUAGUCAUCCUCCAUUAUGGCAGGUUGAUCAUGUUUCAGCACAAAACAUGGCGGAUAAAACAUAUUUUAUGUUUACGUGGAAGUUGCUAGGUUAAGAUAAGUUCUCAUUUUUGCCCCCAAUGCGGCUCAUGAACUCAUCUAACCAGGCCUGCGCUUCUUCUGGCAGCAUCAGCUCAGGCACCCUUUCUUCCCAGGUUAUGCUAAAGUUUGGGAUUUGUUGUGGAGCAUCGCAAAGAGUAUCAACCAACAAUGGUGCGGGCAACCCUCUCUCAGGUGAGAUAGUUCCAAAGCAUAUUGGUUCUAGGCUCCACCUUGGGGUUGGCAUCAUUACUAUAUCCUGUUGAGCUCUCUUAAAGAUUUUGUGUUUCCCAGGAUGGGGGUUCUAUGGCACAUGGUCUUCUUCCCUUUCGAUCUUGCUAUUAGACUUUUUCACCUCCUUCUUGGUUCUCCAAUGGAGUUGAUUUCUUCCAUCAACGAGUACUUUCUCAAACUUUACAUUCUCUGAGGUUUAUAAGGCAGUUGGGACUUUCAAUGAGUUCAUGUGGGCUUUAUGUUGCCUCUGGACUCUCCUAAUCAUGGAGGCUCUCAUUUCUUUAACGGGUCUCCCAUCAUUUCCGACCACAUACCAUUUCCUCCCGAGUCGGGCAUGAUUCUUCUUCGUGACUGGAUUCACAAUUCUACCCUUAACUCUGACAUCUCCACCAGCAUAGCUUGGUUGGGGUGGCCUCACAUCCACCCAUCUUGGCACCUUGGCCUCUUUGUCGUCCACCUCUUCAGAAGCUUCGUAAUUUCUGAAUACUUAUGACAAACCCUUUGGUUGGGAAUCUCCUUCCAACCUUUGGAAAACAUUCCUAGAGGUCUCUCAUUCAGCUGCCCACAUAACAUUUUUGCGUGCUUCCUGCUCUUAUUUCUUUCUUAUCUUGAUCAGCUCUUGAUCAAUAAUGGCUCCUAGUGCUGGGACUUCCAGCUCGUACUCACAUUGGCAUCUACUGCACAAUAUCACUCCCUUGAUUAUGGCCGCCUUGGGUUUCUCGGGCAACUUGAUGGCUCCAUUGGUUGGCCUAUCAACUUGCCUCCGUUAUGCUUUCACCUCACAUGUAGCUUUUCCUUUUCCCUUCUUAGCCCACGUCAAGUUGAUCAUGUUUAUUGGUACUUCUGGGAAGGGGUCAGAGUCAAUCAUCAUGUUGGCCUACGUUUCUCCAGCAACAACUUUCCUUUUAAUAUAAGGUCUUGUAUCCAAUCCCUGAUCUGGACAGAGUUGGUUAUAGAGUGAUUGAAAGUGUAAUGCAGCUUGCAAUAUUUUUUCCUUCUCAGUUCUCCGGCCUUGGGCAGUUUUUUGGCAUUGUCAGACACGAUGACUCUUGCUUGAACCAGCUCCUCAUAAAUCUCCGCUGCCUUGGUUAAAUUAAAGGAAUAACUCUGGUACUUGGGGGGUUUCAUGAGGAGCAAUCCACCAUCAUUCGUGACCACUUUCUAGUCUUUAAUUGGCUGUACUAACCCCUUUACAGUCAAAGGAUUAAAUGGGGUAGUCAUCUCUGCUGCGCAUACGUCCAUUCUCUCUCCUUCAUGACAUUAUUCUCUUCUGGCUUUCCUUCAAACUCCACUUGGUGAAUGGCAGCUUUGCUCUUAUAGAAAAGAGGCACCUUAGAUGAGUGCUUUACUUACUAUUCCUCCAGCAACAGCCUCUCAUACUUGUUGGUCGCAAUCACUAACUCAUUCAGCUCAUUGAAUUGUACAUCAUAAAACUUCUUCAUCAAAGACAAUCUUAACGCCCUCUGAGCAAUGGAUAUGAGAUGUGCAUGAUUUAUGGGGAACCGUCACCUCAUCCUCGUCUUCCUAAACCUCAUCAUGAAGUCUUCUGUAGACUCAUGCUCGUACUGCUUCGCCUUCACAAGGUCAUUGAUAACCAUCUCAGGUUUAACCCUGUAAAACUGCUCAUGGAAUGCCAUCUCCAUUUGCCCCCCAAUUGGCAAUAGAAUUAGAGGGCAACAAAGAAUACCACUGAGAUGCUAAGCCCACCAAGGAGUUCCCAAACAAUCUCAACUUGUAGUUGGGAUUGUCUUCAAAUGCCACACAGUGAUUAAAGAACUUGAAAAUAUGAUCUCUAGAAGACACAUUGCCAUCUUCUCCGCUGAAUGUUGGGAAUGCGGGCAUCUUGAAGUUGACUAGAAAAAGGUUUUGCUCGUCAACGUACUCAGGAUAAGGCUUCUGAUAAGUGCUCCUAAACAGCGGGCGAGCUUGUGGCUGAUCAUUCCGGGCCACCAUCCUCCUCAACUCGGCUAACUCAUCCCUGAGCUGUUAGUGAGUUGUAUUAUCAGGAAGAGUAUGAAGAGGUUCCUAUUUCGGGCUACGAUCAUUGCCCGAGAACGUCUUUUUUCUUGGCUCAGGCUUUCUCCACCUAGCAUCCCCUCCCUUACUGGCUAAUGACGAGGGCCUAUAAGGAAGAGGCUUGUCUGGCUUGGUAGGCUUGCCUUUUCCACUGGAUUUCCCAAUCAACUGGGGCCUCCCAUACUUCGUUCUUUCUUGCUCGCUCUACCCCUACUAUUAAGUGGAAAUAGUGAAGGGUCGGGCAACUCCACUUCUAGGAUUUCCUCCAAAACUGGCCCACUAGUGCCAGAUUCAUCAUUGUUUUUAUGUUUACCAUUCUUCCCCCUGACUUCUCAGAUGAGGUUGGGCUUCUCAAAACAGUUGGUCCUUGUAAAGAGGGAACGUUCUCUAGGCGGUCUGCCAUGUUUGAUUUUGGUAGUUAUUGGGGUAGCUUGUACUCUGUGUUCCACCUGAAGGUUUUCUCCUUCCUUCUUCUUCUUGACAUACAAGACUAAUGUGAUCUCACCGGGCAUGCCAAAACUAUGUUUGGGCGAAGAUUUCUUCGGAGAUGGCUCAUUGGCUCUCAGCACAGCUCCCCAAGGGAUUGGCACUUUGGAUAUGUAGUCGGGCUCUUGCUUGUAAGAAGAGGAUAGAGUUAGUUUUGAAAGGUGCCUUUGUAGGGCCUUACGUGUAAAACUUAAGGCUCGCAAUCAAAACUAACUAAAUGCUAGACGUGCCACUGUUAUCUCAAUAUAGCAGAUGUAGAACAAAUGUGUUUUAGUCGAUUACUUGCGCCCCAAGUUACUCGGACUUCUUGUUAUUAAAGGAUUGUCGUGGAUGGGUUAAAUCCACAUUAAGUUCUUUUUCUUGCCUUGUGACCAAGCACUUUCAGUUCAGUUUUGUAUAUUCAAGUAAGGGAAGUCCAAAUCUCCUUAAGUCAUCUACUCGGUUCUUGAUUGGUUUUUAAUGAAGGCAUAUUCAUUUAGGUAACCAGAUCCGGCACAAAUGAGACUCUUAAAGUAGGAAAACAGAUUGAUAUGACUUGAAUACAUGCUGGAGAAUACAUUAAGCAACAUAUCUAUUAACUUAUAAAACAAAGAAAGAGUUUUGAGCAAGAUUUCACCUUGUCGGGCAAGGUUGAACUUCUUGCAAUCACUUCUCUUUUGAGUUUACAAGGUUUAUAUGCUAAGAAGGGUUGGAUGGUAAACAAGUUUACAUGAGAGAAUCGAUACUACGCCACUAGGGGUGAUAGGGCUGAUUACAGCUUUUAGAUGCAAAUCUGGCUUGAGAGAAGAGUUUGUAUGUUUGUUUGUUUGAUUGGUUGAGUGUCAUUGUCUCUAAGGCAUCUUCCUCAUUUUAUAGGCAGAUUAGCCCGACUGUUGUAGCUUUGCUCUUGCCCGAAAGUAAUUGAAGGGUAGUGAGUCAUCAACUUUUUACUUGUAUUGCCACUGAAAAGUGCAUUUUGGCUGAUUAUGGGUUAGUCCCCAUCACUUGACACUUAAAUCAUAGGCACAUGGCCUAUGCAUUAAUGAGAAGGCGCCAAUUUGUCUCUGGGAUUGAUGCUAGGCUUCGGGCAACUCUUCCUUUAAUUGGUGUUUUUGAGCUUCCACACACUUGCAGCCCAAAGUUCAAAUAUUAACCCAAACACACUGUCUCACAGAUCAAGUCAGAUUGGGCAUGAGAAGGGCUGAAGGUCCAUCAGGAAAAAAAAAAAACCCCUUCAUCUCUGUGUGUUUGCUACAAGUCUGUCUGUAUGUCGUCAAGUCCAAUAAAAUGUUCAUCUUUUCCUGUAAAGAAACAGUGAAGAUGCCAAGCUUGAUGAGGGUUUUAACUUUGGGAAAAAUAAUCAUUAUUAUAAUAUUAUGACAUGGACACACUAGAUCUAUAGACUCUAGCAAACCACCAAUUAAAACACGACAUCUAAUUUGAGGUGCUAUUUCGGUUUCGGUGCGAUUUUCAAAAGCCAAAACCAAAACCAAAACCAAACUGUUUCCUACACUGCGGUUCGGUUUCCAAACCACAACCGUUUCAAAACUGCAAAACCGAACCAUUUGGUGCGGUCCGAUUUGGUUCAUGUUUGGGUUUUGGUUUUCGGUUUCAAGUGCCCACCCCUAGUACUAAGUGGCUUAUCACAUAAGUUUUAUGUAAAGUGAUUAAACAAUUUAGCAUGUGUCAGUUUACUAGAGAUUCUUUCGAAGGACUAUGAGAGAUACAACUCACGAUCCAGGAAGGAAGUCGAAUCUAAGACAGUGAAGAGGAAUAUUACUAGACCAUAUUAAGUGGCAUCAUAUCUUCUGAAUUUUUUAAAAUCGACUUUACUAGAAACAACAAACUCACUCAUAGUUUUGGCCUAUCAAUUACAUUCUUCAAUGUACAACCCCUCACUCCAACUUUCUCAGAAACCUGUUUGUAGCCUAACAGGGGUUCCUUCAGAAAAUCUGAAUUCAAAGGAAGGACAUUGCACCACUGCCCCGUCAACGUUUUUGAUGAUUCAAAUAUCCCUUAAAUUUUAGGGGUCCAUAUUUUUUUAUGGUCAACGUUAGGCGUCCAGAUGAUGGGCAAUUUAUCAAUUUGGAUAUCAUUGAGGACUGAAUUCGGAUGCAUAAGGUCUAAGCAAGAAGUACAGACAAAUCAUUCCAAUGCAAUUUACACUCAUUAAACAAAUACAGUUGAAUCUGAUUCUCACGGAUGCAUGGUUAAUUACCUUAACGCCUUUCAAGCAUUUCACUCAGAAAAAAGAAACAACUAUCAAAAUUGUGCAUGACGUCGAUUAAGAUAAGAUACAUGAGUUAAGAAAAGACACGUCCUAUUUGCAUAGUUCAUUUACCAGGUAAAGAAAGUACCUCAUCUCAUAACCGGUUUCCAGCUUCCUUGGAUAAACGGAUGUUCUUUGAGACUGCAUCGCACUCACUGGAGUUGCUUGUUUUUGCUUGUUUCCUCUAGAUGAAAGGAUAGUCAAAUUCAUGAUUGCACACAAGCGAUGUUUGGUCAAUAAGGUUGCUUUAAUCCAACCAAAUCUCUCUCGUAGAUGAGACGCACCCCACACCUCUUCACCUCCAAACCAGGGCCUAAGGUUUUAAAUGUAAACUCAAGGUGAUGACAACUGUCUUGCCAUGUUGUACCAAAGUAUUCACCAGAUACAACGGAUAGCCAAAUGUGCUCUUUCUCAAUUUGCCCUAAUUCUUCGCUGCAGGCGAAGGAAGGACACCAGCCACCUACACCCAAAUUCCCAGGCUUAACUUCGCAACGAAGACCAUGUGCAGUGGUAUGGGUUCCGUAGUUCCAUUUGCCAAGCAGAUUAGGUGGGAGUCGUCGACGGAGAGUGAAACAGCACACAAUGCAUAUCCCAUCCACUCGUUCUUGUACCAGUGUUGAGGGAGCUCCACGCUUACCACAGGCCUCUCACUUCGAUAACUAAACCACUCAGAAAUUUCACUGCCAGGAUAUAUAGCUUCAAAUUUAUUCCCUACGUAAGGGAUUCCCUAUAUAAUACAAAAUUACAAAUAGUGAAGUCAAACAAUUGAUACGACCGUCUUAUAAAUAAGUACAAAAUGCUUUUAGUUUAUUUUAUUUUUUCUGUGUGUGUGAGAGAGAGAGAGAGAGAGAACCUCAAGAAUAAAUCGCAAUAGGAGAACAAUAACUCUGUAGAAUACAAAACCCAACUAUUAGGUAGUAAAUCACCCCUGUUAGUAGCAGUAAGCAAAGAAAGACAUAAUGAAUUCCAAUAACUAGAAGGAAUAGAAUUAAAAGUAACCAUAGGUUCAUAAAUGCAAACCAAUCCGAAUGAUGGGAAAGGCAAACAUUGGAAAGCUCCAUAUGCGUAUCUGUUUGGGCCCAAAAUAAUAGUUUGGGCUGAGGGUAGGAUCACUCUCGGCCCAGGAGGCCGUGCGGCGAAAGGGCCAUGGAUCGUUCAGCUCAUGGGCUUCCAAGCCUAGGUCGGUUAAAUCAGAACGCAAGCCGAGUCCUAGUACAAUAGGGACUCUCGACAGGAUCAGUAAUCCAGAAAGCGAAUCCGGCUCAGUUAAGGACUAGAUUCGUAGUCCUAGUGGAGAUAGGAUUGGUCGAGGUGAUGUUGAUCCAGGGAGGGAAACCUAGUCCGAAUAGGAUUGUAACUCGGGCUCGAGGACCAGCACUAUAAAUAGAGGAAGCUGUGCAUUAAGGAAGGACCCCUGCAAAUCAAUACAAAAUUGCCCUGCGCAAAUUCUCACAACUUGUGAUUUUUCUUUUUCCUUUUUCGCUGACACAUCUUCCGUUGGCAUCAACAGCACUGUGGAAGCAACCGGUGAUAUCUUAAGUCGGCAUAGAUAGCUCUGUCACCGUAGAAUCAAUCGGUCUCGCAGUAUCUACCGUUGGCAUCAACAGCACUGCGGCGAGAACGGUUGAUUACCUAUCCAAGUCUCGGUCGAGAAGGGUUUCUGAACCCUUAUUGGUCGAGGUCAUCUCAUCAGCCUUCUCGGCGAAGUGAGGUGUUACACGUUAUUACAUUCAGCAUAUUGAAAGCCGAAUUUGAUAUUGAACUUCGUAAGAAUAGUAACCUUGUCUUCAGGUUCGAGAGCCCAAGAGGCCGAGACGUGUUCCUUUCUCGGCCGCAAUCGCAAGACGUAGAAGUCAGCCGCGCACCCAACGCAACAUCAACAAAUUUACUCCUCGGCCGAGCUCGGCUGACGAGUUGGCACGCCCCGCAUUCACCGAAGGACGUAGUUAGCUCAUUAAUUACUCGACCUGCGCGCCACGUAGGCUUUGUAGUUUUUAGGGUCAAUAUUUUGGCACGCCCAGUGGGACCCAGUGCUAAACUACGAAGUUCAUGCCAAUUGAAACAUGAUCGGUAAAAAAGAAAACAACUAUGGGAAAGUCGACAGCCGAUUUGCCGAAUCAAAGCCUGGGACAAAGUGUGCUGCAGGCGCAGAAUCCCCUUAGCGCUGUGACACCUGAGUCCAUGAGCGCGACUCGCCGAGAGAGAGAAGUUAAUCUCGGCAGUCAACUACGCGGUCUAGAAAUCCCUAACAGGAACACUUGCGUUCUCACUGAAGGGAUAGUAGAGGAGUGCGACGAGGAUGGUGGUGAAGGAUCUGAUCCACCAACAAGGUCGUUUCUUCGAAAACGACUAGACGAGCAGUCUCGGUCAGUCGAGCAGACGUUUAGUCGAGGCAUUGACAAGCUGCAUGAGGUGAUACUCAGUUCCAAUGAGCGACAAACCAGGCUGCUCGAGAUGUUGGUUAGUAAAGUCAGUGGCAGCAAGCCUUUUGACCUUCUUCAGCAUUCCACCAGGGAACAAUCCGAUACCAAUUGUACCGACCGAGCCUAUUCCUGCUCAGCUCAAACCAAUUGACUUGGAAAAAGAAGGAGGGUCGAAUAGUAGGUCAGACGGAACCGACCAGAGGGUCGAAGCAACACCUGUUGAUAUGACCGAAGUUCAGCGGAUGAUCGACUCGGCCAUGAAGAAAGGGCCGAAGUUUCCUAAGUUUAUUCAUCCGUACUCGGCUUACAUGGAAACGUUUGGAUACCCGAAAGGUUUCAAGAUCCCAGAUUUUAGUCUUUUUGCCGGUGAGUCGUCCCUGUCUUCGUUGGAACACGUGGCUCGUUUCACCGCGCAAUGCGGAGACGUUAAUAGUGAUUUCCAUAAAUUACGGUUGUUCAACUUUUCAUUGACCGGCUCAGCGUUUGCCUGGUAUAUCAAUCUCCCUCCUAAUUCCGUCCAAAACUGGGAGGAGUUGGUAGAGAAAUUCCACGAGCAGUUUUAUCGGCCAGGGAUGGAGAUGUCAGUUUCUUCGCUAGCACGGAUGGCUCAGGCAUCUGAUGAGUCACCAAUGGAUUAUCUUACCAGGUUUAAAUCGGCCAGGAAUUGGUGCCGGGUGUGAUAGGAGCAUUUUUAUGCAACUUAAUUGGCUUGUUCUCAUGCAUUUAUGUUGUUUUUCCUUAGUUAGUUUAGUGUUUAAAGUCAUUUCGUGCAAUUUCAGGUUUUAUUGUCAAAGUAUGCAAAAAUGAGCAUUUUGGAGCUUUUAGGAGCAAAAUUGGGCUUGGAAUGAAGUGCAUAUGCAUGGAGCAAGGAGUUUGGACGAAUUUGAAGUCAAAACAUCAAAUAAACAUGCUAAAAAUCUGGUGAAACAAAUACAAGUUGCAAGAAGGGAUAGGUUUCUAGAAGGAUUGACCAAAAUUCCACUCAAAACCAUGUUCACACCCCAGAAAUUCAUCUUUGCCGUGCAUCCUUGACUCACUUCCACCAGAUUUUUGAGUGGAUGAUUCAACACCUACUCUUUAUUGCUUUUACUUUGCCAUAUUUGCCAUGUUUGCUAGUUGUGUUAUUUGCUUGUUUUUAUGUGAGUCUAUGUUUGAAACAUUGAGGACAAUGUUUGGUUUAAGUGUGGGGGGGUGAACAAAGUGUUUUUGUUGCAAAAUUCGUGGGAUUUUACCACCUAACAUUUCAAAGGUUGUUUUUCAUUGUUUUUUUUAGUGUUUUUAGAAUGUUUUGAUGUGUUUUUAUGUGGCUUUACCAGAAAAUACGAAAAUUCAAGAAAAAAUUAGAAAAAUUUUGAAAAAACCCAAAAAGAGUUGUUUUUGUGUGUUUGUUUGUGUCUUAGGGUACCUUCCAACACAAUGAUGAGGAUUUGGUUUUUAAUUGCAUGACUGUUAAAGAGAGUUAUAAGCAUGGAUGAAAGUUUGAUUUACUCUUGGUUUAUGCUUGGUUGUGGUUAUAACUUAUGAAUUCACAUGCAAUCUUAAAGGAAAAAUCAGUUUUUGUUUGUAACAUGCUUGAAGGAAGCAACUCAAAUUAACACUACAACCUUGUGAGACUUGAGCCUAAACGUUUAUUUGGAGAGUUAUUAAUCUGUGCAUUCUUGUUUUCUAAAGUCGUUGCAUGAUCUCAUUAUUCUUUGCUUGGUUGCUACUUAGAAUGCGUUUCAUCACUUUAGUUCCAAAUGCUAGAACUCAUGCCAAUUUCAUUCAAAACAUGUUAUUGAAUUGCAUAACACAUAACAAGAUGAAGUUGUUUAGUAGUUACCACCAUAGCCAAAAAGCCUUCAUUCCAUACAUUUGUUUUUGUAGGUUUAACCCCGUUGAGCCUUAUUUAGCCUAUAUUGUUUGUUAACCCACGUUAUCCUUACCUAGCCUAGAUUAGGAUCAUCCAUACCCUUGUUCUUAAAGCAUAGUAAGCAUGACGUAAAAUGAAUUCCUUUUGAUUGAGGGUGUGCAGAAAACAAGUGUGGGGGAAGUGUUUUUCAUGAAGAAUUGUGUGCCAUAGGCACGGGUAGAAAGAAAGAAAGAAGAAAAGAAAAAUGUUGUGAAAAGUGAGAAAAAGAGUUGAAAGAGCAUGAAAAUGAGUUCUAAGGUGUGGAUUGUUGAAGAAGGGGUCCAAAACAUUGAAUUUGACCCUAAGUGUUGCAUGAAUUUCCCCUUUGAGUUUAAAAGUUGAUUCUUGCACCCAAAAGUGAAUUCUAAGUGUCAAUUUCAAUGCUUUGCUUACUAUUGUUUUAAGAACGUUUGUUUAUCCUUCACCUUUCUUAGCCAAUAUCCCAAGCCCCGUUACAACCCUCAACUUCUAUCUUGAGUGUUGUGUAUUUCAAUUUGUGGAGUUUGGGAUUGGUAUGAGCAUAUGGUGUCACUGGUUCUCGCGUCUAAGUAGUAGCAUUCUUUUCAUGUGAUCAUAUACAUUCUUAUCAAAUUCAGAAAAAACUUUCCUUGUUAUAACAUAUGUGAGCAUUCGUUUUCAUAUCUACAUCAAUCCUCUCACAUAUAACUAGCAUAGGGUGUGUAGUCAGAAAAUCUGUGCGAAAAUUGAGUGCAUAUCUAGUAAGGAAUUGAGCAAAUUCUCUAAGGCAUGUUGCUACAUUCAAAAUCAUGUUUUAAUUGGUUAGAUGCGAACGAGUACGUAGUGACUAUAAUUAAGUAUGUGCUUAAGUGUAAAGAUGGCUAAAAUCUGUGGGAAUGAUGAUCUUUAACAUGUUAUGUGCAUUGGAAAUCCCUAAGGCAAACGUUGGAAGGUUUAGGUUGUUUUUGUUUGUUUGGUUUCGUUUUGUUUUUCUUUUGUUUCUUUGUUUUGCUCGAGGACUAGCAAAAGCUAAGUGUGGGGGAAUUUGAUAGGAGCAUUUUUAUGCGACUUAAUUGGCUUGUUCUCAUGCAUUUAUGUUGUUUUUCCUUAGUUAGUUUAGUGUUUAAAGUCAUUUUCGUGCAAUUUCAGGUUUUAUUAUCAAAGUAUGCAAAAGGAGCAUUUUGGAGCUUUUAGGAGCAAAAUUGGGCUUGGAAUGAAGUGCAUAUGCAUGGAGCAAGGAGUUUGGACGAAUUUGAAGUCAAAACAUCAAAUAAACAUGCUAAAAAUCUGGUGAAACAAAUACAAGUUGCAAGAAAGGAUAGGUUUCUAGAAGGAUUGACCAAAAUUCCACUCAAAACCAUGUUCACACCCCAGAAAUUCAUCUUUGCCGUGCAUCCUUGACUCACUUCCACCAGAUUUUUGAGUGGAUGAUUCAACACCUAACAUCCACUUCUUGCUGUGCAUUCUUGAUUGUUUUCCCACCAGAAAAUUGAAUUAAACAAGUCCAUCCUCUCCCUAUAAAUACCCAUGGCAGCAACCUUAUUGAGGACAUCCAGAAAUUAACCAUUCUCCAAGCCUUGCCUUGCCUCUCCCUACAUAUCCAAACUCCUUCCCAUCCAUUCCUCCACCACAGCCGUGCCUUCCCACCACCAUCACCACCUUAUGCAGCCACCAUUGGAGGAGAAAGAAGUAGUGCCAUGCAGUCCAAAGGAGGAAGACACCUUGCACAUGCAAUCUGCCAUUAGUGGAGUGUUUGGAGUUCUUUCUUUUCUUGUUUCUGUUUUCAUGUUUAAUUUAACUUGCUUUCCAAUUAUGUUAAACAUGUGGAACUAAUUUCUUUUUAGUUAGAGGUGAAUUUGAAGCCAUGGACAUAUGUUGGUUAUGAUUUGAUUUACUCCAGUUAUGAAUUCAUGAACUUUAAAUGUGGUUUACUUUUCUGUUUUGAUUAAGAACUUGUUUAUGUAUGUAGGUUGAGGGUCGACACUUAAUUUGCAUGCCUAAACUUGAUACUAGGAUAUAAGGGAAUUUCACCUAAUCGUUAUGAACUUAUAUUCAUAAGUAGUAAAGAUCGCUAGUCACGAUUGUGUUAAGUAAACCCUAGGUUGGAUUAACAUGCGUAUUCCAUAGUUAUGAAUGCCUAGUCGAUGUUUAUGAUUUCCGUUGAACUUAAUGAUCUUUGUUGAAUGUCUCUAUCAUGCGUAUUCCAUAGUUAGGGAUUUUGAUGAGGAAUAAUUUGGUUGCGAUGCGUAUUCCAUUCAAUCCAAUGAAUCUAGGGAAAUCGGAAAGUUAAUUUAAGCGGACCUAAUUAACUUGGAGCAUUGUCAUUCAUCGUUUGUUGAAGUCAUAACUGGGAGUCAAAUUGUAUGCAUAUGUUCAUGUGUGGAUAAGGAACCCUCUAACUAGCUUCUCACCAUUCUAUUUAAUCAAAAUCUGUUUUAGUUUGCUUUGAUUUGCAAUUUGUUUAGUUUUAAUUCAAUUUCGUCAAAAAUCAAUCCCCCAUUUAUUUUAAAGUAUUAAAUUAGUUAGAAAUCAAUUUAGUGUUAGGUACUCAAAACUGCCCAGAAAGUGCUUUGAGUCAAGUUAUAGUCCAAAUUCGUCCAAAUUAGUGUUAGGUACUCAAAACUGCCCAGAAAGUGGUUUUAAGGCAGUUUUGAGCCUUUUAGUUGCUGUUUUGAGUUUUUAGUUUGUUUAGGUGUUUUAAACUCUAGUUUUACAUUAAUUAAGUCUAGUUUAGUGUUCUACAUUAUAUUUUUUAUGUUCUUGAGUCAGUUUUACAUUGAUUAGCAUCCCUAGUUAAUCCCCGGUCUAGAACGAUCCCUAUUUGCUCAUAUACUACAAUUGUCAUCCAUAGGGUUUAAUUUGUGUGUCAAGUUAAUUUUCACAUCAGGGUGCCUUUACCCGAAGUCGAAUUUGUCAGGCUUGCUUUGAACAGCCUCAACGUCGAAUACAAAAAGAAAUUCUUGGGGGCGAACUUUCGGGAUAUGUACGAAUUAGCCCAACAUGUCGAACAUUAUGAUUAUUUGCUCCGCGAGGAAAAGACUUCGAAAGCUCCAACUCGGGGGACGAUUUACAAGAAUCCUACUGUCAAUUAUGCAUCAGCCGAGGAUGAAUGUGUUAGUGUGGAUGCAGCUGAGAUAGUGAUCGAUAAGCCAUACGUUUGCAAGGCAUUGACUCAGGUUGAUUCUAGAAAAGCCAAAAGUCCCUCGGCCACUGAAGGAACAUCAAAAUCGUUAAAGGUUUACACUUUUGAUAUUACCAAGGCGGACGCAAUUUUUGACCAACUGUUAUCAGCAAGAAUCAUCAAGCUUCGGCCUGGUCACGACAUUUCUAAGGCCGAAGAACUUAAAGGAAAGGUAUAUUGCAAAUACCACAAUUCGAGCAAACAUACGACAAACAAUUGCGUCGUAUUUCGCGACAACGUCCAAAGCUGGAUUGAUAAUGGCAAACUGAAGUUUCCCGAGAAGAAGAUGAGUGUUGAAACUGAUUCGUUCCCCACGGCAACAGUAAAUAUGGUCGAUGCGUACCUACCCAAGGACAAAGGGAAAGGCAAGGCCGAAGUGGUUGAACGCCUGCGGAAUCAGAAUUCUCGGCCACGGUUCAUGGCCGAUUUUCGUUCAAACAAACCACCCACGGCUUUAACGGGGCCCGCUAUUGUCAAACCUAUGAUGGAUUAUAGCACCGAUGAAGACAGUGGAACGGUGGUUUUGUGCAGGAAAUGUAGAGAAAAGGUCGACAGUGAACCAGAGGAGAAGCCCUCUUCGCAACCUGUGGCCGCAACCCGGCAAAAGGUAGCCAAUAAAGGCCAACAUCAUGGGGUCUUUGAGAGGCUCGGUCCUAAAGUACAGAUGGAAGAGACACCCCCAGUCAGACGGCGCCUCGAUUUUGAUGCUUCAUUCUAUGACGAUGAUUACUAUAAGCGUAAUUCUAGCAGUUCAGAAUCAUUGCGGAGCAAAAAGACCUUCAAGCCUCCCGAGCCUAGAGAUCAACGUUGGUAUACAUAUCAUUCUUCGAGGGGGGUCUACAUCGCGUUGUCCAAAUCUCAGAAACACCGGCAUCAAAGGAUAGAUUGCAUGGCCCGUCGACGAGCAGCCCAAGAAACUUUGGCCCCGAAGUGGCGGUCGAAGAACAUAGUUGCCACUGAUGAUGAGCGACCACCUCCAGCAAUUAUGACAGAGUUGGCUCAAGGGAAACGGCUGGUCGACCAAGAUGUCGAGACCACGUUUGAAGAGGCUGAUAAAUGGAUCAAACUUCUUCUUCGACCAGGGGAGAUGAAGGCACGCCUCGAGCAUUUCAAGCAAGAGGCCGAAAGAAAAUUUCCUCCGCCAGCUAUACAAGAACCUUUGAUCAGAAUUCGACGGAAUUUGCAUCCACCAUUUCUUGGGGAGGCUUUAGAAUAUAUGCGAGAAUUUCAUAAGAAACAUUCGGCCAACGAUCUGUAUGGUUUGCCGAAGGCAUGCCAGGACACCAUUGAUCUAGUCCUGACUUGUCCGGAUGCCGAGCGAAUCAUUCAGAAGACCUCAGAUCCAGGAUUGAAAGUAAGGUUCUAGCAUAUACGAAAAGCUCGUGUCCUUGGAUUUGAAGUUGACCCGUACACCGAUAUCGAUGCAGCCGACCUUCCUUUCUCAACGGAUGACCUUCAGUAUUUACGAUAUCACUUCGAAGUAUUUUCAGCUGUUUCUCUCUUCGGCCUUACGGCCGAUGAAAUCGCACGUGUUGCACGUUUCGACGCUUAUCUCAACACCAGGGAUGCCCGAUUACAAUACCAAGAGCAGGUUCAGGUUCUGAUCCCAAGUGCACCGUCAAUCUCAACCUUACCUGAGGCGGUCACGCAGGACCAACAAAUCGUCGAUGCAGCACCGCCGAAUGAAGCCAUCAAAGAAGGAACAGAAGCGUCUCGUUGUCCGACUCUGACGGCAACGGAGUCCGUAAUCGCUGACCAACCGAGCGAGGAGGGUAUUGACCCAAUGGGCCCGUCAGUCCUGGAUAAUAUGGAAAUCAGUAUGGUCCAUGUGUUACCUGCCAAUUUUCAAUCAAGCACGGCUCAACCAAAUUUCCUCGACGAAGAUGUGGUGGCCGAAGAGGCCGGCCAUGUUGAUUUUGUAUUUGUUGCUGAAGUUGAGUUAGCAACAAAAGCUGACAAUCUAAAGGCGGCUUUGGCUGAAUUGUUUCCUCGUUCAUCAUCGGCCAAACUUCGCCAUUUAAAGCCUUUGUAUGUGACGGCCCAUAUCGAGGGGUAUCCAGUUUCUAAAGUUUUCGUCGACUGUGGAGCUACCGUCAAUAUCAUGCCUCUGAACAUCAUGAAGGCCUUACGUCGCUCGACUGACGAGCUUAUUCCUUCAGGGAUCACAAUGAGUAGUUUUGUCGGCGACAAAUCCCAAACCAAAGGUGUGCUUCCGUUAACUGUAAACAUUGCCGGUCGCACCGCCUUUUUCGUGGUUGAUUCCAGAACCGAGUAUAAUGCACUGCUCGGUCGAGACUGGAUUCAUCAAACCAACUGUAUUCCUUCAUCAUUGUAUCAAGUGCUUGUCUUUUGGGACGGUAACUCGGUCACUGUUCACCCGGCCGAUAGCCAGCCUUUCGAAGCUAACAUGAUCCAAGCACGGUAUUAUAAUGACCAUGUCGGCUACAUUACAUUGCAAGGCUUCAAUGAAGAAGGACGACCGACUCGGAUUUCGGUUCAUAAAGCUAUCGAGGUUGGCGCCGAAACUGUCCAGCAGGAUUCGGCGAGACUCGGAUUAGCCAAUUUCCUCCCCGAAGCUGAUGUUUGACACCGAUCGGGAAACACGUAGGGCCGCGGUUUCAUCUACUAUGGAACGACUGCUGGCCCAUUGGUAUACUAUAUCCAAACAACCAAAUUCGGGCGUUAACCUCGUCGAGUUCCUUGCCGAAGAAGAUAAUGGUCCUGUUUUGUCUCUUGAUAAAAUUCAAGCCGCCCCGGCCGAACUCGAAGAUCAUCGGCCCCAAGUUAAGGACCCCUUGGAAGAGAUUAAUGUUGGGACGGCCGAUGAUCCACGACCUUUGUUUGUUAGUGCGUUACUUCCCCAACAAAUGAAUGACGAGUUUCGUGCCUUGCUUACGGAGUUCAAAGAUUGUUUUGCUUGGAGCUAUCAUGAAAUGCCCGGCUUAGAGCGCACUCUGGUCGAGCAUGAAUUACAUAUUAAGCCCGGAUGCAAACCUUUCCGUCAGCCACCUCGUCGAUUCUCGACCGAAGUGCAACUCGGCAUCAAGGACGAAUUGGUUCGGCUUUUGAAAGCCGGGUUCAUUCGGACAGCUCGAUAUGUUGAAUGGUUGGCAAAUAUCGUGCCUGUUUUAAAGAAAAAUGGUGCCCUACACAUCUGUAUCGAUUUCAGAAAUCUGAAUCUGGCAACUCCCAAAGAUGAGUAUCCAAUGCCGAUCUCAGACCUCUUGAUCGAUGCUGCGGUGAGUCAUGCAAUCUUAUCCUUUAUGGAUGGACACGCCGGAUACAACCAAAUAUUCAUUGCCGAAGCCGAUGUGCACAAAACUGCUUUCCGUUGCCCGGGGGCACUCGGGACUUACGAAUGGGUUGUUAUGCCGUUCGGCCUCAAGAAUAACGCCGCCACAUACCAACGGGCGAUGAAUACCAUCUUCCAUGAUUUAAUUGGAACCAUCGUCGAAGUUUAAAUCGACGAUGUUGUCAUCAAAUCUAAACGCCGACAGACACAUCUGGACGAUCUCCGACAGGCUUUCUUCCGCAUGCGUUGGCACAACCUCAAGAUGAAUCCCGCCAAGUGUGCUUUCGACGUAUCGGCCGGAAAUUUUCUUGGCUUCCUCGUGCAUCACCGUGGGAUUGAAGUCGAUGAGAAUAAGGCCCGCGCAAUCAUCAAUGCCCCACCCCCAACAACGAAGAAACAACUCCAGUCCUUACUCGGCCAGAUCAAUUUCCUCCGCCAAUUUAUUGCCAACUCUGCAGGUAAAAUGAAAGCGUUCUCCACGCUUUUGAAACUCAAGGACUCCGAUAAAUUUGUGUGGAACGAUGAGCAUCAGGCGGCGUUUAUGCAAAUCAAAGUCUCCCUCAUGAACCCACAUGUCCUGGUUCCUCCUCGGCGCGGUAAGCCUCUUAAGCUCUACAUCUCGGCGGUCGAAGAGUCCAUCGGCUGCCUCUUUGCACAAGACAGCGACGCCGGCCGAGAACAGGCUAUUUUUUAUCUCAACCGCAAUCUCAGUCAACCGGAGAUCAAUUAUCCAGCCGUCGAGAAGCUGUGUCUGGCCGUGUUUUUCGCCGCUUCCAAGCUUCGGCAUUAUAUGCUCCCAUCGGUCACCCAAGUUAUUGCUCAGACCGACGUCAUCCGCUACAUGCUCACCCGACCAAUCGUAAAAGGCCGCAUUGGGAAAUGGACCAUGGCACUAUCCGAAUUUAGCUUGCAGUAUGUAGCCCAGAAAACUGUCAAGGGCCAGGCACUGGCUGAUUUCCUUGCUCAACAUCCUUCCCCAUACGGGUGUGGGGGCAACGACGUUGAAAUCGGCAUGGUUCAGACGCGCAACAACCACUGGACGAUGUACUUUGACGGCUCCAGUACGUCAUCUUCGGCGGGUGUGGGAAUUGUCAUUCAAUCCCCGAACCACGAUCGCUGGUUAUUUUCGCUUAAGUUGGAUUUCGAAUGCACCAACAAUCAGGCCGAAUACGAAGCCCUAAUUGUCGGCCUUGGAAUCCUUCAUGACCUGCGGGCGACCCGCGCCCUCGUCCUCGGCAACUCCGAACUUGUGAUUAACCAACUCAAUGGUUCUUUUCGUUGCAUGAGUUGUACCCUGGCGCCUUACCACACGAUCGCCAGCUAUUUGGCCAAGUCCUUCGACGGUAUUACAUUUAAACAUAUUUCCCGGAGUCAUAAUACCGACGCAGACGAAUUGGCUCAAAUUGCCUUCGGCGCACAUCUCUUGGGGGGCAAGCUAGGCCGAGAAAUACCCAUGUUGUGACAGCUAUACCCAGCCUUGGUUAACCAACAAGUCCUCCAGCGCGACAACGUGAUACGUACAAGAGUCAUGUCCUUACCUUCGUUGUUAGAUCGAGACGACCCUGUGGAGAUUUGCACGACCGAGGCAAUACCAGAUGAUUGGAGAAAGCCCAUUAUGCAGUACCUCGACAAUCCCAAUGGUAAAUAUGAUCGCAAGACAAGAGUUCACACCACGAACUAUGUCAUGUAUCAGAACGAGUUAUACCGAAAAGGCGAAGAUGAUUUAUUAUUACUAUGCCUCGGCCCCCAAGAGAGUGCUCAGGCGAUUACAAAAGUCCAUGAAGGGAUAUGCGGAGCUCAUCAAUCUGGACGGAAAAUGCGAUGGCUACUUCGACGGCACGACUAUUUUUGGCCAAGGAUACUAAAGGAUUGUAUCGAGUUUGCACAAGGAUGUGUACAAUGCCAAAUCCACGGGCCUAUACAAAGGGUCCCGGCCGAAUCUUUGCAUUCGGUCAUAAAGCCAUGGCCAUUUAAAGGAUGGGCCAUGGACGUAAUCGGCAAAAUCACGCCGUCUUCUGGAGCUGCUAAGCACGCAUGGGUAAUAGUCGCAACCGAUUACUUUACUAAGUGGGUCGAAGCGAAAUCAUAUGUCGAACUAACAUCUAAAGAAGUUUGAGAUUUCGUGGAGGAACACAUCGUGACCAGAUUUGGUGUACCAGAAAUGAUCAUAACUGACAAUGGAACAAUCUUCACAGCCGAGAGGUUUAAAGAGUAUACGGCAAAUUUAAAAAUUCAGCUUGAACAGUCUACACCGUAUUAUCCACAGGCGAAUGGGCAGGCCGAGGCAAGUAAUAAAGUGUUGAUCGGCAUCCUUGAAAAAAUGAUAAAAGAAAGGCCUGGCAUGUGGCAUUUGAAGUUGAACGAGGCAUUAUGGGCAUACCGAACGACGCCCCGGUCGGCGACCACGACAACCCCAUACGCAUUAACCUACAGACACGAUGCAAUGUUACCAGUCGAGUUAAGCAUAAAUUCGUUGCGAUUAAUUGAACAAAGUAGUUUGUUUAGCGCCGAAUACAAUCAGUCCAUGAGACAAGAAUUAGAAGAUUUGGAAGAAGUGCGACUUGACGCUUAUAACUUACUGGUGGCACAGAAACGGAUUGCCGAACGAGCAUACAAUCAAAAGGUGCGACGGAAAACAUUCGGUGAAGGCGAAUUGGUUUGGCAAACGGUGUUACCCGUAGGACUAAAAGACCCUAGGUUCGGCAAGUGGUCGCCAAAUUGGGAAGGACCGUUCGUUGUACAUAAGGUAUACGAAAAAGGGGCGUAUCAUCUUCAAGACCGGACCGGUUCAGUUCACAAAUUACCAAUCAACGGGAAGUUUUUUAAAAAGUACUACCCGGUAACGUGGGAAAUGUGAGAAUAAACAAAACCAUCUCAUUAAGAUUGAUGAGCAUGUACAAGCUAAGUAAGUCAUUCAGGUUAAAACUAAGUACAUUCAAGGGGAAGAAGGUAAGAGGGUGCCGAGAAGGGCCUUCAAUUCCAACCACCGCACCUCGGCCAUGAUAACUUCAGCUUGCCGAUUCUUCUUGUCCAGCUUCAACCGCUCGACCCGCUUUGUUGUCGCUGCGUACUCAGUUAGGCGAUCCUUUCCACCCGACUCGAAGUCUCUAGCAAGCUCGGACGCGAUGGCCGAUCGACGUUUUGCUAGUUCAGCCAUCUGACGGUCGAGCUCGGCUAAUACUUCUCCUUUUGCCCUUAGAGCGUCGAUUUUCGGACGGAGAGUGUCUUGAACGGCCGUGGCAGCUUGCAGGUCCUGUUUGGCCUUUAGAGCGGUCUGGAAGACACUAAAUGUCUCCUGAACCCGCUCCAAAGCAGACGAUGCCCAAACGAUGGCAUUUCCGCUCAGGCGACCGUCGGCCCCAAGAUCGUUCAGACACACGCCAAGCAGAUCAAGACCGUUGCGCUCGAGUACUUGCGGUGCUGAAAGCGACAGAACUUCUCGCAACUGGGUUAGAGCGGUUGGAUCGGCAGCCUCAAUCGGAGCAGCCGAAGGCCCGGACUCGGCAGUUGUGCUGGAGAUGAGGGCUUUGAAUUCGACCUCCCACGAAGCAUGGACAUAUAAAUCAGUUUAGGCUUAAAGGAAGGCAGUGCAAGAAUAGCAAGAAGGUUUCAUUUUUUAACCUGCCGAGAGGAGACCUCGGCCAUGUCCCCAAGAUCGUUGCUCGAACCUAAAGAACUCAACGGCCGAGCCCAGUGUCUCAGAUUGCUUCUCAGUUCACGCGGUCGAUGGAGGUUAUCUACGUUUGAUGGCCACUGAGGCGGCCAAGAAAUAUAGAUAACGCCCUUCGGCGCGUAGAAUUGUCGGUGAAAAGAAUGUACAGGCACCUGACAUUUAGUAUUUUCCUCGUUUAGAAUUCUAAAGCGGAAAAGCAAUCAAGGAAAGACGGUGGAAGAUACUUACGAAGGCCGAAGUAGCCUCCUGCGGAGGAAUGUGGAAGCCCUGGUCUUGAGGAUGAACGAGCGAUUCCGCCGUUGCCUCGGGUUCCUCGACUGGUCGUUUGCCACGGUCGGCUGUGGAGGGGCCGACCGGGACAGCUGCUUCUGAGGAAGGAACACCCUGGUCCUAAGAAGGAGCAAGGGGUUCGGACACCGCCGUUGGUUCCUCGACCGGACGCUUGUCACGAUCGACCGUGGAGGGGCCGGCUUGAACUGCCAUCUCGGACACUGGAGGAGGUUGUCGGCGAGUAUGAGGACGAUGUGCCAGCGGGACCUCGUCGCUCCCCUCACUCUCUUUCAGAACGAAGACCGAGGGCUUUGGAUUUUUGGGAGAGGUGCCCUCGGUCGCAGAAACCGCCUUCUGUGGGACAGGUGCCUCCUCGACGGAGGGAGGCAUGACUGGUGUGCCGGCCCCAGAGACAGGCUGCGCUUGAACUAUCUCUGCGACCGAAGCUGGCGGUUUCUCGACCAAGGAAUGGCCGACGGCGGGAGAAGGGGAAGCACUGGGAGUCGUCAUCCCCGUAGUAUGACUGGAGAUGACGUGGAUGUCUCGUGCACCUUUCUUCGCCAGUGUUUUUACCCGCUUGCAGGCGGGGGAGACUCGACAGCCGGCUCGACCUCUGGGCAAGGCCGUUUGAUCAGCACGGCCCGACCAGCAGUUUUGUUCUUCUUGGCCACGACCGAUUUUUUCUCGGCCGUAGCAGCGGCAACUGCAUCCGUUUUUCUUGAAGGCCGACUACCUGAGAAGAUAAAAGCAAUUCAGCAAGGCAAAUCAGUAUGCAGAGUUGAAAGAAAAGAGGAGAAAUGAACAAUUACCUUGAGAUUGGGGGGCCGAGGCCUUCUUCGGUCGGUCACCGAAGAGUUUGUUCAGCACCUCUUCGACCGGAGCACCAAAGAACUCUUGGGUCUAAUUUUCCCACCAUUCACCGAAGGUGUCGGUGCAAAGGGUUUCUGGGGUGGCCGGUCGAAGGCGGAAUUUUUUGCAGUACUCUUGGAACUCCCUCGCGACAGUUUUACAUUCCUUCUCCGAGGAACGAGGUUCACGUCCACGGCUUAGGACUGUUCGGGAGGAGAGAAGGGGAACAGGGCAGCCCUGAAGAUAGCCGAGCUGUCGGGCAAGGAAGUUCGGAUGGUACACUUCCCAACCCGACCAUUUCCCAUCGCAGCCAAGAGGGAGGUCGCGAGCGAGCACAAACGACCCCCAAGUCUGACGAAGCUCGGCAUCCUCCUCCGCGCCCCACACAGAGGUAGGUAGUCUGAUGGAGGAAGGAUAGUCCCGAUGACGACAUAUCAAGAAUUCAUCGUUGGAGAGAUCAUCAAGAGCGAAGAGGUACCGAAAUACCUCUUCGGCUUGGUGAGGAGGUGUCGGUCGGGAGGCCAGCUGAGGUCCAAGAGCCUCCGUUGGCGAGAAGUCAGCUAUGGCCGGCCGAAGGGAGGCGAAGUACACUUGUAACCAGAGCUGGAAGACCCAGAGGGGACCAUUCUGGUGUGGGUCGACCUUGUGGAGGGUCGUCUCGGCCAGGCAACGGAAGAGAUGGGCGAGAAUGUUGGAACUCAGUGCCAGGACGUGACCACUAGCCAGGGCUUCGGCUACCAGCAUGUUCUCGACCAAACACUUGUUCGACUUGGUACAACAAAUGUAUUUGUUGUACCAAUAGAAGAGGAAGGCUUCAUGCUCUUCCUCUCGCAGGUCCUCUUCUCAUCGGCCGGCGAAAUGAAGAUAGAGGGUGUUGUAAUUAAAGAAGUUCUUGUGGAGCUUCUGAAUGUCUUCCUUCGACGGGAUUUGACCGUCACGGUUCAAGGUCUCGAAGGCUCGUCGAUCGAAAAGCGUCUUCAGAUCAAUAUUCGAUGGGUGCCCAGAGAGGGCCGCGUCGAUAGGGAUCCCGGUUGCCGAAGUCCCCAGAAUGGCGGUGACAUCAAGGAUGGUAGGACCGAGGGGACCAAGAGGAAGAACCAGGGUGUUGGUGGCCGAGCACCAGAAGCACAAGGCGGCUAGGAGAAGCUCCUUGUCGAGAAUGACAUCCAUUGACGAGAGAAUGAUGGCGUCGUAAAUGCCGAGGGCUCUCCAUUGCUCGCCGAAGAACCAUUCCAGGCUGCCCAGGUUGUGGUCGUCGAGGGCCAGGAGCCUUGGGGUUUCGCCGCAUCCCAUCUUGACCAUUCAAACCCUUGGAACAAGGGUGUUAGGCAGUGCUCCUGGAGAAGGCCAGUAAUGGUCGACGGUAUUGCAGCCUUGAAGAGAGGACCCAAGAUUUGGUGGACAGUGCUCAUGUCACUUUCAAACCGUAUGGUUUUGAUCGAGCUCCGAUCAAGGAUUUUCUGGUGCUGUUCACAUUCCCUGGAAAGCUUGGAGAUGAAAGACGCCAUUAUAGGAAGGAAGCACGGCGUAAAAGGUUUUCUGGGUUGGGGGAUUUGAAGAUGAAGACCUGGAACAAGAAAUGUGCUGGAGAAGAAGGGCAAGAGAUUUCAGAAAAUUUUGAGAGCAUAAAGUGCAAAUGAGAGAAUUCGGUAUUUAUAGAGUUGUGGAGGGAAGAGCAAUCGUUCGAAAUUCAAAACAAAGGGCAAAAUCAACCGAAGGAAUCGUUGAUCAUGAUGAACAUUUGGGAAAUGCAGUUGAGAAGACCGAAGGUUUCAGGUUUUGGGGGCGCACGAUCGCGUGUGAUGGCGAAAUUAAUGGCAGAAGACAUUUCGACGCUUGCACGAUGACAGGUGGACUCACGGAUUGAGAAAGCGGCUCGUGAAUUGAGGUAAUGGUUAAGUUGACGGUUCAGGUAGCCGCACGCCUUAGACGUCAUCAUUGGGGUUGGCCGUGUUGGAGAACGCCACGUGGCGAGUUUGGUUAGCAGGAUCAAGAUCGUGCAAUCAUGUUCAAUAAAUGCGCCUUGGAACUUGGGCAUUAGGGUUCUGAGUGGUAGAUUCGCUUCUUCAAGGCCGAAACUCGGCCAAAGAAUUCAGGCCGAGGACCUCAGAAGCGAGGGGGCAAUGUUUGGGCCCAAAAUAAUAGUUUGGGCCGAGGGUAGGAUCACUCUCGGCUCAAGAGGCCGUGCGGCGAAAGGGCCAUGGAUCGUUCAGCUCAUGGGCUUCCAAGCCUAGGUUGGUUAAAUCAGAACGCAAGCCGAGUCCUAGUACAAUAGGGACUCUCGACAGGAUCAGUAAUCCAGAAAGAGAAUCCAGCUCAGUUAAGGACUAGAUUCGUAGUCCUAGUGGAGAUAGGAUUGGUCGAGGUGAUGUUGAUCUAGGGAGGGAAACCUAGUCCGAAUAGGAUUGUAACUCGGGCUCGAGGACCAGCGCUAUAAAUAGGGGAAGUUGUGCAUUAACGAAGGACCCCUGCAAAUCAAUACAAAAUUGCCCUUCGCAAAUUCUCACAACUUGUGAUUUUUCUUUUUCCUUUUUCGCUGACACAUCUUCCGUUGGCAUCAACAGCACUGUGGAAGCAACCGGUGAUAUCUUAAGUCGGCAUAGAUAGCUCUGUCACCGUAGAAUCAAUCGGUCUCGCAGUAUCUUCCGUUGGCAUCAACAGCACUGCGGUGAGAACGGUUGAUUACCUAUCCAAGUCUCGGUCGAGAAGGGUUUCUGAACCCUUAUUGGUCAAGGUUAUCUCAUCAGCCUUCUCGGCGAAGUGAGGUGUUACACGUUAUUACGUUCGGCAUAUUGAAAGCCGAAUUUGAUAUUGAACUUCGUAAGAAUAGUAACCUUGUCUUCAGGUUCAAGAGCCCAAGAGGCCGAGACGUGUUCCUUUCUCGACCGCAAUCGCAAGACGCAGAAGUCAGCCGCGCACCCAACGCAACAUCAACAAAUUUACUCCUCGGUCGAGCUCGGCCGACGAGUUGGCAAGCCCCGCAUUCACCGAAUGACGUAGUUAGCUCAUUAAUUACUCGGCCUGCGUGCCACAUAGGCUUUGUAGUUUUUAGGGUCAACAGUAUCAGAAUUAACAAUACCGCGAAAUAUUCCAGUAAACUAGCUUCAUUUGGAGGUUGAAAUAACUUGUCUUCCUGCCCUAGUAACAUAGGGUUCUUCUUGCCUAUCUGCGUUAGCUAAGCUUUCCCAUAACUGUAGGAUUACAUCAAGGCUCAUCCUUAAGUCCUUACCUUUUUGCGUUGGUAAUGGAUGACUUAACAGGACAUAUUCAAGAUGAUAUUCCUUGGUGUAUGUUUCGCAAACGAUAUAGUGUUGAUAGAUGAAACUCAGGAAGGGGUAAAUGCAAAGCUUAACCUUUGGAGAGAAGUGUUGGAAUCUAAAGGUCUUCGCCAAAGCCGAUCAAAGACAGAAUAUAUGGAGUGCAAGUUCAGUGCAAAUGGAGGCCAAAACGAAUUAGGGGUGAGGAUCGGAGAUCAAGAAAUACCAAAGAGCGACCGUUUUCGUUACCUAGGAUCUAUCUUGCAAAAGAACGGAGAAUUAGAUGGAGAUCUCAACCAUAGAAUACAAGCUGGAUGGAUGAAGUGGAAGAGUGCAUCCGGCGUGUUGUGUGACCGCCGUAUGCCACUGAAGCUCAAGGGAAAAUUUUAUAGGACGGCAAUAAGGUCGGCGAUGCUGUAUGGCACAGAAUGUUGGGCAGUGAAGCAUCAACACGUACACAAAAUGGGUGUAGUGGAGAUGGGGAUGCUUCGUUGGAUGUGUGGGCACACGAGAAAGGAUAAGAUUAGGAAUGAGGAUAUCCGGGGUAAAGUAGGAGUAGCUGAAAUUGAAGGAAAGAUGAGAGAAAAUCGGUUACGAUGGUUUGGACAUGUGCAAAGAAGGCCUACUGACGCUCCGAUUAGAAGAUACGACUAUGGGACAAAGGUUCAGGGCCGAAGGGGUAGAGGAAGACCUAGGAAAACUUUGGAAGAGACCCUAAGAAAAGACUUAGAGUACUUGGAUCUAACGGAGGACAUGACAAAUGACAGAACAUAAUGGCGUUCUAAGAUUCAUAUAGCCGAUCCCACUCAAUGACUUGGAUUUUCCAAGUCUCCAACCGAGAAGUUUUCCUCACUCGGGAAAUUAAGGGAACACUACCUCAACCUACAUGCUCCACUCACAAAGCUUCAACAUGCAAGUUUUAACAAAAGAAAAUUCAAAGAACUUAGCGAAGAAAGCUUUGGUGUAUUUAACACAAUACGUUGAAAUGAAGGAAAACUUAUUUAUUGAUAUCCCCGAUAAGUUACAAAUAUGUACAUAUACAUGAGUCAAAAUAAACAAACAAGAGGGAGCCUUCACAAAGGUUGUUUAGGAGAAGUCUCAGCAGUCGGUAGAGCCCCAGAAAGAGAAGGCACCGGAGGGGGAUCAUUCGGAGCCUCAGUACUGGACAGAACCCUAGAAGGAUGAGGCAUCAGAGGUUGAUCAUUUGGAGCUUCAUUACGCGGUACAACCCUAGAAGACGAAGGCAAUAAAUGCCUUUGGAACAAACCCACAAAUCUCUGAUGAUCAAGUAAAACCUGACCAUCAGAUUCCUUCAUUACGCGCCAUAUGUUGUCUGGAGAAGGCGGGGCUGCCUCUUCAACAAGGUUCAAGUCAAAACGACAGUCGGAGGGGCCAGACAUUUUCAAAGGUGUUGAAGAGAGAAGAGGUCGGACAAAGCAAGAUCUUAGAAGUGCAAGAAUGGAACUUCUACUGGUGGAGAUUCAAGUGUGUUUUGGAACUUAAUGCCAGCCCUAUAAAAAUCUGCACUCGACGAAGCUUCAAAAAUCGAAGAGGCGUCUGCUCAGAAAUCGAAGAGGCGUUUGCUUUCUCAAAAGAUGGGCUGCUCAAAGACCACGAAGGCCGAUCUCAGAAAUCGAAGAGGCUUGCUUUCUCAAAAGCUGGGCUGCUCAGAGACCACGAGGGCCGAUCUCAGAAAUCGAAGAGGCACAUACUUUUCCAGCCUUGUCAGCACUUGUCACACGCACACUCAGCUUUGCGGAAAUUAUGAGCAUUCUGUCGAAGAUUUCUGGUGAAGUAGAAAUCACAUGAAUCGUACUGUUUAAUCACCCACUUCCCACACGCAACAGUAGCUCAUGGGUACCACAGAUAACUUUGCCAAAGUUCUCUGACAAAGUUGAGACACGUGAAGCUUGCAGCUCCCACUACCUUGCUCUGACCAAGAAGGGUAAAAGAAUAGCAAAGAAACAACACUAACAAAGUUUAGACACGUAAAUUUUCAAGGUCUAGCUACCAUAUUAUUACCCACAAGGGUAAAGGAACAGUACCACUGUUGGAUAAUUGGAAGGUCCCGGUGUGUCAACCUCUGUACUUCGUGGCAAGGUAGACUAGCAAACAUGCCCAACCUUUACUCACAUUCGAGAAAAUACUCCCAACAAGAUUGCUUGCUCCAAAAUUGAAGAGGCACCGUCUUCCAAAUCUCGAGAGCCAGACUCCCAACAUGAUUACUUUCUCAAAAUCGAAGAGAGGGUAAAGGAACAGUACCACUGCUGGAUAAUUGGAAAGUCCCUGUGUGUCAACCUCUGUGCUUCGUGGCAAGGUAGACUAGCAAACAUGCCCAACCUUUACUCACAUUCGAGAAAACACUCCCAACAAGAUUGCUUGCUCCAAAAUCGAAGAGGCACCGCCCUCCGAAUCUCGAGAGCCAGACUCCCAACAUGAUUACUUUCUCAAAAUCGAAGAGAGGGUAAAGGAUCAGUACCACUGCUGGAUAAUUGGAAAGUCCCUGUGUGUCAACCUCUGUGCUUCGUGGCAAUGUAGACUAGCAAACUUGCCCAACCUUUACUCACAUUCAAGAAAACACUCCCAACAAGAUUGCUUGCUCCAAAAUCGAAGAGGCACCGCCCUCCAAAUCUCGAGAGCCAGACUCCCAACAUGAUUACUUUCUGAAAAAUCGAAGAGACGCCGCUCUCCGAAUCUCGAGAGCCAGACCCCCAGCAGGAUUGCUUUCUCAAAAAAAUCGAAGAGGCAUCGUUCUCCGAAUCUCGAGAGCCAGAUCCCCGACAGGAUUGCUUGUUCGAAAACCGAAGAGGCACCACUUUCCCAACUUCAAGAGCUGAAUCUCCUUGGAUAAAGCUUGUCUGUAAUCUUCACAUGCAACAUCAGCUUUCCAGAUACCACAUACCACUUUUUCAAAGUGCUCUGACAGAGUUAAAACAUGUGAAGCUGGCAGCUCCCACUACCGUGCUAUGACCAAGCAGGGUAAAGGAAUAGCAUUAUUACUUGAUGUUAGGGAAACUUCUAUAUAUGUCGACCUUCAUCCCCAACGGACAGGCAGACCUGUAAAAAUGCUCAACCCUUCCUCUUAUCUGAAAGGGACGAAGCCUUUCGAAAUAUUCAGCUUUCUUUCCCCCCGAUAAUACCUCUGCAAACAAGCUAUACUAGAGCAAGAAUAUCUCAUAUCAUCAGGGUUAAAAGCAAGAGUAUCCCAUAUCAUGCUUUUUCCCUGUCUUUUCCUUUGGCCUUGUUCUUACCUGCAAGACAAUGAGAAAGAGAGCAAUCAGUCAGCACUUGGAAUCAAGCUUCCAGCCAGGAACUGACUGCCUGGAACCCCUUACCUGAGUACUUACCUGGCAUUGCUCUCGAGUACUCAUCUUCAACAUCUUAUGCUUCCAGGGAAGAUACCGCAUCUGCCUGAGGAACAGAUAGGGCAAGUGAGAAGGAUACAAAGAAGCAUGUGGAGACAAGCGUAACAGCACACGUGCCGAUACAUCCACUACUCUGUCAAAAGCAAAAGUAUCCCAUAUCAGCAGGGUCGAACGUACUCUAGAUUUGAUGGACUUGUUUUUACCCUCAAAUUCUUCAGUCGGCCUUAUACUCUGGAGGAAACCAGAAAACCCUCCAGCCCAGUUCAAGAAUAAGCAUGUGGAAAGUUAUUUAUUCAAAAGCAAAAGUAUCCCAUAUCAUCUCUUCUCAUUUUUCUUCUCUUUAUCCUUCAUGCUGCCUGCAAGAUAGGGAGAAUGUGAACAAUCAGCCAGAGCUCUGGUUGCUUACCUUGUCUGUCACCUCUUUCAACAGAUCCCCUAGCUCGGCGACUUGGGGGACUCCUACUACAUGGUUUGUAUCGCGCUUGAUCAAGCCUGAAAUUGAUACAUUACCUUGUGCAUCUCCACCAGUUAAAGAUACCACCCCUGGAUGGAGGAAGAGUACUUCCAGAGAAGAUGCCACAUCUACCUAUGAGACAGAUAAGGCAAGUCAAGACGAUACCACACUCCGGUACUUAGAAGUUUCGUGAUUACGAGAUCAUUCUCCCAAAAUAUUUCCUAAUGUCAUUUGUACUAAAUCAUUCACUUGUACUCACUAAAGGAGAGCUUGAACCUAUGUACUUGUGUAAACCCUUCACAAUUAAUGAGAACUCCUCUAUUCCGUGGACGUAGCCAAUCUGGGUGAACCACGUACAUCUUGUGUUUGCUUCCCUAUCUCUAUCCAUUUAUAUACUUAUCCACACUAAUGACUGGAGCAAUCUAGCGAAGAUCACAAAAAGCGACCGUUUUCGCUACCUAGGAUCUAUCUUGCAAGAGAACGGAGAAUUAGAUGGAGAUCUCAACCAUAGAAUACAAGCUGGAUGGAUGAAGUGUAAAAGUGCAUCCGGCGUGUUGUGUGACCGUCGUAGGCCACUGAAGCUCAAGGGAAAAUUUUAUAGGACGGCAAUAAGGCCAGCGAUGUUGUAUGGCACAGAAUUGUUGGGGUGUGAAGCAUCAACACGUACACAAAAUGGGGUGUGGCGGAGAUGAGGAUGCUUCGUGGGAUGUGUGGGCACACGAGAAAGGAUAAGAUUGGGAAUGAGGAUAUCCGAGGUAAAGUAGGAGUAGUCGAAAUUGAAGGAAAUAUGAGAGAAAAUCAGUUCCGGUGGUUUGGACAUGUGGCAAAGAAGGCCUAAGACUCUGACGCCCGGUUCGAAAAUGUGACUAGGGGACAGAGGUUCAGGGCCGAAGGGGUAAAGGAAAAGACCUAGGAAAAAACUUUGGAAAGAGACCCUAAGAAAAGACUUGAGUACUUGGAUCUAACGGAGGACAUGACACAAAACCGAGCGCAAUGGCGUUCUAGGAUUCAUAUAGCCGACCCCACUUAGUGGGAAAAGGCUUUGUUGUUGUUUGUUUGUUUGUUGAGAUUUACUAAGAACGAGAGUAAAGUCAUUGGAUCCUACAUGCAUCCACAACAUUGACCUCUUUCGUCGUGCCAAAACUAGGUGGGACAUCCUCAUCAUCAUCAUAUUCAACAUACGUAUUACCUUUUCCGAUGUAGUUUUGAAGCCAAAACCGAAAUGAAACCAAACCAUUUGGUUUGGUUCGGUGCCGUUUCAAACGGUUUUGGUUCGGUUUUAGAAAAGAAAAAAAUUUACAAUUUAAAAUUUAUACCUAUAUACGCAUAACACGGUCUCAUUUUUCACACAAUAUAUUAAUUAAUCAACCCAUAUGAGAAUUCUUUUCUUUACUGCUCUCUCUAUUCUCUAAUGUACAUUUGAUCACAACAAGAAAAUGGUACGGGAGAAUGAUAUAUAAACAACUAGCUUAGCAUAGCUAGCUAAUUGCACGAAUGAUGGACUCUGUGACUGAGCAGGAAAAAGCACCCAAAUGGAGUGAUGUGGCUAGGGAUGGGCAAAAUACCAUGGAUUUGGGUAACCGCGGUUACCCAUCCAUUUAAAGUUCACGGUUACGGUUAUGGGUAACCGUUUAGACGAACAAACGGUUAUGGGUAUAAACGUUUAUCCAUGAAAUUUAAAUGGGCGGUUAUGGGUAUUAUCCAUGGUUAUAACGGGUAUCCAUCGAUUAUGGGUAUUACUAGCGGUUAUAACAGGUAUCCAUUUACCCAUUUAAUUUAAUAUAUGUAAAAUUUAAAAAAAAAAUUUAAAUCCUAAAUUUUCAAUCACUCCGCCAAACUCAGAGUCUUAAACGCCUUGUCCCCCGCUCAUCUCUCCCUCCUCACUGCCCUUUGUCUCAUCUUCGCCAUUGUGAGGCGAAAACAAUUCAAGUAAACAGUUAAGUGCUAAAUCACCUUGUCCAUGUAACGAUUGAUGAGAGCAGGGAUAUCCGAUUUAGGUUCGAGUCCUCCAAAUAAGGAUCCCAUGAGGGUUUUGCCGCUGUGAAGGAUAUCAUGAAAGGGAAGGCUCGCCUUUGAGGCUCUGACCCUGGCUUGUCGACACCUACCAUAACUGUCUCUCCCCAACCCUGAAGUUCAAAAGAACGAUAAUAUUUCAAUGCGUAGUGCAGACAAAUUAUAGUUGCCUAGGUUCAUCAUGAUGGUUGAUCAGUACGAUGCAGAGCAUAUUCUUGUUUUGUAAUUUUCAAGUUGUUAAAAAAAAACAUGUAGAUGGAUGAAAAAAAUGGGUAAAUAGGUAAAAAAAAGAUAAACAGAUUCAAAAACGGAUAAAUAGUUAUGGUUAAAUGGGUAAACGGUUAUGGUUAAAUGGGUACACAGUUAUGGGUAUGGUUAACCGUUUAUAAACGGUUAUGGGUAUGGGUAUAACCGUUUAUGCAAUUACCCAACGGGUAAACAGUUAUGCGAGUAUGAACAUAAACGGUUAUGGGUAAAUAACUGCAGUUACCCAUCCGCUAUAAUCGUUGCCCAUCCCUAGAUGUGGCUUAUUAUUUGAUCAGAGAUUGGUCUUUGUAUCUCUCAUUUUGUGACUAACUCUUACUUGAAAAUUAGGAUUCUGAGGUGCUUUUACUGGUAAUAAAAUGUUCAUCUUUUCCUGUAAAGAAACAGUGAAGAUGCCAAGCUUGAUAAGGGUUAUAACUUUGGGAAAAAUAAUCAUUAUUAUGAAAUGUAAACACUAGAUCUAUGGACUCUAACAAACCACCAAUUAAAACACGACAUCUAAUUUGAGGUGCGAUUUCGGUUUCGGUGCGAUUUUCAAAAGCCAAAACCGAAACCAAACCGUUUCAUACACUGCAGUUCGGUUUCAAAACCACAACCAUUUCAAAACCGCAAAACCAAACCAUUCAGUGCGGUUCAAUUUGGUUCAUGUUUGGGUUUCGGUUUUGGGUUUCAAGUGCCCACCCCUAGCACUAAGUGGCUUAUCACACAAGUUUUAUGUAAAGUGAUUAAACAACUUAGCAUGAGUCAAUUUACUAGAGAUUCUUGCGAAGGACAAUGAGAGAUACAACUCACCGUCUAGCAAGGAAGUCGAAUCUAAAAUAGUGAAGAGGAAUAUUACUGGACCAUAUUAAGUGGCAUCAUAUCUUCUGAAUCUUUUAAAAUCGCCUUGACUAGAAACAACAAACUCACUCAUAGUUUUAGCCUAUCAAUUACAUUCUUCAAUGUACAACCCCUCACUCCAACUUUCUCAGAAACCUGUUUGUAGCCUAACAUGGGUUCCUUCAGAAAAUCUGAAUUAAAAGGAAGGACAUUGCACCACUGCCCCGUCAAAGUUUUUGAUGAUUCAAAUACCCCUUAAAUUUUGGGGUCAAUAUUUUUUUAUGGUCAACGUUAGGCGUCCAGAUGAUGGGCAAUUUAUCAAUUUGGAUAUCAUUGAGGACUGAAUUCGGAUGCAUAAGGUCUAAGCAAGAAGUACAGACAGAUCAUUCCAAUGCAUUUUACACUCGUUAAUCAAAUACAGUUGAAUCUGAUUCUCACGGAUGCAUUGUUAAUUACCAUAACGCCUUUCAAGCAUUUCACUCAGAAAAAAGAAACUAUAAUAAAAUUGUGCAUGACGUCGAUCAAGAUAAUAUAAGGAUUCGACGUAAUCAUGGAGUGCCGGCUGUCGACUACCUGACGUCCUCCCCCUCCUCCUUUAUCCGGGCUUGGGACCGGCAAUGUAAGAUAAACUUACACGGCGGAGUUCAUUUACCAGGUAAAGAAAGUACCUCAUCUCAUAACCGGUUUCCAGCUUCCUUGAAUAAACAGAUGUUCUUUGAGACUGCAUCGUACUCACUGGAGUUGCUUGUUUUGCUUGUUUCCUCUAGAUGAAGGUUGCUUUAAUCCAACCAAAUCACUCUCGUAGAUGAGACGGACUCCGCACCUCUUCACCUCCAAACCAGAGCCUAAGGUUUAAAUGUAAACUCAAGGUGAUGACAACUGUCUUGCCAUGUUGUACCAAAGUAUUCACCAGAUACAAAGGAUAGCCAAAUGUGCUCUUUCUCAAUUUGCCCUAAUUCUUCGCUGCAGGCGAAGGAAGGACACCAGCCACCUACACCCAAAUUCCCAGGCUUAACUUCGCAACGAAGACCAUGUGCAGUGGUAUGGGUUCCGUAGUUCCAUUUACCAAGCAGAUUAGGUGGGAGUCGUCGACGGAGAGUGAAAACAGCACACAAUGCAUAUCCCAUCCACUCGUUCUUAUACCAGUGUUGAGGGAGCUCCACGCUUACCACAGGCCUCUCACUUCGAUAACCAAACCACUCAGAAAUUUCACUGCCAGGAUAUAUAGCUUCAAAAUUAUUCCCUACGUAAGGGAUUCCCUAUAUGAUACAAAAUUACAAAUAGUGAAGUUAAACAAUUGAUACGUCCGUCUUGUAAAUAAGUACAAAAUGCUUCUUUUUUUUUUCUUUUUUUUUUCUUUUUCUGUGUGUGUGUGUAAGAGAGAGAGAGAGAGAACCUCAAGGAAUCUCCUUAACGCUGCAAAUGCUACAUUGUUGCAGCCUUGGUCGUCAACCACUUCAAAGCAAUUAAUAAAACUGAAACAUGAUGACAGCCUUUCCCGUGAAAAACUGCCUUUUCCCUCAACACUCAAGUUCAAUUCUGCUGAAAGGUCCGGCAAUUUUUUAAGACACUUACAACCACCCAAAUUCAAAAUCUGAAGCUUAGACAGCUCUGUGAUGCUCUUGGGAAGACUAACAAAACUGUUUUUACUUAGAUUAAGCGAUACUAUUGAGGACAAGCAGCCAAGAUUUUCCAGGAUUGUUACCUCCUCAAGAUUACAGUCACUGAGAUUCAGCACUGUCAAAGAAAGCAAACCAGAAUCUGUGGUCGGCAACAGCAAACUCAGUAGACUUGUCUUCUUUCUUCGCAUCGAUUUGCAACCACAAAUGGAUAACAAUUCAAGAUUUUCCAGGCGGGAAAUGGAGGAUGGUAGAUCAUUAAUAGAGGUACCGCCCACAUCAAGCUCCUUCAAACAAACCAUAUUUCCCAAGUUUUUUGGCAGUUCUUCAAGCUUUGAGCAUCCACUGAGAUUGAGACUUUUGAGGGAACGCAACUGGCAAGUACUGCUUGCAAGGGAACUGAGAUUUCUGCAAUCUCUCAGGUUUAAUAAAGUAAGGCCAGUCAGACAUUCGAUCGAAGAAGGUAAUUCUUCUACAGCAGUCUUAUCUAAAUAAAGUUCCAACAAGUUUUCCAUAGGUCUCACAAAUUCUGGAACUUUAUUAAUUUUUGAACAACCAGAAAGAAUAAGAAUUUGAAGACUUUCCAUUUCAAAACAUUUGGGAAGGCGUUUAAGACUUCUGCAGUCCUUAAGAUUUAAGAAAAUAAGCCUUUUGAGCUCAGCAAUGGAUGGGUCGAUCAUCACCAAGUUUGUACAGCCUUCAAGAAUUAAUCUAUGAAGAUUUGGAGUAACAGUAAAGUCCGGGGUCCUGGUCAGGUUCUGGGAGUAGCUAACAUUAACGAAUUUCAGAUUGCCUAAGCACUGUUCAAAACAUUAAAGCACAAAAUUUAGUACUUUAUAUAAAAAAAAAAAAACCCAACUUUUUAUGUGCUACCCAUAAUCUGACCUUUGUUCUAUUCCAAAGUUGUCCAAUGCUGCUAUGGGACAAGUUAACUUCACAAAGUUGCUCAAGUUCAAAUUCUCGUGGGAGAAAUUUUGAAGGAUACCCACUCCAUUCAAGAAACUUUAAGGCAUUAGAAAGUUUUUUUGGGCCUUGGGUCAUUCGCAGAUUAUGAAUUUGGAGAAAUCUGAGAUUAUGCAUCGUCGAGAAGGCCUCCAAGUCCCAACAUGCCUCUUUCAAUUUAGGGAAGUCUAAGGCUAUACCUUCAACUGCAUUUGUACCCUGAUAACAGAGAAUUCAGAAUAAGUUCAUUAGACAGUAUAAUUAAGUUUAGAAGUACUUACUAAAUUAGUAUACUCCAUCUUCCUUCAAAACCACUUACCGUAUUAUUCCUCAAUACAUGAAUGACAUCAUCAUGAAGCCACAACCUGCUUUGCUCUCCAGGAUCCUCAACAGCAUCUCUGCGUACCAAUUGUCGUCCCAAUUCUUGUAUCAACCCAUGCAUCAACACUUUGUUAUUUGAAAUAGUUAUGAGAGAUUUCUCAAAGAGAGCUUCCAUCCCAUCCUUCGGAUUAAAUCCAAAACAAUCUAGUAUCUCUACCACUCGUUCCUUGUCCAUUCCUUGAAAGAAACAAGCAAUAUCUAGAAACAUUCUUUUCUCAUUGUCCGCCAGUCCAUGAUAACUUAUUUCAAGUGCUUGAGAAACAUUUUUAUCAGGAACAUGCUUCAGCUUUUCCAAUGCAUUACGCCACUCUCCCGGACUUCUGUGGAACAGAGAGGAUCCCAAAACCUUGAUUGCUAAAGGAACGCCUCCAGCAUAAUGAACCACCCGUUUAGACAGAUCCAAAUAAUAUUCUCGGGGUUCAUCACUUUUAAAGGCGUGAAUAUUGAAGAGCUGACGCGACUCACCCUCACUUAAUCCCUUAACUUCAAAUAUGCUUUCUACACCAUGCUCUCUUAGCAAAUUCUCAUUUCUAGUUGUAAUGAUGACUCUGCUCCCCAAACCAAACCAUUCUUUGUUUCCACCCAAUGAUUUCAGUUGGUCUAAGUCGAAAACAUCGUCUAAAAUGAGAAGAACCUUUCUCUUACAUAGAAUGUUCUUUAUCAUUAUGGCUCCCUCGUUAACAUUUGGAACAUCUAUGCCUUGCCCCAAAGCCUCAUAAAGAAGUUUCUUUUGCAAUUGCAGAUGACCCAGUGUUUCGCUUAGCCCACAAGUAAUCCAGGUGAAAAUUUCAAAUUCAUUGGAAAUGUUGUCAAAAACCACUCUGGCGAUAGUUGUCUUGCCCAUCCACCAAUUCCGCAUAUCCCUAUGAAGCGAACAUCAUUAGAUUUGAUGUCCAAAAGCCUAUUUAGUUCCUCUACUCUUGAGUCAAUUCCCACUAGGUCCUCAAGAUAAGAUGGCAGAGUUUGCAAUGUAUUCAAAACCCAUUGAACAAUUCGUUGGAUAAAUUGUGCCUCAUACCUAUGCAGAAGAAAAUAAAUGUCAAUCAUUCGGAAAUAUUUGAAAGAAUCCCGAUUGUAGUGUAAGCCUUUUGUUUAAGAACAAAAAUGUAUGACAAUAACCUAUCGUUCUCUCAUGAGAGAACUAAUAGAAAAGCUAGCAAGCAACGAAAAUUCAUCUCUUUGGACAGCUUAACAUAUGUUAUCAUAAAUUACAGCAGGAAAGAAUACAAGCAUACAUAUUACAUAGCAAAAACUGAAAUAAAAUAAAAUUUAUUUGCUACUGAAAGGAACUACCCACCCAUCCUCGUCCUUGUAUAGGUCAAAUCCAGACAGAUUGGCUAAUUGACGAAGAGCAUCCCUCCAGGCGCGCACUUUGUCGAUAUUGUCAUUGAAACGUCCUUCAUGCUCGGCAAAAAAGUCACCGAAAUCGCCUGUCUGUUUUCGUACCUCGGAUGGGCUCACAUCAUAGAAGACAGGCAAAACUAUCUGGCGAGCCACUUCCUUGCAUUCCAUAAUUUGCUGAAGCUCAUCCAAGCACCAUGUUGACCUGGCAUACUUUCUUGAAAGAAUGACAAUUGAAAUUUUUGAACUUUUAAUUCCCCGAUAAAGUUCAUCAUCUCCAAAUACGACGACUCCUCGGUUACUCAGAGCAGCACGUAGUUGGUCUGCGAAAUUCCUGCGAGUGUCUUCGCCACUGAAACUGAGGAAGACAUCGUAAUCAGUUGUUUGCGCAGUCGCCGUGGAUCCCAUCGGAAUACUCGGCUUUCUUCUUUUUCUUGAUUGCGUGGUGGCGAUGGAUCCCAACGGAAAUCUCUGCUCUCUUCUUCCUUAAUGGAACCCCAGACCGAUCAAAUCCAGAUCUCUCGGUCUUCUAGCAUAGGAAUGGAAUAUGAAAUGUCAACGGCCAAUUGCAACCGUCCGAUGCGGAGCAGCAAAUCUCACCCGUCUAAUAAGUUCCAGUCGCCAUCCACUGUUGCUCUAGUUUCUCUCGUUUUAUUUUUAUUUUAUUUGUGUGGGGUCCAUUAUUAUUAUUAUUAUUAUUAUUAUUAUUAUUUUAUAGGAAAAAUAAUGUAUUAAAUAGAACAACCCCUUACACAACCAGUGUCAUUACCGUCGAAAAGAAAAGCCAUAUUAGCUUCCAUUGGGAGAAAAACAUCCCAAAUGCAAAGCUCCUUUCUCUUCAGCCCAACAGACGCUAUGGCAUUUGUAACAAAAUUUGCUUUCUUAAAAAUAUACCUCCACUUGAUAUCAUGAAAAUUUGUUUGAAGCACACCACCUGGGAUCCAUUAUUUUGAAUUAAGCACUUUGUCAUAUUUACGAUACAGCGUUUUUCACGGACAAACUUACCAUCUAAUCUUAAUUUCAAGCACACCCAUCAGUGUCAUCACCAUUUUCCAUUCAGAGCGGAUUCAGGUAAAUCCAUCCAUCUAUCACGAAAGUGAGAAAUUCAUUCUCAGAGUGAAGUGAAUUGACUAUUGAAGUUCGUUUCUUCUUUUCUAUAUUUCCUUUUUUUUUUUAGGUCAAAGUUUUAUUUGAACUUGUGAAAUUGUGAUUAGAUGGUGGGUAGUGAAAUGAAAUUGUAAUUAGAUACAGUUUCUCUCUUAAUCGAAAUUGUGAAAUGAUGGAAUUAAACUCGGAAAAUUAAAGCCCACUUUUCAUGAAUUUUUCCGCGCGGCAAUUGUUGAUUUCUGCGCGUCAAGUAGCCAAGCACAUCAAAUCCAAUUCACAUCCCUCAAUUCCUGACUUGUUUUUUCCACACACAGACAUACUAUAAAAUCAGUUUCUAGUUAAAUACACUUUUCUUUUUCUUUUUUUAUAGAAAAUCUCGACGGUACGAAGAGAAUUUAUUGAUAUCGAAAGAAAAAAAAACACCUAAUUAGGGAGACAUAAACCUAACCUCUCAUAAUACAAGAAAAAAUGAUAAAAGAUACAUGAAAAAAGGAAGACAUAAACUUUACCCUUCUAGAAACAAAAACAACAAAGAUACAAGCAACAUCACAAGGUUAAGAAGAAAGAUAAGAAGGUGAGACAAACUUGUAUGCCUAGAUGCACAUUUAUUUGAGAAGCGGAAGUCAGGAAAGCCAACAUAGUCUGAAGAACCGUCAUAGGAUUUGAAUCAUGCCAUACCAAAGUUGGAGAAGACAAGACCAUGUUAGCAAAAGUGUCUGCAACCACAUUUCCUUCACGAUAUAUGUGAGAGGAUAGAAUGUCAUCUUUCGAAUGCAGUCCAAACAAAUAGACCAUUGCGUACGAAGAGGCUAAUGAGGAUCAAAAUUAGUCGAUUGGAGAGUAGAAACAACACUAGAAGAGUCAUUUUCCAGCCAAAGACAAUGUCGACCCCACUUAUAAGCAAACUCUACGCCAAUAAUAACUAUUGAUAGUUCUGCAAAAAAAAAAAGAGUUGCGAUGACAAUUCCUUGGCAGAAACCACCAUGAAACUGACCAUGCCAAUCUCGAAAGACUCAUUCACAAGCAAGAGCAAUGGAUCGAUACUAAGCAAUGGUAGCAGCCAUGGACGAAGGGAGGUAAGUCCUGGGGGGGUUUUAAACACCCCUUCUCCCUUUUUUUUCCCUCACGUACUAAUGUUUAAACCUUGCUGAGUUACAUGUAUUUGAUUAAUUAGUACGAAUGAGCAUUAGAUUUCCAAUACAACAAUUAAAAACAAAAUUAGACAAUAGGGUAAUAAAAUUAGUCAUUUGUAAAAAAAAAAAAAAAAAAAAAAAAAAAAAAAAAAAAAAAAAAAAAAAAAACUAGCUUUAUUUGUCCAAAAAAUGAGCUGAAAUUUUUAAGGUGCCCCCUCUUAGUUAAAUUUAUGGCUUCGUCCCUGGUAGCAACCCUUUCUACUUUAGGGGAUAAGGACCACAAAGUUGCAAUUAAUAUUUAGAUAAAGUCAGCCCCGCUUAAAAAAAUCUUGUACAAAUGCAAUAACAUCUAAAUCAACAAAUCCAAGCAUGAUUGAUAGAAAGAAGCAGGAAAAGAAUCACAUCCCGGAGCACUUGAGGGAUCCAUAGAAAAAAAAUGGCUUUUUUGAGUUCAUUAGCACAAGGUAAACAAGAAAGAGCAAGAUUUUCCUCUUCUUUAACCAUAGGUGGAAUUACACCACAAACAUCCUCAAUUCCAUUUGAAGUGAACAAAGAGUUAUAUAAAGAUUGAUAAAAGUUUACCACAUGACUAGCAAUAUCAACAAGGGAAGAUGGCACAUUAUCACCAUCCAAUAGAGUAACAAUCCUGAAAGAAGAAAGCCUACCUCGAGCAUAAGUAUGGAAAAAAACAAUAUUACGAUCACCUUUAGUAAGCCAAAAAGUUUCUCACAUAUGAAGAGCAUCUAGGACAGUUGUCUUAGCCACAGCUUCCUCAUUAAACCUCUCUUGAAAAUUCCCAUUAGAAAAACAGUAUUUUGGAUAUUAUGAAGUUUGUCCUUAGCAAUAGUGAUAUUUCUAUGGACAUUAGCAAAAACAUAACAAACAUGGGACACCCGUAUGCAAUAGUUGACUGCCAGCACUUAGCAACCAAAUUAGAAAAGCUUGAAUGUAAAGUCCACAUGGAUUGAAAUCGAAAAGGUCGGGGAUCCUCCAAGAAGAGUAGCAAAAGCUGAGAAAACAAGACAAUUAUGACCAGAAACUACCCUUGGCAAAGUUGAACAAUUUGUAUGAGGUCAAGACUGUAACUAGCGUGUGUUACAAAGAGAGCGGUCAAGAAGCCUCUCCAUGUAACCACAGACACUCCAACCAUUAGUCCAAGUAUAAAAAGCACAAGUAGUAUCCAUAUGAGUAAAUUCACAAAGCUCAAUAGCAGUACGAAAGUCCUCACACGAAAUUCGAGCAAGCGACUCCUCAUUUGUUCAUGAGCUCCAACAAUAGCAUUAAAGUCACCAAUUGCCAUCCAAGGUAUUGUAGUAUUAGAAUGAAUACUUAAAAGAUCACAUCAUAAAGCACGACGAAGACUCGAUGUAGUAGCCGCAUAAAAAAAAAAAAAGUAAACCGAGAAAGAACACCAUCAAAAGAAGCCUGAAAAGUAAUUUGUUGUCCUGAAGAAGAAAUCACAAUAGGAGAACAAUAACUCGUAGAAUACAAAACCCAAUUAUUAGGUAGUAAAUCACCCCUGUUAGUAGCAGUAAGCAAAGAAAGACCUAAUGAAUUCCAAUGACUAGAGGGAAUAGAAUUAAAAGUAACCAUAGGUUCAUAAAUGCAAACCAAUCCGAAUGAUGGGAAUGACAAACAUUGGAAAGCUCCGUAUGCUUAUCAGAAUUAACAAUACUACGAAAUAUUCCAGUAAACUAGCUUCAUUUGGAGGUUGAAAUAACUUGUCUUCUUGCCCUAGUAACAUAGGGUUCUUCUUGCCUAGCUGCAUUAGCUUUUUAUUUUUUUUAUUUUAUUUCUUUGCUGAGAUUUACUAAGAACGAGAGUAAAGUCAUUGGAUCCUACAUGCAUCCACAACAUUGACCUCUUUCGUCGUGCCAAAACCAGGUGGGACAUCCUCAUCAUCAUCAUAUUCAACAUGGGUAUUACCUUGGUUGGUUGUAACUCAAGAAGCAAUCCGUCUGCAUUUGUCUCUAACUGUCCAUGAUGCACUGCAAACGAAUCAAUUACCCUAUCAGUCAACAUACUUAACUCAUUAUUCACAACACUCAUUAGUAUUUGAUUUGCAAAACCGUUAACUUGGUCAGCAUGACGUUGCUCAAGAGAGCUACACAAUGGAAUCUCCAUGCCAUUAUGAAGUUCAAAAGUAUGUUCUUUGUGAAUAAUUUCAACUGAAGGAGAACGUCCCUUGUGAAUAGUAUCAACUGAAGGAGAAACAGUCUUAGUAGACGGUUUUGAACGAUAAACCUGAUGAGUUUUUGAUCAUCUGCGAUGAUGAAUCUCAACAUUUGGUUGCAUCCCAUCUUAGUGAUUACAAGCAUUUAACUGUCGAAUUUUACUCGUGUUAUGGCCAAUUACACCACAAGUUGGAGGCAAAUUCUCAUAAAUAAUAUCAGCAUAGAAACCAUGUUGUUCCCGCUCAACCGUAAUAGAUGAAGGCAAAUCAGCAGAGAGAUCCACAUCCACCAGAACUUUAGCAUAGUAGGCAUAUAAAUUUCACGUGUAGCAUGAUCCAACUGAAGUGGAAUACCCACACCAUGAGAAAUUUCCAUAAGAAUGCAAGGGUUCAAUAUUCUUGACUUGACCCAUAUAUUUUGAUCAAGACAUGUGCAUGAGUUUGGGGAAGCAUGUCACCAGGCUUGAAAUCCGGUUGCUAUUGAGACAACCUAAAAAUACCGAAUUGAAGUGUACAUGUUCCACCAACCCACACUUUUCUAAUGUCUUCUUCGGUGGAAAAGUGAAGAUCAAAAUAUCCCUUACCUAAUGAUACCAGUAGCCAAGGAUUGUGAAUCUUUCAUGGGUGCUUUUUUUUAAGCACCUCACUCCCAAACCACCCCUCAGUCUUCAUUGGCAUGGUACUUUUCUUUAACAAAAGUUUACCAAUGAGGUUUGUCCAGAAUGAGCACAGUUGUCUUGAUAAAGGCCCACUAAUUUGACAUCAGUCGCAUCUCUCUGAAUUAGGAGCAGGAAGUUGACUUAAAUUAACUGAACUUUCCUUACUAUUUGAGACAAUGGCAGCAAAGGUCCGUGCUUUCCAUACUAGUUGAGGAAGCCCCGGGCAUGAAGCACUUAGGUGACUUGUUCAUGAAAACCUCAACCUAGUCUACCUAGAACAAAAUUCAUUCCAAAAUAAUGUACAAAAAAAUAAGAAUAUAAAAUAGAAAAUUAUAACCUGAUCAAAGUGCAGCAGUUUUGAGAAAAGUGUUAAAAGUGUUCCAAAUCGUAGGACUCAAUGGAACUUAAUGCAGAAAGACCAAAUGCCUCCAAAAGCUGCAGCAAGUUUGAGUACAAAUCGCAGAACGAGCAAAUUGUAGAAAAUCACAAACCGCCCUAAGUUGCGAAUGAAACGACCGACGCAUCGCGUUCCUUUCUCCAAAAAACACAUAAACCACCCUCUAAAGACGCAAGACGAGAAGAGGGCAAUAAGCAGAUCAACCUGUUCAGAACAGUAAAGGACGAAGCGAUGUGGACAGAUGCGGGGAACGAUAAGCGGCUUCCCUUUUUUUGUCUUCUAGUUGAUAUCUUACAGCCAUUUCUUAAAUCAGUGUUAACGAAAAAGGUUUGGGCUAACUUUUAUUUAAUGAAAAACUACCUUAAACUAUUAUUUAAUAAAAAUGACUUAAGAUUUAAUCAUAAGGACACAAACUUAUAUCUCAAGUCCUACAAAAACUAAAACACACAGGUUCAACAAAAAGCCCAAACCAGAUAACAAUUAAUAUUCCAAAAUUACCCCUAACGGAACCUAACCCAACUUGUUGAGCCAAAAAUAAUCACAAAGCGACCCGAGGAUUUUUGGAAAAAAUAUGACAAAAAUACCCUUGAGGCAUACCAGGAUUCCUACGCGCGAACAGCAGGCAAUCAUCGCUCAAUCAAGUGAAAAGUGUCCAAAAUAAGUAACAAUUCAAAGCCUAUUGUAUCCAUCCUCAUCAAAUCCUAUUUCACCCAUAUGGGUUUGCUCUCGAGUGCGAGUGCGAGAGGAUAAACUAAUUAUUCUCUAGUGCAAGAGGUAAACCAAUUCCUAGACACCCAUAUGGGUUUGCUCUCGAGUACGAGAGAAUAAACUAAUUGCUCUCCAGUGCCAGAGGGUAAACUAAUUCCCCGACACCCAUCUGUGUAAGCUCUCCAGCGCAAGAAUGCUACAUAGCUCAAAAUAUCAAAUGCUUGAAUAUCAGCUAGGCAGCAAAUGGUCAGGGGGCAGCAGCCACUUUUGCACUUAACACACUACAAAAAAAUGAGCACUGUGCACAAUAAAUUAUCUAUGCCCUUUGAGGCCAAAAAGCACCAACAAGUGUGCUCAUAGACCAAUAGCAACAGUGUAGCUACUAUCUUUGUGUUUGUGCCCUCUAUGGGCGUCACCAUUGGGCACAAUACUGAGUUCUGUGCUCAUGAUGUCAGCACAAAUAAAGGGUGUUUUGUGCCUAACAAAGUUGUCAGACUACCAUUUCCAGCCAUGUUGGCACUUAAAAUGUAAUUGUGCCUGCAUGAAUUAAAUAUUAAAAAAAUUCAUAAUUUGAAAAAUUGAAACUGAAAUUGAGGUUUUUUUUUUUCAUAAAAUGUAGAAAGCCUACAAUACAUUCUCAAUCUCACAAACAUAUAUUGUAAUGUUACAUAUUUCAUCUCUGUUUGUACCAUACUUGACCAAUCCCGAAACUACCGAGCACCGGCCAACGCUAUACUGUCAAGGACCCAGAAGAGUUCCCCUCCGACCAGGAGGCUAAUCACUACUCGACACGUGUCAAGAUUAGAAGCCAAUCAGAGCGCAGCACGUGUCAACAUCAAGAACCAAUCAUAACAUGACACAUGUCAAUGUGACAAAGCUACAAGUUUUUCUAUAAAUAGGGGUCAUUCCCCCACAAUAUUGCCGAAUGCCAUUUGUGUUAAAUCAUUCACAAGAACUCACUAAAUUGAGAACUUGAUCCUUUGUACUUGUGUAAGCCCUUCACUACUAAUAAGAACUCCUCUACUCCGUGGACGUAGCCAAUCUGGGUGAACCACGUACAUCCUGUGUUUGCUUCUCUGUCUCUAUUCAUUUACGUACUUAUCCUCACUAGUGACCGAAGCAACCAAGCGAAGGUCAUAAAACCUGACACUUUCUGUUGUACCAAAGUCUUCGCUGAUUUUGUGCAUCAACAUUUGGCGCCGUCUGUGGGAAACGACACUUAUUCCUACUCUCUUCAGCUGUGUCAAGCUGGUUUCUAUCAUUCGUACACUUUCUUUUGAUCAGGCAUCCUUCUCCAGCAUAGGAAGCGAAGGAAGCCACAGCACACAGAAUGACACCCCCCUUGCACAUAGUGCGAAACAACGAAAGAAGGAAGGAAAACGAGUUCUUCUUCAAGCUAAAGUCGAUGAGUUGGAAGCUCAGAACAACAAGAUAGCAAUGAGGAAUGAGGUCCUCCAGGAGCAAUAUGAGAAGCUCUUCGAGACACUUCACGAAGCUAGGCAAGCUCAGACACGCGAGCUUGUUGCCCCCGUGGAAGUCAACCAUCAACUGGGUGCCCUCCAACAUGGAGGGUCACAUGCAUUCGACAUAGAUAUCCCUGAUAGGGAACAAAUUACCCCUCGAUUUGAUAAUCAACAUGAGGCUUCUCUUAACCCAGUUGCUUCGACCCGAACCAUGAGAAGCGGAGGGAGACACCUCUUUGCUGAAGGGGCAGAAGGAUCGAAAGCCGUCUUUCGCGAUUGUCGGGAUUUCCUGAAGCAACGUCGAGAGAAUUCCAUCCAUAUAAGCUCAAAGAUCAAUGACCCAAGGAUUUCUGAGAGACUCGGUCCCCUGCCACGGCCCGAGCCGGCCACCAACUUUGGGGAAGGGGCAACAAGUCCUAGAGAGACAUGAGGGUACAGGGGACUCAGAGGUGUUCCGACAGACAUACCCUGGAAGCCAGUACAGCGAGUCCAGGGAAAAAUCACAUGCCCUUGAUCAAACCUUCCUAAUUCCAAGAGGAGAUGGAGAUUUACGAAAGAAAGCUCCAGUGGCACAUAACUCCGCUCAGGACCCCCUUGUCCUACAACUUCUUGAGGAAGUAAACAAGUUGAAGGCUGAACGUCAGGCUGAAAUACCUGACUGGAACCAACCCAGGCCUGGCCCUCUUACAAGGAGGAUCCUCAACACCCCCUUCAAGCAAAGACAAAGCAGAAGCUUGGCUUGCAACUUUAUACUGGGAAAGAGGACCCGAUUGAGCACCUUAACCUCUUUGAGUCCACCAUGGCAUACCGGAUGCACACCGACGAAGAGUGAUGUCUUCUCUUCCCCUCCACCCUCUCUGGCGGAGCUCUAAAUUGGUAUUGUCGUCUUACACCUGAGACGGUAGACUCAUUUGAGGAAUUGAGGAAACUAUUUGUUUCCCAACACAUUUUCCAAACCGAUCGCUUGCAAUCUGCAGAUGACCUGUACACUAUCCACCAGAAGCCAGACGAGUCAUUACGUAUGUAUGCUGGCCGCUUCAGCCAUGAAUACUCCCGGUGUGCCGAGGCAGACGACAAGACUGCCCUCAAAGCCUUCACGGCAGGCCUACGUGAUUGUUUCUUUAAAUACAUGAUCAAUGCCAAUACUUGGAAGACUUACUCUGAGGUGAUGGCGCAGGCUUAUAACCAUGCCUCCGCCGAGGCAAAGACAUAUCAGGAGAAACCCCCUACAACCAUCCUUUAUCAACAAGUGGGAGGUGGAAGCCAGACUCACCUAAAUGAGAAGACCUCGACUUUCCAAACAGCAGUGGCACCUCCCCAUGCCUUGCAUAAUGCUUCACCGAAUCAACAGACAUAUCAAUUUCAAGGCAAGAGGAAGGAUUUCCAUCCUCACCACUCUCCUUUCAGUAAAAAGAGUAAGGGACACUAUCCCGAUAACCAAGGGUAUCGCCACAAUAACGCUCGCCCCCAGGCAGUCAAUGCAGUGGGUCAAACCCGCGUCAAGAUACCCCCUACCCCAAGGUAUGAGACAUACACGCCCUUGAAUGCCACAUGCGCGGCCAUUUACCCCAGCAUAGCUCACCUGAUACCAAAGCCAAAGCCGAGGCACCCAGAUUACACGCCCCCGAAUAACGCGGGCAUGUUUUGUUGCUACCAUGAGCAUAACGGCCAUGAUAGCGAGAAAUGUAUCAUCCUCCGUGAUCGUAUUGAAGCUUUGGCACGAGAAGGAAAAUUUGAUCAAUUCCUUCUUCACCCUCAAAGGGAUAACCGUAACCAACGCCAGGUGAAUGUCAUAUAUUCCAUAAGCGGCGGCACACCCAUAUCUGAAUCUUCCAAUAGGGCCAUGAAAAACAGUGAACGAAGUCUGAGGCCUGGUCACCAAGUGUUUCACGUGGAAGACAUCAGGGGAGGGAAGUAUCAAAAACCUAACUGGGAUCCGAUAUGUUUCUACCCUGAGGAAGAAAGAGGCAUCAUCUACCCUCAUAACGACCCAUUGAUCGUGGAGGCUCACAUAGCCAACUUUGAUGUUCGACGAAUCCUCGUAGACACAGGGGCUUCGGUCAAUAUCAUGUUUGCCGAAGCUUUCAAGGGCACUCAGUGUAGCUGAACACUUGCUCGAUCGCUCGAUUUCUCCUCUGAUAAGCUUCUCCGGUGAUAUCGUGCAACCCUUAGGGAGCAUACAUUUACCCUUUACUAUUGGUACAGGCCCUUACACGGCUACCAUUACCACUAACUUCCUAGUGGUUGACUGCCCAACGGCAUACAAUGUCAUCUUUGGGCGCACAGGCAUCAAUGAUCUCAAGGCUAUGGUAUCCACGCAUAUGCUGUUGAUGAAAUUUCCAACCCCCCAUGGCAACGGCUACAUCAGAGGAGAUCAGCUUAGUGCACGAUCAUGUUACAACACUUCAGUUAAGCAACAACACUUGCCCGGACCCAAGGAAACCCUGUCUGUACAUGACCAAGUCACAAAGACCAGCCUAGAUGAAGCGAACUUGGAUCUUCCUGAUAGCAACAAUCAACCCGAUGAUGAUCCUCGAGAUGACUCUUUCACCCAGCAAGCCCAACCUGCUGAAGAGUUGGAGAAGGUACCUAUCUCAAGAGAUUAUCCAGAUCGCAUGGUGAAGAUUGGCACCACAUUGUCACCACCCCUUCGGUUAGCAUUGAUAUCUUUUUUGAAAGAGAACACUGAAGUCUUCGCCUGGUCAUACGAGGACAUGCCAGGCAUCUCUCCCGAUGUCAUCUGUCAUCGUUUGAGUAUUGACCCCAAGAUCAAGCCGGUGAGACAGAAGCGAAGAUCUUUAUGACGCUGAACGAUACGAGGCAAUGAAAGCAGAAGUUGAAAAACUCAAAGGCAUAGGCUUUGUCCGCGAAGUCAAUUACCCGACAUGGGUAGCAAAUGUGGUCCUUGUUAGGAAAAAUCCGACCAAAGAAAGUCUUUCGCUUCAAAAGGUCUUGUGGAGGAUGUGUGUUGACUACACCGACCUAAACAAAGGGUGUCCGAAAGAUAGUUUCCCUCUUCCUCUUAUUGACAGGCUUAUAGACUCUACGGCAGGGUGUGAGCUCUUGAGCUUUAUGGACGCUUAUUCAGGAUACAACCAAAUCCUCAUGAACCCCUCAGACCAAGAACACACGGCCUUCACUACUGACAGGGGACUAUAUUGCUAUAAAGUCAUGCCUUUCGGCCUAAAGAAUGCAGGAGCAACUUAUCAGAGACUGGUCAAUUCAAUGUUCGCCGAACAAAUUGGGAAGAACAUGGAAGUUUACGUUGAUGAUAUGCUAGUCAAAAGCAAACAUGCUGACCAACACAUCACCAACCUAUCUGAAACUUUCACCAUUCUAAAGAGGUAUCGAAUGAGGUUGAACCCCAACAAAUGUGCCUUCGGCGUGGGCUCUGGCAAAUUCUUAGGCUUCAUGAUUAGCCAACGAGGCAUUGAAGCUAACCCUGAAAAGAUCAAAGCAAUCCUCGACAUGAAAGAGCCAAUAACUUCAAAAGACAUCCAAAGCCUUACUGGCAAGGUGGCAGCCUUAACCAGAUUCAUCUCUAAGGCCACAGACAGAUGUGCUCCUUUCUUCAAAGCACUCAAGGGAAAUAAGAAGUACAUUACAUGGACGGAGGAAUGUGCCAAGGCAUUCAGGAACCUCAAAGAGUACAUGAGUAAAGCCCCUCUGCUCUCCAAACCAGAAGUUGGUGACACUCUCAUCAUCUAUCUAUAUCGGUUUCGGCUUCAGCAGUCAGUUCUGUUCUUAUUCGAAUGGACAGUGGUGUCGAACGGCCCGUCUACUACGCUAGCAAGGCCCUACAAGAUGCGGAGACACGAUACUCCAACAUUGAGAAAUUAGCUCUAGCAUUGGUCAUGUCUGCUCGGAAACUUCGCCCUUAUUUCCAAGCACACGCCAUCAUCGUGCUUACCAAUCACCCUCUUCGACAGAUACUCCAGAGUCCUGACACGUCUGGACGAAUGAUCAAAUGGGCGAUAGCAUUGGUUGAGUUUGACAUCUCCUACCAACCAAAACCAGCCGAAAAAGGUCAAGCAGUAGCAGAUUUCAUCGCCGACUUCACAUAUCCUGUUGACAUUGCUUCUACACCUGAAGCAGUAGCUUCAUUACCAUCGGAAGCUCAGAAAGUAGAAUCAACGACCUCAGCAUGGAGUCUGUAUGUUGAUGGCUCAUCCAACCAACAGGGCUGUGGAGCAGGACUAGUCUUGACUACGCCCGACAAAGUAGCAAUGGAGUAUGCUCUUCGUUUCAAAUUCAAGGCAUCAAACAAUGAGGCCGAGUAUGAAGCCCUUCUAGCAGGAUUACGUUUGGCCAAACACAUCGGGGUUAAACAAAUUGAUAUUUUCAGUGACUCCCAAUUAGUGGUCAACCAGGUUACCAACAACUUUGAUGCUAGGGACAGCUCCAUGGCAGCAUAUCUUGCGCAAACACAACUUUUGCUCAAGCACUUCCACUACCAGAUCACCCAAGUUCCUCGAGCGGCAAACAGUCAUGCAGACGCCCUGGCUCGCCUCGCCUCAGCUGUGGAAGACAAGAUUGGAAGAAAAAUUCAUGUCGAACUGUUGGCCAAGCACCAUGGUCGCAGAAGUAUGCAACUUACAACAGGGGGAUAGUUGGAUCACCCCGAUCUAUACUUUCCUUGCUCAUGGCACCCUCCCAAAUGAUAAAGUCCAGGCUAAGCAAAUUCGAUACAAGUCUACCCGCUACCUAAUCAUCAAUGAUCAACUCUAUAAGCGAGGUUUUAGCCUGCCAUACUUAAGGUGUCUUACGCCUGCCGAGGCGGAAAUCGUCUUUCGGGAAAUACAUGAGGGAGUCUGUGGAGAUCAUGCUGGAUCUCGGUCCCUAGCACACAAGACUUUUCGCCAAGGAUAUUACUGGCCAACACUCCACCAGGAUGCCAUCAAAGUAUCCCGCUCAUGUGACAAAUGUCAACGAUAUGCAACUAUUCCUCAUUCCCCUCCAGAGCCUCUUACUCCUAUGAUCAGCCCUUGGCCCUUCGCCCAGUGGGGACUUGAUUUGAUCGGCCCAAUGCCGGCAGGGAAGGGCAAAGUCUGUUACGCAGUCGUUGCAGUGGACUACUUCACAAAGUGGGCCGAAGUAGAACCCUUGGCAACCAUUACUGAGGCAAAGAUAGAAGACUUCGUGUGGAAGAACAUCCUUUGUAGAUUCGGCAUUCCCAAUGCGAUAGUCACUGACAAUGGGCGACAGUUUGACAACAAGAAGUUUAGGUUGUUCUGCUCUAAGUUCAACAUCAACUUAUGCUUUGCCUCUCCAGCUCAUCCCCAGUCUAAUGGACAAGUUGAGGCCAUCAACAAAAUAAUCAAGCGCACUUUGAAAACCAGCUUGGACAAAGCUAAAGGCUGUUGGCCAGAAUUUGUACCCCAAGUUCUUUGGUCAUAUCGCACUUCAUAUCGGACUUCAACAGGAGAAACUCCAUUCUCACUUGCCUUUGGCACAGAGGCGGUUGUCCCUGUUGAGCUCGAGCAAGCAACAUUCCGAGUCCAGAACUACAUUCAAAGUGAAAAUGACAAACAACUCACCCUCAACUUGGAUUUAGUCGAGGAACACAGAAACCAAGCUCACUUGAGGAAUGUCGCCUACAAGCAGCGCAUCUCGAACUAUUAUGACUCUAGGGUCAAGCCUCGUUCUUUCAAAAUAGGAGACUGGGUCUUAAAAAAAAGAUUACUCUGCGACAGAGUCCCGAGUGAAGGCACACUUAGUCCAAACUGGGAUGGACCGUAUGAAGUCAUUGGCAUCAGUCGCCCUGGCUCUUACACACUUAGAAGCUCCGAUGGCAAGACCCUUGGCCAUCCAUGGAACGCUGAUCACUUGAAGUACUACUACAAAUAGACUCACGAUGUACAAAUGUUGAGCUAUAGCCGUUCGGCAUCCUAUGUAAUGAAGGCCAUUUGGCAAUGAAUUCAAUAAAGAGGUAAUUUAGCCAACUCAGCCCUCACUCUUUUACAUUCAUAGCAAGCGAUGCCGGAACCCUUCUCAAUCAGAAAGCAAUCCGUCUUCCACAGUCACUACAAAACAAGCAAAUGAAGACCGUGUCAAGCGCAAAAAAAAAAAAAAAAAAAAAAAAAAAAAAAAAACAGCUUCAUCCAAAAAGCUUCACCCGAAAAGCUUCACCUCCAAAGCUUCACCCACAAAGCUUCACCUAAAAAGCUUCACCCAAAAAGCUUCACCCGAAAAGCUUCACCUAAAAAGCUUCACCCAACAAGCUUCACCCGAAAAGCUUCACCUCCAAAGCUUCACCCACAAAGCUUCACCUAAAAAGCUUCACCCACAAAGCUUCACCAAAAAAAAAACUUCACCCGAAAAGCUUCACUUAAAAAAGCUUCACCUACAAAGCUUCACCUAAAAAAUCUUCACCUAGAAAGCUCCCUCUACAUACUUUCACCAUCAAAGCUUCACCAUCAAAGCUUCACCUAGAAAGCUUCAACACCAAAGCUUCACCUACAAAGCUUCAACACAAAACCUUGCUCCAAAUAAACAAAUUUUGUUCACAAAACCCAAGAUGCCCUUGAACUUGUACAAAAACAUUUGGGUAAACAUAAACAUUUUUUGUUUUACACCCACAAGGGCCCAAAAUUUUCCUUCUUAUUUAUUCACUUAUAUAUGUUCCCAAACAUAUUAUAAUAGAUCCAACAACAAGCCAAAGUCCCAAGUUUCAUAAUGGACAAAAGUACAAGCAAUUCAUCAAUAAUGAAGGUGCUACAAAAAUUGGAAUCUGCCCCAAAAUAGAAAUCCAACCCAAGAGACUUUUUCUCUCUCUCCCUCUUCCGCCUCCUUUCAUCUAUCAAAUUUCUGCAACCUCUGCUCUUCUCCAAUGGAGCUGAAUUUUGGACACCCUAUAGUUCUUGAGCAUAUGAACAACUUUCAAGAAGGAACCAUUUCUGUUUGAGCGACGGAAAUUAAAGUGUUGAAGCUCCAAACAUGAUAGUCGGCUUCUUGCAGAUUUCGAAGCUGUUGUGAUGUUUCGAAGAUCUGGAAAUAUUUAACCGUUAUUUCAUCCUGAAUUUUUGAUAUGUUAUGAAAGAGUCGAUGAGGAACAACUUCAAUGAAGAAAGCAUACCGAUCUGAACAAGAGAAAAUGGAGUUUCGAAGCUCACAACAAAUCUGACGGGUUGACAGAAAAAUAAUAACCCGUCAUUCAUCAUACCUGGAUUUCUGGAGUUAUACUGCUCCGAGGGAUCUCAAAUUUGGAUAUGUUGUAGUUCACAAGCUGAGGAACAACUUCAAUGAAGAAAGCAUGCUGAUCGGAGCAAGAGAAAAUAGAGUUUCAAAGCUCACAACAAAUCUGACGGGUUGACAGACAAAUGAUAAACAGUCACUCAUCAUACCUGGAUUUCUGGAGUUAUACUGCUCCGAGGGACCUCAAAUUUGGAUAUGUUGUAGUUCACAAGUUAAGGAACAACUUCGAUGAAGAAAGUAUGUUGAUCUGAACAAGAGAAAAUGGAGUUUCGAAGCUCACAACAAGUCUGACGGAUUAACAGAACAUUGAUGAACAGUUACUCAUCAUACUUGAAUUUCUGAAGUUGUACUACUCCGAUGGAUCUCAAAUUUGGAUAUGUUGUAGUUCACAAGAUAAGGAAAAACUUUCAUGAAGACGACUUUGCAAUCUGAGCUAUAGAGAAAGGUGUUAUCUUGCAUCCACUCAGGCUGAUUAGUGGAAACGAAAAGCAAUUCCACCAAAGAAAAGAUGAAAAAGAGAGAAAAGCCACUAAUUGCACUUGAUCUUGUCUAGUCAAUAGCAUGCAACAUCAAACACACAAAAGUUGGAAAUAUUUUUAGAUAAAGCAUAUACGAAUGUGUGACAUCGAAACAAGAAUUCGUUACUUUGACAAAUUAGUAACACGCGAGACACCUCAUUCGGCAACUCUCUUCGCCUGAAGACUUGGGGGACUCCCACCAUAUGCUACUGCACCUUGAUACUCGGCAGUCUCACAACCACUCAGUGACUUGGAUUUUUCAAGUCUCCAACCGAGAAGUUUUCCUCACUCGGGAAAUUAAGGGAACACUACCUCAAACUACAUGCUUCACUCACAAAGCUUCAACAAUACAGGUUUCAACAAAAGCAAAAAUUCAAAGAACUUUAUGAAGAAGGCUUUGGUGUAUUUAACACAAUAUGUUGAAAUGAAGCAAAGCUUAUUUAUUAAUAUUUUCGAUAAGCCACAAAUAUGUACAUAUACAUGAGUCAAAAUAAACAAACAAAAGGGAGCCUUCACAAAGGUUGCUUAGGGGAAGUCUCAGCAGUCGGUAGAGCCCCAGAAAGAGAAAGCACCAGAGGGUGGUUAUCCGGAGCCUCAGUACUUGACAAAACCCCAAAAGGAGGAGGCAUUGGAGGUUCAUCAUUUGAAGCUUCAUUACCAGGUACAGCCCCAGAGGACGAAGGCAAUAAAUGCCUUUGGAACAAACCCACAAACCGCUGAUGAUCAAGUAAAACCUUACCAUCAGAUUCCUUCAUCUGGUCAAGCUUCCUCUUCAUGUUUGUAGCAUAGUCAUGGGCGAGCCGGUGCAACUGCUUAUUCUCAUGCUUGAGCCCUCUAAUCUCCUGUUUGAGACUCAUCACUUCAGCAGCCAAUGAUUCAACUUGGCGGGUUCUAGCAAAUAGGCGUUGGGCCAUAUUAGACACAGAAUCUGCACACUGAACACUAAGAGCCAAAGAGUCCUUAACAGCCAACUCAUCAGACCGUUUGGAAAGUAGUCUGUUAUCUUUGGGAGUGAGAAGGUUCCUGGCCACCACUGCAGCGGUCAUAUCAUUCUUCAUCACAGAAUCCCCAACGGUAAGAGGACCAGUAGGGGAUAUGAAGGAUGGGCGCCAUAUGUUGUCUGGAGAAGGCGUGGCUGUCUCUUCUCCAAGGUUCAAGUCAAAACGACUGUCGGAGGGUCCAGACAUUUUCAAAUGUGUUGAAGAGGGAAGAGGUCAGACAAAUCAAGAUCUUAGAAGUGCAAGAAAUGAGCUUCUACUGGUAGAGAUUCAAGUGUGCUGUGGAACUUAAUGCCAGCCUCUAUAAAAAUCUGCACUCGACGGAGCUUCAGAAAUCGAAGAGGCGUUUGCUUUCUCAAAAGCUGGACUGCUCAGAGACCACGAGGGCCGAUCUCAGAAAUCGAAGAGGCGUUUGCUUUCUCAAAAGCUGGGCUGCUCAGAGACCACGAGGGCCGAUCUCAGAAAUCGAAGAAGCACCUGCUUUUUCAGCCUCGUCAGCACCUGUCACAUGCACAAUCAGCUUUGCGGAAAUUACGGGCACUCUGUUGAAGAUUUCUGGUGAAGUAGAAAGCACGUGAAUCUUACUGAUCAAUCAUCGCUCUCCAUAUGCACCAUCAACUCCUCGGGUACCACAUAUAACUUUGUCAAAGAUCUCUGACAAAGUUUAGGCACGAGAAUUUCGAAGUUCCAGCUACCCUACUAUUACCCAUAAGGGUAAAGGAACAGCACCACUGCUUGACAACUGGAAAGUCCCUAUGUGUGUCGACCUCCGUGUUUUGCGGCAGGACAGGUUGGCAAGAACGUCCAACCUUUACUCACAUUCGAGAAAAGACUCCCAACAUAAUUACUUUCUCAAAAACCGGAGUAGCACCGCUUUCCGAAUCUCGAGAGUCAGAUCCUCGACGGGAUUGCUUGUUCGAAAACCGAAGAGGCACAACUCUCAGAACUUCGAGAGCCAGAUUUCCUUAGAUAAAGCUUGUCUGUAAUCUCCACACGUAAUAUAUCAGCUUUCCAGAUACCACAUACCACUUUUUCAAAGUGCUCUGACAAAAUUAAAACACGUGAAGCUGGCAGCUCCCACUACAUUGCUGUGACCAAGAAGGGUAAAGGAAUAGCAUUACUACUUGUUAUUGGGAAAUCCCUAUAUACAUUGACCUCCCUCCUCAACGGACAGGCAAACCUGCAAAAAUGCUCAACCCUUUCUCGCAUUCGAAAAGGCACCCUCAACAUAACCUCUCGAAAUACUCAGCUUUAUUUCCCCCCGAUAAUACCUCAGCAAAUAAGCCACACCAAGAACAAGAGUAUCUCAUAUCAUCAGGGUCGAAAGCAAGAGUAUCCCAUAUCAUGCUUUCUCCCUGUCUUUGUCUUUGUCCUUGUCCACACCUGCAGGACAAGGAGAAAGAGAGCAGUCAGUCGGAACCUGAAAUCAAACCUCCAAUUUGGAACUGACUGCCUGGAGCCUUUGCCUGGUUGCUUACUUAGCAUUGCUCUCGAGUACUCAUCCUCAACUGCUGUCAAGGUCACGAAUUCCACCGGCAAAUACCUCAUGACAGUUGAUCAGAUAUUGGCUCUUUACACUGAAGCUGCCAAGCGUGGAUGAGUCACUAUGAAGGAAUGUUCUGAAGGACCAUUUAAAUGCAAAGGUUGCACACCACUUCUGCCAUGCAAAAGAUUGAAGCAGAAGGUUCAACGGUGAGCUGAAACAGAUCACUACAGCACGACACAUUUCCAUACCACAUUCAUUAUUCCGUCAACAGCAAAAGUAUCCCAUAUCAUCAAGGUCGAACGUACUCUAGAUUUGAUGGACUUGUUUUGACCCUCAAAUUUUUGAGUCGGCCUUAUACUCUGAAGGGCACCAGAAAACCCUCCAGCACAGUUCAAGAAUAAGCCUGUGGAAAGUUACUUCUUCAAAAGCAAAAGUAUCUCAUAUCAUCUCUUAUCCAUUUGCUUCUCCUUAUCCUGGCAGUUGAAUGAGAGACAAGGAGAAUGAGAACAAUCAACCGGAAGCCGAAGUCAAACCUCUGAUCCUGGGUUGCUUACUUGGAAGUUUGACUGCUUACCUUGUCUGUCACCUCUUUCGGCAGAUCUCCUAGCUCGGCGACUUGGGGGACUCCUACUAUAGGGUUUGUAUCACACUUGACUAAGCCCGAAACUACAACUAAGCUUCAAGUGAAAUUGAUACAUUACCUUGUGCGUCAACAUCAGCUAAAUACACCAUUCCCGGAUGAAGGAAAGGUACUUCCAGAGAAGGGCAGAUGAAGAUCAGACCACACUUCGGUACUUAGAAGUUUCGUGAUUACUCAAGGGAUUGGAUCUUGCAAGUCCCCAACCGAGGAGUUUCCCUCACUCGGGAACUUAGGGGAGCACUGUUUGUACCAUACUUGACCAAUCCCGAAACUACCGAGCACCGGCCAACGCUAUACUGUCAAGGACCCAGAAGAGUUCCCCUCCGACCAGGAGGCCAAUCACUACUGACACGUGUUAAGAUUAGAAGCCAAUCAGAGUGCAGCACGUGUCAACAUCAAGAACCAAUCAUAACAUGACACAUGUCAAUGUGACAAAGCUACAAGUUUUUCUAUAAAUAGGGGUCAUUCCCCCACAAUAUUGUCGAAUGCCAUUUGUGUUAAAUCAUUCACAAGAACUCACUAAAUUGAGAGCUUGAUCCUUUGUACUUGUGUAAGCCCUUCACUACUAAUAAGAACUCCUCUACUCCGUGGACGUAGCCAAUCUGGGUGAACCACGUACAUCCUGUGUUUGCUUCUCUGUCUCUAUUCAUUUACGUACUUAUCCUCACUAGUGACCGAAGCAACCAAGCGAAGGUCAUAAAACCUGACACUUUCUGUUGUACCAAAGUCUUCGCUGAUUUUGUGCAUCAACAAUCUCUAAUGCAAAAAGAACUUGAAAGCAGACAUUUUUGGACAGAUGCAUCUUCCCCAGCAAGCCUUGCACCUCAUCAAAUCUCUGCUGCUCCAUAAAUGAAUUAAUGAAGAUGAUCAUCAAGAGAAGAUCUUCCAUUUCUGUUUAAGUAUUCCUUCAAAUAGUUUUUCCCUAUCCUCCUACACAACAACAUUAGUAAACUCAAUAAUUUAAUGAUUAUAGUAAUGUAAAACAAGAUAAUUUUAAUACAUAAGAAUAGAACCUCCAACAAUAUGCAAUUGAAAUAUAAGUUUUUCCACUAUAAGAACAUCACCGUACCUUGAAAUUCUGGACAUCAGUAAGUGGAUAAGCAAGACAAAAGUUGGUACUUACAACAACAAAAGUUGAUAAUUAUCCUAAAUAAUGUCAUUUUGGCCUACAAGAGAUCGCAAACCAAGUCACAUUUUCACCAAGGAUGGGAAGUUCAUGAGUUGGAGGGCAAACAUAUUUCAUAGUGGUCAGAGAAAGUAAACUUCAGAAAGAAAAAGAAAUGUGCAAGGUUUUGAGAGGAUAGAUGUACACAUGUCUCACCUGGCUUGCAACAAGGAGAACUGCAUUGGCAUUUUCUUUCUUGUAAUUUAUCUAAAUGUGUUUUUGUCACCAUUGCAACCCGAUCAAUGUAUGGCUCGGUAUAUUUCUUAGCUUCCUGCAAUAACACAGAAAUGCCAUAAGAAAGAAUUCCAUCCACCAAAUCCAUAUAUUUAAAAAGUUCGCUUGAGGGGCUCACCUGAAUGUAAGGAUCUGCCAUAUUUUGUGCCUUGAAAACAAGUGGUCAUAUAGAACUCUUUGAUGAACGAUAUACAUCAACAGUUUUUGUAGUGACUAAUCAAAUGUUUGGUUCAAGAUAGGCUUUGAAUUCCAAAGACUGUUUCUUCAACCUUGGGAUCCAGUUCUUCAAAUUAAAAGAGGAAGAAUUAGAAAGGUUGCCAACUUGGUUCAAUAUCUCAAAUAGAAAAGUUGAAUGUACACUAAUUGUUCAGAAAAGAGGAAGAUGUCAAACACCAAAGCUGAGUCUAAUGACUUCAGAAUUUAUUAGUAAGAUAGGCUCUUGCUGCUUUAUGUUCCUCUUCAGAACUCGAGUUUUGAAACUCAAAUUUUGCCACUUAAUCCCAUAAAACGCAACUUGUGUCUCACUUUGUAUUUUGUAUUAUAUGAAGAAGAGUUGGGGAUAACAUAUUGUUCUGAUUCUUUCAACGAUGAUCCCAGCCCAACCCUUACCAUGAGCUUUCAUUUUUAAGGCCUGAGGACAAACAAAUAAAUGAAUACUUGGCUAUUCCAGUUUAUUCACCUGGCAAGUGAACAUCUUUAUUGGAGAAGUUUAACGAAUAAAGUUUGGAAUAUCAGACACACCUUUUCAAUUCCCAGAUUGAAGGCUGGUCUUCCAAGCUCAUUCCAGUAAGUCACAAUGUACGUCUGCACAUAAAUAUUGUGUCAUGAAAUUAGACUGACAUUGUUAUCCAACUAAUCUGCGUGGAUUUACCUGAAAAUAAUCUACAUGAACUCCAAAUGUAUGUGGAAGCCAUCCUCCAUGGACCUGAUCAUGGGUCAUAGCAGGAUUUAACUAUUGGCAGUAUGGUGAACUUAAUUUUAAAGUACUUGUAAAUGGUAACAAGAACAUGAUACGCUUCACUGUUAUUCAAGCUUAAAAGUUUGCAUAUGAUUAAUAAGAGAUGGGGCCAUAACAGAAUCCACCUUUAGGCAAUUGAUAAAUUUACUAAUUGACUAGUCUCACUAAACGAGGUAAAGACACAAGAAUUAAACCUAAAGUGAUAACAACAACGUUACCAACAACAGCAGGCAUUAGAAAAUUAUAGCAUUACCAUUUCCUUACCUUAGUCAAAUCUUCAAAUAUCGAAGAAAUCCCAAACUUCUCCUUCACCAUUUCUUUCUGAGAUAUCAAAAAAAUUAAUACCAUAUAGCAAUUGAUAGUUUCAGGUAGCAAAUAAACGGACAACAAACCUCUGCAACUUGAAGAUCAUGUUCAGUUUUCCGAAUUCCAGUCUUUUGUUCAUCAUUUACUUUUCAAAGCUGAAAAAGAAUAGAAAGAGAGAUUAAAUUGGCCAAUUAAAUUACACUAAAGUCUGCUUUUACAAAGAAAUUUUGCACCCAUGGAAAAUUAAACUUGAUUACAGAUUGUCUAGUUGUAUACACCAUGUAGGACCUUGACCGCAGAACUCCACAAUGAAGGGAUAUCUGAUCUACAACUCCAUAGAUAUUUAAAAGCUUUCAGAACUAAUCAAAACAAUUCAAAAUAACAUCAAAUCCUACGAGAAAACAGCUUCUCUUAAAAACACGCGAUUACUAAAAGAAAUAAUAUUGUAUAUCCAUGGCACCUGAACAACCAACACAUGUUUACAAGUAUACAAUUGUACUUUAAAAAUGAAAGGAGAUAAAGAUGAAAGCACUAAUCAUCCUCUUCCUCUUCUCUUACCUCUCAUUCUCUCCCUCCUCAUUCCAAGUCGCCGACUCCCAAUUCGAAGGCUACGGGACGAAAUAAAUGAGGACAACGACGACUACUCCUCACUCCCUCUUUCAACUCGCACCCGCCUUUUCCUCACCACCGCCUCCCAACCCGACUCACCUUCUGAUCUCUCCCUACCAGACCCGAUUCCCAACCUGAUUCCCGAUUCCCGAUUCGGACUCACCAUGUAUCCAUCUUCCCAAACCUUCCUUCACCAGCUUCGUGUAUUGGGAUGAAGAUGAGUUCGAAUGCCUCCCACUCCAACCCUAGAAAAUGCCCCUCAAUGACCCUGCAGUUACCAAAACUGCGAUUACCUCCUCCGAUUCCGAUUAUGAUUCCAAACUCUCCACCGAUCCCAACACCCCGCCGCUCCGAGAUCCUUUCUUGUGGAGAUCGUGUGCGGAGGGUUCCUACCAAGGUUUUCUGGCAACGAUGGAACUCAAGAGCCUCCACGAUUUGAUCUGGGGAAGGUAGUGAGAGAAAGGAGGUUGGAGAGAGAGAGAGAGUCUAAGGGAGGCAGAGAGAGAGAUGAGAGAACGGGAAGGAAGGGGUGCGGUGUGGGUGGGUUUAGGGGAGAGAGAGAAAAUGGGGUCUGGGGCCACAAGUAUAUGACAAAUAAUAAAAAACAAAUAAUUGUGCCUAGACCUGGCAGUUUUUGACACGACACAGUGACACGAUACGAAAAUAACAUGAAAAUAACGGGUUUCGGGUCAACACGAUAACUUAUUAGGUCAUUAUCGGGUGACCCGUUAAGAACCCAUUAAUAACGGGUUCUUAACAGGUAUACAUGCGAGUAACACGUGGGUAACCAGUUUCGACCCGUUAAGAAAAAAAUUAUUUUAAUAAUUUUAAAGUUUAAUUACUAAAAGAUUUAUUAUAAAAUACAAUAGUCAUAUUAAUAUAUACAAUAUAUUCUAUAUUAAAUAUAUAGUUUUGUAUUAUUGUUCUAUAUAAAUUAUAAAAAAAUUUAAAAAAAAGUUUUAGUCAUUAUUUAUUUUUAUUAUGAGAGUUCCUUAUUAUCAUUACUAAGAUAAAUUUUACAUACCAUAUUCUUGUCCAAAAUUAAAAUAUACUAGUAUAGUAUUUGUAUAUGCAAGAACUAAGAAGACAUACAUACAAGUAUGAAAAAUGUGAAAGAAUAUAUAAACACUCGUGAUUUAUCAUCAUUCCUCCACGAAUAGAUCAUUGUUACACUUAUAUUAUCGUUUAGAUUUUUAAAAUCCUUCAAACCCUCAUGAAUAAUGUUUUUUAUUUGAGGGAAAAAUUAAUAAAAUUAAUAAUAAUUAUUGUAGAAGUGUAAAAAAUGUAAAAAUAUAUAUAUACAAUCACUCAUAUAUAAAAAAAAUGUAAAUGCUUUAAAUUAAAGAUCAAAUUUAUUCAUUACAUUCUUAUAAGGUCGAGGAGUGUAUAUGUACAAAAUCAUCAAAAUCGAAGCUAAAAUAACCGUUAAAUUGUGAUUUUUCGUUUAUAACCGUCAACAACUUUUGUUCCGUUACGUAAUCUCUGAAUGUUUGUUUUUUACAAUUUUUUACGUUUGCAAUCUCGGAAUGUGUACAAAUAAGUUUGACGGUUUGAUCGUUGAAAAAAGUUUCGUAGAAUGCAUAUUGCAUCAAAACGGUAUAUUAAACAAACACUUAGGGUUAAUAUUAUACUUCUAUUAAGUAUAAAAUAAGUUUUUGUGGUAUCCACUAGUGUAAAUACUUUAAAUUAAAGAUCAAUUUAUUCAUUACAUUCUUAUAGGGUCGAGGAGUGUAUUUGUAAAAAAUCAUCAAAAUCGGAGCUUAAAUAACCGUUAAAUUGUGAUUUUUCGUUUAUAACCGUCAAAAUCUUUUGUUCCGUUACGUAAUCUCUGAAUGUUUGUUUUUUAUGAUUUUUUACGUAUGCGAUCUCGGAAUGUCUACAAAUAAGUUUGACGGUUGGAUCGUUGAAAAAAGUUUUGUAGAAUGCAUAUUGCGUCAAAACAGUAGAUUAAACAAACACUUAGAGUUAAUUUUAUACUUCUAUUAAGUAUAAAAUAAGUUUUUGUGGUAUCCACUAGUGUAAAUACUUUAAAUUAAAGAUCAAAUGUAUUCAUUACAUUCUUAUAUGGUCGAGGAGUGUAUCUGUAAAAAAAUCAUCAAAAUCGGAGUUAAAAUAACCGUUAAAUUGUGAUUUUUCGUUUAUAACCGUCGAAAACUUUUGUUCCGUUACAUAAUCUCUGAAUGUUUGUUUUUUACGAUUUUUUACGUGUGCAAUCUCGAAAUGUGUACAAAUAAGUUUGAGAGUUGGAUCGUUGAAAAAAGUUUCGUAGAAUGCAUAUUGAGUCAAAAUAGUAGAUUAAACAAACACUUAAAGUUAAUAUUAUACUUCAAUUAAGUAUAAAAAAACACUAGUGUAAAUACUUUAAAUUAAAGAUCAAAUUUAUUCAUUACAUUCUUAUAGGGUCAAGGAGUGUAUCUGUAAAAAAAUCAUCAAAAUCGGAGCUCAAAUAAUCGUUAAAUUUUGAUUUUUCGUUUAUAAUCGUCGAAAACUUUUGUUCCGUUACGUAAUCUCUGAAUGUUUGUUUUUUAUGAUUUUUUACGUAUGCGAUCUCAGAAUGUGUAAAAAUAAGUUUGACGGUUGGAUCGUUGAAAAAAGUUUUGUAGAAUGCAUAUUGCGUCAAAACAGUAGAUUAAACAAACACUUAAGAGUUAAUUAAUCUAUUAAGUAUAAAAUAAGUUUUUGUGGUAUCCACUAGUGUAAAUACUUUAAAUUAAAGAUCAAAUUUAUUCAUUACAUUCUUAUAGGUCGAGGAGUCUAUCUGUAAAAAAUCAUCAAAAUCGGAGAUAAAAUAACCGUUAAAUUGUGAUUUUUCGUUUAUAACCGUCAAAAACUUUUGUGCCAUUACGUAAUCUCUGAAUGUUUGUUUUUUACGAUUUUUUACGUAUGUGAUCUCGAAAUGUGUACAAAAAGUUUGACGGUUGGAUCAUUAAAAAAAGUUUCGUAGAAUCCAUAUUGCAUCAAAACGGUAGAUUAAACAAACACUUAGAGUUAAUAUUAUACUUCUAUUAAGUAUAAAAUAAGUUUUGUGGUAUCCAUAGUGUAAAUACUUUAAAUUAAAGAUCAAAUUUAUUCAUUACAUUCUUAUAGGGUCGAGGAGUGUAUAUGUAAAAAAUCAUCAAAAUUGGAGCUCAAAUAACCGUUAAAUUAUGAUUUUUCGUUUAUAACCGUCAACAACUUUUGUUACGUUACGUAAUCUCUGAAUGUUUGUUUUUUAUGAUUUUUUACGUAUGCGAUCUCGGAAUGUGUACAAAUAAGUUUGACGGUUGGAUCAUUGAAAAAAGUUUUGUAGAAUGCAUAUUGCGUCAAAACAGUAGAUUAAACAAACACUUAGAGUUAAUAUUAUAUUUCUAUUAAGUAUAAAAUAAGUUUUUGUGGUAUCCACUAGUGUAAAUACUUUAAAUUAAAUAUCAAAUUUAUUCAUUACAUUCUUAUAGGUCGAGGAGUCUAUCUGUAAAAAAUCAUCAAAAUCGGAGAUAAAAUAACCGUUAAAUUAUGAUUUUUCGUUUACAACCGUCGAAAACUUUUGUUCCGUUACGUAAUCUCUGAAUGUUUGUUUUUUACGGUAUUUUACGUAUGCGAUCUCGGAAUGUGUACAAAUAAGUUUGACAGUUGGAUCGUUGAAAAAAGUUUCGUAGAAUGCAUAUUGCGUCAAAACGGUAGAUUAAACAAACACUUAGAGUUAAUAUUAUACUUCUAUUAAGUAUAAAAUAAGUUUUUGUGGUAUCCACUAGUGUAAAUACUUUAAAUUAAAGAUCAAAUUUAUUCAUUACAUUCUUAUAGGGUCGAGGAGUGUAUCUGUAAAAAAUCAUCAAAAUCGAAGCUAAAAUAACCGUUAAAUUGUGAUUUUUCGUUUAUAACCGUCGAUAACUUUUGUUCCGUUACGUAAUCUCUGAAUGUUUUUUUUUUACAAUUUUUUACGUAUGCAAUCUUGGAAUGUGUACAAAUACGUUUGACGGUUGGAUCGUUGAAAGAAGUUUUUGGACAGCCAGCAAUAGAUAAUUUUGUAGUAGUGAAACCUUAAAUUUAGUUAACCGUCGAUUGUCAUUUACGCUUUAUUCUUAUUACUGAAUUUCAUUUUUAAAAUUUUAUUUUUAGAAAACAUGAUCAUCUGCGCGGAUGUAAGAAGAUGAUAUCACGUUUCGAUAUUUACGGUUAACUGAAAUAUGAGUCAAUGUCAUAUAAUUUGUAGAAACUUUAUAAACAUCAAGCAAUAUUUUCACUAACCAUAAAACCCUAAAUAUAAUAUCAAUGAUCCAAACCAUUCAUCUACCUGCACCCUCUAAUAGAUCAUGUUUUCAAAAAAGAAAAUCUAAAAAAACGAAAUUUGAUGAGAACAAUGAAGCAUAAAUGUAAACAACAAUCAACGGUUAAAUUUUGAUCUAUGAUUUAUAUGAUUAUAGUGGCGAAUUUCGAAGUUAAGCUCUUCAUGAAAGUUAUAAAACUUGUCAUUACGAGUGUUUAUAUAUUUUUUUCUAUAUUUUUUUACACUUCUACAUUAAUUAAAAAACUAUUAAAGACUUUAGGUAAACGAAAAUAUACUUAAAACAAAAUUGCGUUUUUAUGUUUUUGAUGUGAUAAUAUGGAAUGUAUAUACUUAUUUAGUAUUAUGUUUUCAUUUGAUUAUUUAUUGGUUUAAAAUAUAUUUUCCUUAACGGGUAACGGGUCGGGUCAUAUUACCUGUUAAUAUUAUCGGGUCGAUUUCGGGUCGGGUCAUUUUACCCGUUUAUUUUAACAGGUGUUAUGAUGAGUAGAUUUUAUAUUAUAUAUUUUACCCUAAUCUUUGUAUAUUUUGGUUAAUAUUUUGGAAGAAUUUUGAUACUUUGAAUUGUAUUUUCAAUAUAGGACUUUGGAUUUCCUCUGGAGAAAAACAGGACCAAAUGGACGAAUUUUGGAGUAAUUCUAGUUGGAGAACGUUCAUGAGUCACUUAGCUUAAUCGUAUCAAAAUUUUGGAUUUUUCCACCAAGCGGUUAUUUUCUGGCGAUAAAAUAAAGAAGCAGUGCGCAGUGCUGGAAAAUGGCGUUUUUGGGCUUAAAUUGCAUUUUUGGAGCCCAAGAUGACCUCGAAUGGGUUCGUGGCCUUCUGGAGAAGUGUUCAGAAUAUUCCAAACAUUAAAUCCAGCUAUAUUGGGCCAUUUUUGGAGCAGCUUAUGGGCCAAAACGUGGCUGUUCAGAUUUUAGACGAAUUUUAUCAUUUAAUUUAGGGUUAUGUUUCCUAGGGUUUGUGUGGAGGCUUAGCAGAUAUAUUGCUUGGCCGUCUACAGUUUUUGGGGACAAUAUUUUUUUUAUGCAAUUUUGGAGACAGAGAGAAGUGCUAGGGUUUUGGAGAUUUUCUACUUGAAGGUGUUUUCAAUCCUUUUCUUAAGAAUAUUUUCUAUGAUUUCAAUUAUGAGUAUGCGUAACUAAUUCCUUUUGCUAGGGCGAAGCCUUGAGCCUUAGCAUGAAUAUGUGAUUUUUAUUUAAUUGCUUAUGAUUGAUUGCAUGCAUACUUUGAAUUGUUAAUCACCGGGAUAAAAAGUAUCUAAUUGCUUUAAUGGCUGAUCACCAUUAGGAUCUUUAGAAAAGUAAUUUGAUGCAAUUUUGGUCAGAAGGUUCCCUGAAAUUGACGCUGGCUUCUUGUGAUUAAUAAUUGUAAUUUCGCUUAGGAUGAAUAUCACGUCUUAAGGAUUGCAUGGUUUUUCAAAGGAUUUUCAUAAAGCGUAAUGAGUCUUUCAUGUUCAGAUUUGAUCCGAACGUCCGGACGGGUUGCAUGUUAGAUAUACGUUAUAUGUUGGAGGUUCCAAGUAGAAUAUGAAUUAGGAAAAUCUAACCUUCAAAGUGGCAUGUGUAGAUUAUAAGUAAUUGGUAAAAAUUCAUAGGAUUGCUAGGUGAUGGUGGAACCCUAGUGUUUUCUUAAUUUGAUUCUCCCAAAACUGUUUUCUUCUCUCUAGCUCUAAUAUUGCAGAUUGUUUAUUUUAAUUCAUUAAUUUCGUUUUUAUUUUAAUUAGGUUAUAAAAUCAAUCACCUAAACUUCUACUUUACAAUAAUUAAAUGGAAUCUGAUUAGUUUUGAAUUAUUUAAUAAUCCAUGUGGAGACGACCUUGCGAGAUCCGUUUAUACUACAAUAACUUCGUGAUUCUUGCAAGUAAAAUAGGAGAAUUAAGCCCGUUCACAUGAGUAGUAAAAAUCCUAUCAAGAAAAUGGCGCCGUUGCCGGGGAUCGAACCCGGGUCACCCAAGACAACUAGCUAAAACUCAACCAUGACAAAACUUCCACCUUCAAGUUGGCAAUCCAUAGCAAAUUUAAAAAACUAGAACAUUUUCAAAAGUUCCAACCAAUCCCACCACAGAGUCUAAACCAUUUAGAAUCAAUUAGAAAGGAAUUCACAAACUUCAUUUGGUGUAAAGUGAACCACAUAGUUAAAGGGACUCGACUAAAACCCUUACCUCUAGUCUUUCUUUAUUUCACACAUACUAACUUUAAAUAUAACUCUCUUUCUUUUUUUUCUUUUUCAAUUAUUUUUUCUCUUUUUUUUUCAUAUAUAACAUUUUUUUUUCAAUAACAGUAGUGGUCGUGCAAUGUUGGUUCACUUAAGCUUUCGAUCCAACCCAUGUAGCGAGCUUUAGGUCAAUGACACCCAAACCACUAGGGCUUUAGGGCACUAGGUGUAGAACACCCCUAAGGACUUAUUAACUCGAACUGAAAAGGCUACGAAACCAACUAACCAUCCUGCCCCAUGCCAAAACUCUACCGUUUGACGCGAGAAUCACUGCUGAUUAGGCAGGACUGGCCCGGUUACUAGGCAAAACCUCGGGUGAGACAAUUAUUACUUUAUUCACAAUAAUAACUGACUUUACUUAAAACAAAAAUUAAAAAUAAACUUAGACUAAAAGCAAGUGUUUCAAUCUCACUCCCCACAAACCAUGUUGGUGUGAUGUGCAAAGUUCAAAGUAUAAUUCAUGAAUUAGUGUCUAAGCAACGAUAAAUAGAAAAGACUCUACUGUGGGAUUAAUCUUCACCAUGUCCAUUUGUUCCAACAUUUAAAAUAAUCUAUGGAUAUUAACUUAAGAAGAAUGAAAAUUUUAUCCUGACACAAAAAUUAAAAAAAACUAAAAUUUACUUUCCCACCCCCAAACUUAUUUCACACGUUGUCCUCAAGGGUGUGGAAACAAAAAGAAAACUAAAAAAACAAAAGAAUAAAACACAAAAACUCUAGUGGACACUUUAAAAAAAACGACAACACUAUAAGAAGAAAUAAAAAAAUAACAAAUAAAAUAACAAAUAAAAUAAAAAUCAAAGAAAGAAAAACACCUGGCAAGUAUGUCAGCCCACUCGCAAAGGAACAUUGGAUUCCUUUCUUUGAAAGGCAUGCAAUUGGCAUGCCAUGUGAAAAGUGGCGUGCAGCUGGCAUCAGUCUACUGUCUCUGUCAGUCAUCAAACAUAGAGCCCAAACGGCUCUCUCCCCUCUCUUCAAACCCUGUCCUAGGGAAAGAAAAGGUCCAUAGGAUGCGCCCACUUGUCAUGCAUCAGAAAGAGAAGGUCCAUAGGAUUCUAAAUCAAGGGUUAAGAUCAACCCCAUAUGCCCAUCUAACUCUCUCUAGAAAGUCUAAAAAUGCUUUUACUCUCUCCAUUUCAAAGCAAGUCCUUCUGCCUCCAAUUUAUUUUUUUCGCAUUUCUCUCGGAUCCCAUGUCUCUGCUCUCUCUCCUUCAUGGCUUCUCAGACCCCAUUUCUCUAUAAAAUAAAUAAUACCUUUUCCCCCCACAUUUUUCCCUCAUUUCCACAGUUGCUUCUUCAUAUUCGCUAAACGUGGCAUCCGUGCUGCAACCAACAGCCCAGCUAUCUACACACCUCCGUGUUUCUCGAACACAACCAUGGUGACAGGAGUGGAAAAACUGAUAGGCAGGAAGGUAAAUCCCUGCUCAAAUCUUGUGGAUUUCCUGUUCAGAUUUAUGUGUUUUAGAGAACUGGAACAAAAACUAACACAUGCAUGUGGUUUUAUCAGUGUGACGACCCCUAAUGGUUUCAAAUCCAAGACAACAACACAAGAACACACCCUGAGUCGCCAGCUCUGCUCAACCAAGGAUCUGCAAAUGUUGAGGUAAAACCCGUAACCCUUUCGAUGGAUUGACGCUUAUCUGAUAUUUGAAUAAUAUAACCACUGAUGGGACUGAAAAAUGACACUUAAAUCCAGCGUAUAACCGAGAGAAAACAAGCUUAAGUUGCCGGUCUAAUGGUCCCAGAACGCAAACUAAACGGCAAAUGUCUCGACCGCUGCAAAUCAUGAAGGUAAAGAUCUCGUUCUUUUGCAGUUGCUAAACUCAACAUUUACAUGUUCAACGACAGUUCAUUAUAAUGCCAUAUUUAACCUGUGUGUACUCAUAUUUUCGCUCUUUAUGAAGGGGUAUACGAAUCCAUGAUAGAGCCAAAGAAACAGAAGUAAACACACAAGUUCAAUGGAUGAAAACAGCACAGGCCGCAUGACCCAGAUCGGUGCAUCUGGGAGGUAAAAUUCGAAUCCCUGCAAGUGUAGUUGUUGUAGAUAUGGUAAUAAUAAUAGUUGUACUCAGUUCUGUGGUGUACGGAUCUGUGAUUUAAUUGUGCUUCCUCCAUGCAUCGCAAAACUGAGCUGCAGAAAAUUAACUGCUCUAAAUUAUGUUUCUGUGCUGGAUCUGCAACAAUCUCCCCCAAACUUGCAUCUGUGAAUGUCUUGUUAUGUUGACUGCUUUAAAUUUCCAGCAUAGUGUAGAUGUGGUUGAUGUGAACGUUAGACUUGCUGCUGGGUGCAAGAUUCCAGCAUAGGACGCGCUUUAUUUUCCACGUUCGCAACCUGCAAUUAACCAAUAUGCGUAUAUUAAAAAAGGAGCUAAAAUCAACAUGCGUAAAUGAAGAAAGCGACAUAUUUUUGAAUUUUUCAUGGUCUUUUUAUUUUUUUUGUUUUUGUUUUUGUUUUUGUUUUUUUAGUUUUUUGUUUUUUGAAAACUUAGGUCUAUAUAUAUGCAUCUAGAAUUUAAACUUAUAAUAAAAAAAAUCAAACAAAAAAAAAAAAAUAAGGAAAGAGUUUAGAAAAAUUGGGUUGCCUCCCAACAAGCGCUUUAUUUUAAGUCUGUAACUAGACGUUGCAGAACUCCGGUGGCUAGAUCACUGGUGCCUUCAGAGUCAAAGACUCGCUUUCACCAAAUUUCCCUAUGCAUGGUUUUAGUUGAUAUUUCUUGACCUUGAGCAAACAACCCCUGCCCAAAAUGAUGGGUGUUGUCAAAUCCUCAUCCAUGUCCAACACCAUAAAAUCAGCUGGUAAAUAUAAGUUGUCAACCUUCACAAUAACAUCUUCAAUGACUCCUCUAGGAUAGGUAAUUGAACGGUCAGCCAAUUGAAUAAUACUGGAGGUUGGCUUCAGCUCUCCUUCACCUAAACGUUUAAAAACAGAAUAAGGCAUUAAGUUUACACUUGCACCUAAAUCAGUUAAAGCACUUUUAAAAUCAGAAUUGCCAAUAGUACAAGAGAUAGUAAAACUCCCUGGAUCUUUUUUCUUUGGAGGCAAUUUAUGCAAUAAGACCGCACUGCAUUGUUCUGUUAAAAUUACUUUUUCGGAAUCCACAAGCUUCUUUUUCUUUGUACAAACGUGCUUCAAAAACUUGGCAUAAGAUGGAAUGUUCUUGAUUGCAUCAAUUAAUGGAAGAUUAAUUUGAACUUUAGCCAAAGUCUUCAAGAAAUCUGUCAACUGUUGAUCUUUAGCUUUAGGCUUCAACCUUUCGGGAUAAGGCAUAGGAGGCUCAUAACACGUUCUGCAGUUUUUGUGGUAGCUUAUGCAGUAUUUUCGGAUCUGUCUUGGGGCUGCCCAGAAUCUGCAGAAAUUGCAGAAUCUGCAAAAAUUUCAGAUUUAGUUUGGGGAUGUUCUGCUGCCCGCGAAUUUCCAGCGGAUUUUUCAUUUCUAUUGUAACUUUUGCCAGACCGUAAAGUUCGUAUAGCAUUGCAUUCUUCUCGUCCUCUUAGAUUAGGUACUGUUUGACUAGGAAAUGUACCCGGUGCUCUUUCUGAAACCUGCAAAGCAAUCUGUCCCAUUUGUUUUUCCAUGUUUUUCAUUGCUGCCUGUAUAUUUUGAAUUUCUUGAGUGGUAGUAUUUGCCAAUUUUUCAAUUGCAACCUCCCAAGCAACCUUAGGUGCAGCAGGUUGCUGUUCCUGCUGUUGAAAUUGAGGCCUAGAGUGCUGGUCUUUGUCCCACCUUAGAUUUGGCUAAUCUUUCAAACCUGGGUUGUAGAAAUUAGAAUACGGGUCAUAUCUAGGACGCUGGAAAUUGUUAAAUGAAUUAACCUGCUCCACUAUAAACUCCGGAUAAGCAUCUUUAUGUGGACAACUCAAAAAAUCAUGAUUUGUCAAGCUGCAAAUGCUGCAGGCAGCUUGUAAAGGCUGCUGUACAGCAACCUGUGAACCCGAAAUUCUUUGUAAUAACAUGUCAAAUUUUGCAUCAAAUCUUUCAAGCUUUUUCUCCAUUUUUUCAAUUUGUGCCGACACAUAUGGUGAACCAUUAGACAUCUCAAAAAAGGAUCUAGAUUGUGGCUGCUCAACUGCCCACUGCUGAGUAUCUGCUGCCAUUUUUUCAAAUAACAAAUAAGCCUCUUGUGCAUUUUUAUCUUUGUACGAACCUCUGCAUGAAGCGUUGACAAGAGUUUUUGUAGUCAUAUUCAACCCUCUGAAAAAUAUAUGCAUUUGAUCAGUAGUGUUAAUACCUGAGUGUGGACAUUUUCUAAUCAACUCUUUGAACCGCUCCCACGCAUCAUGAAACUCCUCAUUUGGCUUUUGGGCAAAAGAUAAAAUCUGAGUUCUCAUGUCAAGAGUCUUAGAAGCCGGAUAAUGCUUGUUUAAAAAUUUUUCACUAAGUUGGGCCCAAGUUGUAAUGCUUCCAAAUGGGAGUGUGAGGAGCCAUCUCCUUGCUUGAUCUUUUAGAGUAUAAGGAAAUAAGCGCAGCUUAAUAGAUUCGGCUGAAAAUCUCCUCACCAAAAUGUUUUUGCACCCAUUAAAAAUUCUGCAAUGUGCAUGUUAGGAUCAUCAGAUGAUAACCCAUGAAACGUAGGUAGAAUAUUCAACAUGUGCUGUUUUAUUUCAAAUGCAGUCCCUUCCUCCACUGCCGGAUAAGUAAUGCAACUUGGUAUAUUUGUGGUAUGGGCAAUCAGUGACUCACCCAGAGGCAGACCAGCCUCUGGAAUUACAAAUGCCAUUUUUUCUUUGCUGUGCAGGUCCCCAGAAAAGAAUGAUUGCAGAAAAGUCUCCUGCAGAGGACGAACCCUCUGCAAAGUUUGUGAAGGAUUUAUUUUGAAAAACAUGUUCAUUUGAAUAACAUCUAUAGCAUGCAAUUAACAAAUUAAAGGCGGAAUCAUGCUUGUAUGCAUUCAAAAACAAAACAUUACCCAUGAAAUUCAAAGCCUAGUAGAUUGGUGAACCAAUAAUCAACUCAAAACAAAGUGAGUUGAAAUUAAUACCUUUGUAGAUUCCUCUUUGCAUAAGCAAAGGCUAAUCACCCAAAGAGAUAGGGCCUUCAUUCCUUGCUUCUUAGAUCCAUGGAUUUGGAUGGAAGAAUAGGUUCUCCAAGUUCCCAAAAUUGAGAACCUCUAAGUCUCUUCACCAAGGUUUGAUUGUAGAAGAAAUGAGUGACCUUGGAGUAGUAGGAUUGCUAGAUGUACCCUCCAAGGUGUUGGCCUCUUUAGAGAGAAAAUGGAGAGACAAUUCUCACCCAUUUUCACCCAAAAUAAACCCUUAAUCACAUUAUGAAUAUUUGGCUAUAAAGUCCUUUAUAUAGUCCCUUCAAAUAAGUGACCUAAAGAACAAAAAACCCUAAUUCAUCUACAUGGCCGGCCUACUUUGGGAUUUUUGGGCUUUUGGGCCUUUGUGAAUCUUUAUUCAUUAAGUUGUCAUACAUCUUAAGUCAAUGGGCUUGACAUUCGAAGCCCAUUGGGCCUUAAGGUCCAAAAUUAUCCCGAGGUCUUUAACGAACUUAUUCGUUUGAUUAAUUAACAUAUUAAUUAAUCCUUGCCAUAAAUAAAUGAUUAAACCAUUUAAUCAUUCUUACUCAUUUCCGUUUAAUCUUCAAUCUCCACCUUUUAUGGUGUGCGAUCCAUUAGGUUCCUUUUAGCGAGGCAGUGGGGGGCGAUUAAAACCAUUUUACAUCGAUUGUGAAUUGAAACAAUUUUCAAUUCUCCCUUUAGUGGUUAUACACGUAUAGGGCUUCCACAAACCAUGGUUGACGCCUAGCAGCAUGUCAUGGUUACCCAAGCUAAUCAGAAGAGGUUAGAGAACCUAUUCAGUUCGGGAUUACAAGUGCAAUACGGUCCUUCUCUAAUCUAAUACUCUUGACCACAUUGUUUGGUAUGAUAGUUUAUUUACUCAUGUCUACUAUCCAAUGUGAAUCGUUUGCUUAUAUGAUUUCCUUGAAUGUGAUUUGGAACGCAUUCCCCAAUCUUAUUCAUACUCUGGCCAGAGAUUCCAAAUCAUAUCAUAGAGUAUUCUCCCUCAACUGUUUGAAGGUUAGAGAUCCCUUGUUGCGCAUUCACUUGUCUCCAUAGCUAAGUGGCUUAACCCCAACGAUGCCGUGACACCCCGAGGGGGUGAAUUAGACAUAAUCAAAGAUUAAGGACUUAACCACAAGACAACUGUGAUGCCUCAGGUCAAAGGACAACUUUGCAUUAUCCCAACCAUGAGUUCUCAUGUGACAUGGAAUAUAAGAACUCUUCGUUGAUCACGUUCAGUGAACUCAUUCUCUUAUUUGAGCACCUACGUACUUGUCUUGAUGUCACACACACCAAUGACUCGAGACUAGUCACUCUCCCUGAGAGAAGACACAGUACGUACUGAUCUUAACGGACUGUCAAUGCCCAAUUGGUAAUCCUAUGAUCAGGAACAUUUAGGAUGUGUCUACGAAAGAAUGGUCUCAUUAAUCUAACUUCAUUAGAUUGCAUUCUCCCAAUCACAUAUUCCUUGGACUUUAUCGUUUAAGCAUAUAACAUUUAUAUGAGACGGCUCAAACAAUAAUCUUUGCCCUUUAUAUGUUAAACUAGAUUAGUUUAACAUUUGAAAUGUCCGUAAAGUAUCAUCAUAUGAUUGGUUUUAGGGCACAUUUCCAACAAUCUCCCACUUGCACUAGAGCCAAUCAGCAUUGGUCAUCAGUGAUGAUACCUCUUCUGUAGUCAUUUCAUAAAUGGCUGAAAAGUAGGCCUAGACAAUGGAUAUCUAUAUGUUAUCCAUAGAAGCAACGUUGAGAAUAUCGACUUCACCAUUAUACAUGAUUCUCAAUCAUGAGGUUCAGUCUCUCAUUUGUGUUCGGAUCUUGAUGAGCCCUUGAUUCCCAGGCUUGAGCUAUCGCCCCAUUAGUGUCAUACACUUUCUGGUUGGAACCGUAUAGAGAGUUCAUAAAUGAACUUUCCCAUCCAAACAACAUUGUUGUAAACUUCUAUAUGGCAAUAUAUCUUGCAUUCAUAAUGGAACACACUAAAGUCAUUACUUUAAUGUUUCCAUCCAAAUAUCUCUUUAGUCAUAAUAAAGAGAUAUCUGUUUAUUUCUUCAUUCGUAAUGAAGAAACAUCCAAUGAUGGAUUAGAUUCAUAAUCUAAUACAUUUACGCUUCCAUUACGUUACUCUAAUUCUUCCUCGAUCUUUGAGGAAUUUAUCCUUUAGUAUUUCUUAAAUACUUAAGGACUCACUUGACAGUUGCCAUGGUUCUGAUCCUGGGCUUGUAUUGAUAUCGUCUUGUACCGUUCUCGGUACAACUCAUAUCAAUGUUUUUCAUACAAUAUGAAAUACAUAAAUCCCCUUUCUGUUUACGCAUAAAGGAUUCUAUUUACGCAUUAUUUCUUUGGGAGUCAACAACUUCUUAGUCUUACUAGAAUUGUCCAUUUGAUUGAAGUUUAUCAUCAUAUGAGAAACUUCCCAGCAUCUCUUGUCUAUUAUUGGGGAUUGAUACAAUCCAAUUAUAUCCUAAAAUCUAUCAAUAUAGAUUUCAUUCCCAUGUAUAUAGACUAUAUCUCCCAUAUACAUUCUAUCGUUUAUAGAAUGCUUAAAGUCAUAACUUUAACGAAGAAGAAUUCAUUUCAUUUCCAAAAUUAAUAUAUCAUAUAUAUUUUAAAUUUUAGGAACAUGAUUAACUCCCACUAAUCUUUUGUAAAACUCGUAAACAAAAGAUUCAUUUACAUCUUGAUGAGAAAUCAAACGAUUUGAUUCUUUUUCCUCAUAAAAUGCAAAUAGCUCCCACUAACUUGCUAAGAUCCAUGAUGGAUGGAUCUCUACAACUUACAUGUCUUGUGAUUUAUAGUUUUGGACAUAUAUUAUCAAGACUAUCUUAAUAAUGGUUUCGGAAACCCAUAUUAUGUCAAAACAUUGAAUCACCAUUUUAGUUGUAGCUAGCAAUCUUCGAAUUAAUUGAAACCAAGCCUACCUCAAAGAUGGUUUCUUCAAAGUCAACCAUUCUCUUUGAUUGUAGUUACCUUAAGCUACCAAUUAGCUAUGAAGGUUUUAUUAUUUCGAGUCAAAUGGUACUUUACCAUUUCCUUGAGCAUGUAUCAUAUAUACACUCAAUGUAGUCAUAAGGAUUUUCAUUCUUAUUUCUUUCGAAUUAAGAGGUGCAACUCUAUGACAUAGUCAUAAAGUUCAAACCAUUCAACUGAGACGGUUUAUAAAUCCUUCUUGACUACCUUGGAGCUUAAGGUAUAGGAACUAGGUUGUUAUAUUUGUUGAUUACUUUCUUGUCUCUCAAAGAACCCAUUCUUCGAGUUCUAUCUCUCGUUCAUUUGCUUUUAGGCAAAUCACAUUGUAGAAUUACAAUGAACUACCCAACAAAACAACAUUUGUUAGUUGGUUUAUAGAAGCGAUAUCCAAAAGUUAAUUUAAGGAUAUCCUACAAGAUUGUUAUCAAACAAAUAUUGCUUAUUAGCACACAACCUCAAAUCUUAACAUGCUUAAGAUUUGUCUUUCUUUCCAACUACAUCUUAUGGAGUUAUGAAAAUUUUGGAAGAUCUUCUAAUUGACAAUUAUAUUGUUUUUAGAAGUAUAUAUCCUAUAUAUGGGUAAUAGAUAACAUCUAACGAACUAAAUCUUAUUUGAGUUCGUUCUUCUCCUAAUGGAGAAAUACAUUAUCUUAUGAUGCUAUUUUCCUUGAUAUCUUUCAAGGAAACUCAUCUAAAGUGUUACCUUUCCUUGGAUCAAAUCUAAGGAGGUAAAUACUUUAGAUAUCUUACUCAUCUAUUUACAUUUCUUGAAUUCUUUGAAACCUUUUGCAAAGUAUUCGGACUUGUGUUUAUUCAAAAUAAACUAUAGUCCAACCGAGAGUGAUCUUCGGUGAAUGUCAUAUAACAUGAGUAGUAUUAUGUUGUGGACAAGUGCCACUAACAUCUAAGUGAAUUAACCUCAACAACUUUGUGAUUCUUUCUUCUUUUUCCAAAAGAAUAAAGAUUCGAACAUUUCGCCUCCAUACAAUUUUAACAAGAAGGUAUUGGAUCCGGAUCUAACGAUCCAAAGCGUCCAUCUAUGACCAACUCGUAAUUUAUGUUUUUAGAGGUAUCACAACUUUAGUUGGGAUUAGUCACUACCUUGCAACCUUUUGGGUUUUAAGCAUCAUUAUUUUCUAAACAGUUAACACUACCAUAUUAUCUCUACUAUAGAGACAAUCAAUUAGAUUACUAUAAAUCCAAUUUCUUUGGUAGUUCAUAUGAGGAAGUAAGUACUAUCUGCUUUCGCAGAGAUCUAUAUCUUAUUCACGUUCCGUAUGUGAAGCACCUUUUCUUCUCUCAUAUAUCUUCUACUUCUUAUUAGUCACACUUUUACAACGAUUUGUAAAACAUAGUUACUAAUACGGAAUCAUACAUUCAAGUAGAAGAACCAACUGUUUUGAACUAUUCAAGAACAAUUUACAACACCUUCGAAAGGUGUGUUCUUGACACUUGCAAGACAUUUCUUGCAAAUACCCCUUCCAAUUUCCAUCCUUUCAUAAAGAAAGUUUGUUCCCUUGGAGUUAUUUAUCUUCUUUAUUUGACUUUCACCUUUGACUACAUUAGUCAUGGUCCCUAAACUCCCACUAUCUCUCUUGAAACCCUUUUCAAUUGUGUUAUACACAUCAAACAAUUUGGAGAGUAUGUGGUUAUUGUUCACUACAUAGUUUACCAUAAACUUAGUGAACCAUUAGGAUAGGGAAACAAAGGUAAAGUCCUUGCCUAGUUUCCGUCUCGUUAAGUGGUUUAACACUUCAACACUCAAUGAUUCAAAAUCAUCAUAAGUCCAUGUUAAUGGACUAUUUUUGUCAACCAACCAUUAUGUUCUAAACAUAAUUACAAACUUUCAAGAGUUGUACAAGGCAACUCUCAUUUCUUCAUACAACAUUUGGAAGUGAAGAAUCAUGGCACAUUAAGUGUCCAAGCCUUUGUGCUUUCUUCUCAAGUUCCUUGUUCAUGUAACAAAGAAACAAGCACUAAGUGUUUGCAUUGAUUAAGGGUUGUUCAAAGCAACUCUUAUUUCUUCAUACAACAAUUUGUAAUUGAAGAAUUAUGACAUUAAAAGUGUUGUCCUCUUUAUGAUAGACCUAUUCUAACAUAUUCUUCUAAUGAUACAUUAUCAAUAGGAAGAUUGUGAGGAUGAGACUACUUAGGUACAUUUACAAGCCAUUAAAGACAAUCUAUGGUUUUGUAGUACCAAGUCCGUAAACUAAACGUUCGGCUUUUAUUUGUCAAGUGUUGGAUAACGUUUGCAAAUAUAUUGGUAAACAAAUACAUAACGAAUAUAAAUUGAUUGAUUUUAAGCCAUUUGAUUCGGGUCUUUAAAUCAAAUAGCAUCACCCACUAUUUUUGGCAAAUUCCAUAUCCCUCAUUGGAAUUCGAGAGUUUUGGAUGAAACUCUUAGUAGGUUAUGGGAGGCUCACUAUUACCAAGCCCACCUCAGAAUUAUAUCAUGUUGGCUAGCGUUAAUGAUAAUGAGAGAGUACGCUUACUCAUUUGCAACUAAUGCAAGUACCCAUCUUAUUUGGCCUCUAGAGAAUGAUUGCCUCAGAAUUAUAUCAUGUUGGCUCCAUUGCACUUAGUUAAGUCAUUUCCACCAUGCUUAGUUCAUGUAGGGGUUCAAGCAUAGCCUCAGAAUUAUAUCAUGUUGGCUAAACUCGUUGCCUACACUCACCUCAUCAUAUGCGUAUAGACUCUUCCUGAGUAUAAGCAUGCACUUUGUACUUCCCCAUUAUAGGGUGAAGGCGGUGUACAAGUCAUAAACGAUUGGAGCCUACCACGGUGGAAGGCCACGAAAGAGUGUUCAAAGCACUCUCACGCUUUCAACUUAAUAUUGGGUUGGUUGAGGGUUUUAGGUCUCAUCAUAUAUCAAUAUACAUUUUAAUCUCUAUUAAAACAAUUUUGGUCCUAUUACAACUAUUGGUCCAUAUGAUUGUUUUAGUUGUACAUAAUACUCCCACUAUGCUUUUAAAACGGUUUUUAAAGCAAGAGUAUAUGUUACUACUAACAUAAGGUUUGCAUUCAUUUAAUGGACUAUAUAGUUGCCUUAGGGCCUUAGGAUGACUAUGAACCUUUGUUUAGAUUCAACACGAGCCUUGUGUUGAAUCUCGGUCUAGGGAUGGAGAUUGAUUUUAGUUACGCGUUUAAUCACAUUAAGGCGUGUUGUCUUAGGGGCGUUGGACCCAAUUACUUCAUUUUCAUGCAUAUCAUAUAAAGCAAGAAAGAAAUACUUCAAAGUAAAGGAUGAGCUUAUGCUCAUUACAACAUUUGCAUAAAACAAAUUACCUUAAAGUAAAGAAGGACUUAUGCCCUUUUACAACAUUUGAUUAAAUCAAAUUACAACCAAAAUCUAAUCUACACAUUCCCAUGGUUCAAACAAAUUUGAAACGCCUUUCACAUAGCUCAAUUAUAUUAGGCUUAGGUUCAUAAUCAUCCUUUAAUUAAUUAACGCUUUAACUAAUUAAUUGAAUGCAACAUUUUCAUUUGGUUUUUGUAUCCAUAAAAUUGAUUUAAGUGGAGCUAAACAAAAUGAAAAUCCAAUUCUCAUUUAAAGAGACAAAACAAUUUUGUUCUCAUCCUAUUUGGGCCAUCAUGCAAUAACCACAACUUUUUGGGCCAUAUUGCGAAAACAUAAACUUUUGGGGUCACUUUGUAAAAACACAAAAGUCACUACUUUCAUGUAAAUACAACUAGAACCCAAAAUUUAAAUAAAUUCAAAAACUUCAUUAAAGGAGCAAAACAAUUUGUCCUUUAGCGUUUUUAGGCCUUAACGUCAAAACGUAAACUUUCGGGUCAAAGUACAAAUACACAAAAGUAUCAAAACUUUAUGUAAUUGCAUAAAAGCCCCAAAAAUACCCUAUUUUAUUAGGGUGGCCGGUUUUUAGGGAUAAAAAUGAGUGAUGGGUGUUUUGAUUUAUUAGUUUUGUCAAAAACAAUCAAGUAGUGCUUUCACCUUUCAUAAAAAUAAUAUAUGUUUUGAUGAUUGAUGUUUCCAUCAUCAUUUAUUCAAAUAUUUAACACUUUAAAUACUUUCAUAAAAUUAAUAUAUGUUUUUGAUGAUUGAUGUUUCCAUCAUCAUUUAUUCAAAUAUUUAACACUUUAAAUACAUGAUAAAUCAUUUGAAAAACAUAUAACAUAAACUUUAUGAAAUAUUCAAAACUUUGAAUCAAAACACAAAACCUUUUUGUUCUUGGCAAGAACAUCAAGAACAAUGAAGAACAUCCAUGAAAACCCAUAAGAGCUCCAUGAAUGUUUUCAAGCCAUAAAACUCAAAUUUUCACCAUUCAAAAUGGUGUUAACAUCCUAGGGUACUUAGGGGUUCCAAAAGUCACCUUAAAACAUUUUUAACAAGACAAACAUGAACCCAAAAAAUCACCCUUUGGAUUUGGCCGAAAAUCCCAAAAAUCAUGGCACCAAAUUUUAGCUCCAAUAUUCAUCCUCAUAUGAACUACAUCUACAACAUUUGAGAUGGCAAAUUUUCAAACAAAAUUUACAUUCAAAGAAGCAAGAAUAAAGCUUGUAACAAUUACAACUUUUAAAUCAUAAACUUAUGAACUACAAAACCCAAAAGGAUUCACCAACUACUAGACCUACUAGACCUAGGCUCUGAUACCACUUGAAGGAUUUAUUUUGAAAAACAUGUUCAUUUGAAUAACAUCUAUAGCAUGCAAUUAACAAAUUAAAGGCGGAAUCAUGCUUGUAUGCAUUCAAAAACAAAACAUUACCCAUGAAAUUCAAAGCCUAGUAGAUUGGUGAACCAAUAAUCAACUCAAAACAAAGUGAGUUGAAAUUAAUACCUUUGUAGAUUCCUCUUUGCAUAAGCAAAGGCUAAUCACCCAAAGAGAUAGGGCCUUCAUUCCUUGCUUCUUAGAUCCAUGGAUUUGGAUGGAAGAAUAGGUUCUCCAAGUUCCCAAAAUUGAGAACCUCUAAGUCUCUUCACCAAGGUUUGAUUGUAGAAGAAAUGAGUGACCUUGGAGUAGUAGGAUUGCUAGAUGUACCCUCCAAGGUGUUGGCCUCUUUAGAGAGAAAAAUGGAGAGACAAUUCUCACCCAUUUUCACCCAAAAUAAACCCUUAAUCACAUUAUGAAUAUUUGGCUAUAAAGUCCUUUAUAUAGUCCCUUCAAAUAAGUGACCUAAAGAACAAAAAAAAAACCCUAAUUCAUCUAUAUGGCCGGCCUACUUUGGGAUUUUUGGGCUUUUGGGCCUUUGUGAAUCUUUAUUCAUUAAGUUGUCAUACAUCUUAAGUCAAUGGGCUUGACAUUCGAAGCCCAUUGGGCCUUAAGGUCCAAAAUUAUCCCGAGGUCUUUAACGAACUUAUUCGUUUGAUUAAUUAACAUAUUAAUUAAUCCUUGCCAUAAAUAAAUGAUUAAACCAUUUAAUCAUUCUUACUCAUUUCCGUUUAAUCUUCAAUCUCCACCUUUUAUGGUGUGCGAUCCAUUAGGUUCCUUUUAGCGAGGCAGUGGGGCGAUUAAAACCAUUUUACAUCGAUUGUGAAUUGAAACAAUUUUCAAUUCUCCCUUUAGUGGUUAUACACGUAUAGGGCUUCCACAAACCAUGGUUGACGCCUAGCAGCAUGUCAUGGUUACCCAAGCUAAUCAGAAGAGGUUAGAGAACCUAUUCAGUUCGGGAUUACAAAUGCAAUACGGUCCUUCUCUAAUCUAAUACUCUUGACCACAUUGUUUGGUAUGAUAGUUUAUUUACUCAUGUCUACUAUCCAAUGUGAAUCGUUUGCUUUGCUUAUAUGAUUUCCUUGAAUGUGAUUUGGAACGCAUUCCCCAAUCUUAUUCAUACUCUGGCCAGAGAUUCCAAAUCAUAUCAUAGAGUAUUCUCCCUCAACUGUUUGAAGGUUAGAGAUCCCUUGUUGCGCAUUCACUUGUCUCCAUAGCUAAGUGGCUUAACCCCAACGAUGCCGUGACACCCCGAGGGGGUGAAUUAGACAUAAUCAAAGAUUAAGGACUUAACCACAAGACAACUGUGAUGCCUCAGGUCAAAGGACAACUUUGCAUUAUCCCAACCAUGAGUUCUCAUGUGACAUGGAAUAUAAGAACUCUUCGUUGAUCACGUUCAGUGAACUCAUUCUCUUAUUGAGCACCUACGUACUUGUCUUGAUGUCACACACACACCAAUGACUCGAGACUAGUCACUCUCCCUGAGAGAAGACACAGUACGUACUGAUCUUAACGGACUGUCAAUGCCCAAUUGGUAAUCCUAUGAUCAGGAACAUUUAUGAUGUGUCUACGAAAGAAUGGUCUCAUUAAUCUAACUUCAUUAGAUUGCAUUCUCCCAAUCACAUAUUCCUUGGACUUUAUCGUUUAAGCAUAUAACAUUUAUAUGAGACGGCUCAAACAAUAAUCUUUGCCCUUUAUAUGUUAAACUAGAUUAGUUUAACAUUUGAAAUGUCCGUAAAGUAUCAUCAUAUGAUUGGUUUUAGGGCACAUUUCCAACAGUUUGCUCCCUGCGAUUCCUCCGUAAAUUCUACUCAAGUUCUGGAUCAAGUGGAAUCAAUUUCUGCACUGUUGAACGGGUGCUGACCAUGCACAGAUUUCUGAGAUCUGCACUGCCGUACUGUUGUAAUCUGUAAAAAUAAAAUAAACGAAAAUUAAUUUUUUUUUAUAUGUAUGAACAGCAAUAACUAAUUGAAAAUCUGAUUAGUAUGGAUUAUUUUAAAUAAUCCCCGGCAACGGCGCCAUUUUUUCUGGAGAAGUGUUCAGAAUAUUCUAAACAUUAAAUCCAGCUAUAUUGGGCCAGUUUUGGAGCAGCUUAUGGGCCAAAACGUGGCUGUUCAGAUUUUAGACGAAUUUUAUCAUUUAAUUUAGGGUUAUGUUUCCUAGGGUUUGUGUGGAGGCUUAGCAGAUAUAUUGCUUGGCCGUCUACAGUUUUUGGGGACAACAUUUUUUUUAUGCAAUUUUGGAGACAGAGAGAAGUGCUAGGGUUUUGGAGAUUUUCUACUUGAAGGUGUUUUCAAUCAUUUUCUUAAGAAUAUUUUCUAUGAUUUCAAUUAUGAGUAUGCGUAACUAAUUCCUUUUGCUAGGGCGAAGCCUUGAGCCUUAGCAUGAAUAUGUGAUUUUUAUUUAAUUGUUUAUGAUUGAUUGCAUGCAUACUUUGAAUUGUUAAUCACCGGGAUAAAAAGUAUCUAAUGAUUUUAAUGCCUGAUCACCAUUAGGAUUUUUAGAAAAGUAAUUUGAUGCAAUUUUGGUCGGAAGGUUCCCUGAAAUUGACGCUGGCUUCUUGUGAUUAAUAAUUGUAAUUUCGCUUAGGAUGAAUAUCACGUCUUAAGGAUUGCAUGGUUUUUCAAAGGAUUUUCAUAAAGCGUAAUGAGUCUUUCAUGUUCAGAUUUGAUCCGAACGUCCGGACGGGUUGCAUGUUAGAUAUACGUUAUAUGUUGGAGGUUCCAAGUAGAAUAUGAAUUAGGAAAAUCUAACCUUCAAAGUGGCAUGUGUAGAUUAUAAGUAAUUGAUAAAAAUUCAUAGGAUUGCUAGGUGAUGGUGGAACCCUAGUGUUUUCUUAAUUUGAUUCUCCCAAAACUGUUUUCUUCUCUCUAGCUCUAAUAUUGCAGAUUGUUUAUUUUAAUUCAUUAAUUUCGUUUUUAUUUUAAUUAGGUUAUAAAAUCAAUCACCUAAACUUCUACUUUACAAUAAUUAAAUGGAAUCUGAUUAGUUUUGAAUUAUUUAAUAAUCCCUGUGGAGACGACCUUGCGAGAUCCGUUUAUACUACAAUAACCUUGUGAUUCUUGCAAGUAAAAUAGGAGAUUUAAGCUCGUUCACAUGAGUAGUAAAAAUCCUAUCAUGUUACACGACACGACCCGUUAAGAUAUCGGGUAUGACACAAAAACGACACGAACACGGAAAACACGACACGAAUGCCAGGUCUAUUGUGCCCUUAGAUGUAAAAUAUAGGCACAAUAAUAUAUUUGAGUUCAUCUUUUUAAACAAAGUGGUCAGAAAAUGUGUUUGUGUCCAUUUUUUUUUAUAUUGGGCAUAAUAUGUAGUGUCCUUUAUUGAAUGGGCACUGUUUUAAUCCUUUUGUGUUGAAAGACACACAAUUUUGUCCAUAAUUUUGUGCCCAAAGGCCAUUUUUGUUGUAGUGACAGUUAACUCAUCCGACACUUCAUCUUGAGCAGCUCCGAUCUUGGCAGCUCCAUCCUUGACUACUCCGUCUAUGGCAGCUAAGAAAUCAAACUUAAGCAGUUUCCUUAUUUUUGGCAAACAACCCAUACGUGGCAGCCCAAACCGUUGUCCAUGCCACGCCACUUCCUCGGCCCAUGCCGAGCCAAUCCUUGGCUUUAAUUAAGCCGAGCAGCACAAGUAAUGGCCCCUGCCACACCUCUUCCUUGGGCCAUGCUAAACCGACUCCUGGCCCCUGUCAGUCGAUGUACCGCACCACCCCGACGGCUGCCCCGUGGCAGCACCUCCCACGAAGAAGACAAAGAAAUCAAUGGAAGACGGUUCUUUGCACGGGCAAGCAAAGAAGAGUGCUAGGGGAGGGGGAACAAAUAUCCUCUAGCUUUCUCUCUUUCUUGUAAGGAUAAAUAAUUGCCCUUCAAAGUUGAUUUAAUCCCCUACUUAAGGUAGGAUUAAAUAGGCAUUGGAGGCGAUUUAUUUCCAUUUCCUAAAAGAAUAUAAUUCCAAGUCCUUGAGAAAAUCUACAUCAAAGUUGGAGAUCUCUACACCUGCUGCCCUUUCCUGUGAGCAGCCCAGCAAGUAUGGAGGCAUUUGUGGAGCCCAAAAUAAUCACAAGGCGACACAUGGAUUUUUGGGAAGAAGAAGACAAAAAUACUCUUGAGGCAUACUAGGAUUCUUACGGUCAAGCAGCAGACACUCAUCACUCAACCAAGUCAAAAUUGCCCAAAAUAGGUAACAAUUCAAAGCCUAUUUCAUCCAUCCUCAUCAAAUCAUUUCUACAAGAUAAUUCCCAAAACAUUCCUUUUAAAUUAUGUUAAUUGGCUAAUUAAUAGAUUUAUUACCUAAUUAAUCUAUUAAUAGCCAAUUAAACCACCAAUUACUCCCAAAAAACACACAUAAGGUCGGUCACCUUCUCUCCCAAGGGGGCCGGCCAUGCCUUAUAAUUUCUACCUCAUUUUCCCCUUUCAUUAGCUAAUCAAUUAGGCAAUUAUUCUAUUAAUUGACUAAUUAAUUAGUUAAUUAUUCCAUAACUCCCAAUUUAACACAAAUCAAGAACCUAGCCCACAAAGGGAGCUAGGUGGCCAGUCCUCUCUCAUCCAAGGAGGUCGGCCACUCUCCUAUUUAAACCACAUCAUCCUCCUCAAAGUCCACUUCCAACUCUCUUGUUAAAAUUCUCACACUUUCUCUCUAAAUUUUAACUUUAACAUCAAAGAUUCUCUAGCCAAAGCGCCCCCCCCCCCCGGCGCCAAUUCAUCAUGGGCGUAUGAGGCUCUUGGCCUUGACCAAAGGUGUUAAUUGUUUUGUAGGUGCAAUUUUGUCCAAGAUCAAGGAGGAGGAAAUUUGCAUCCACACAACCCCUUCAAACCGCACCAAAAAAUCAAAACAUCCAUUCGAAACCUCAAUUUUUGAAACCAAUUUCAAGUUCGAUUCAAGUUUUCAAACAAUAAUCAAUACAUCAAAUCCGGAAUUUCUCAACCCAAAAACUUCAUUUGAAGACGAAAAACUGAAAAAAUUCGAGAUAUAUAUUUGCAGAAUCCAAAUCAGAGAAACACAGGUAUGAACCUAGAAAUUCUUAUAUUCUUGAUGAUUUCUUACUUUGAUUUACUACAUAUGUAUAUUUGCAUGUUUGAGAUUCUAAAAAAUAAAUUAUGUUUCCAGUUCAGAGUAUUCUGAUUUGCAUCCAGACGAAAACGAACAAAAAAAAAAGGGGGAAAUAAAAGCAACAUAGAAGAAAUAGAGGUACAUACUACAAAAUUUAUAAUAUUCUCGAUGAUUUUACAGUAAUAUGUAAGUUUGCAUGAUUCGAAUUCAUUGAAUGGGCAAUGUUUCUGCAAAAUGGUAUUUUUUUACUUCACUUUGAUAACGCUUGUUUUCUUAUAACCUUUAAAUAGUCUUUUCUUGACCUCAUAUGUUGGUUACUUUGCUUAAAUAACUUAAAAAUAAUCAACAUUCUAUUACAAUGGUUCCAGAAACAGUAUAGUUUUUUUGUUUCUGUUUGAUUAACAGUAUGGAUCCAUAAUCAAUAUGGUGUUUUAGUUCAUUUUCUUAAAUAACAUGCCCUAGUAUGGAUCCAGAAUCAAUAUAGUGAAAAAGGACAUUUUUGAAGCGUACCAAAAAUACUCUAAGACGAAACUCUUGAAGGACGAAAGCUACUGCUUCAAUUAUAUGUGCGCAUCUCAUCCAAUCCCUCUUAUUUGCAACCUCCAGAACAUACAUCACAUGGAACUUUAUAACAAAUUGUGGGGCAUUUGACCAAAUCAGCAAAUAUAAUUGGGCAAAAGGAGUGAUAGACUACUUGUUCAAGAUGAUUGACAAAUCAAAGAAAAAGAAGAAAAAUGGAGGAUAAUUAGCAAUAACAAGCGGAUGCACUGCUAUUAUUUUGGUAAAAAAAUUAGAACUAUAGUUUUAAAAGCAUGAAUUCUAUCUUAUAAAUUUCACAAGAAACUAAUUCAAAGUUCUUAUUUCAUGCAGUAUUGGAUUUAUCUUCACACCAAUCUAGUGGAGACAAUAAGUUGACGAGAAAACAUGAUUCCUGCAAUUAGAAGAUGGACAUAACCAAGAUAUACAAAGCAAUUCUUGACCUUUCGAUUGCCUUGCGGAUUAGUGAGUUACUGGGUUCUGCCCCAUAACGUACAUCUUUGUGUCUACAUACGACGACUCCGUUUCUACUCAGAGCCGCAUAUAGAUGGCUCGCGAAACUCAUGCGGGUGUCUUGGCCACUGAAACUGAGGUAGACAUCGUACUCAUUUGUAUGCGUGGUGGCCAUGGAUCCCAACGGAAAUCUCUGCUCUCUUCUCUCUCUUCUUCUUAUGGAAACUCAGACCGAUCAAAUCCAGAUCUGAGAGUCUUCUAGCAUAGGAAUGGAUAAUGAAAUGUCAACGGCUAUACAAUCGUCCGAUGCGCAGCAGCAAAUCUCCAUUAGUUUGACUUGAACUACAUAUAAGUAUUGUUUUUUUUUUGUUAGAUACAUAUUAAUAUUGUUCAAAGCUACAUAUUAAUAAAAAAAAAUUGUUCAUUAAAAAUUAGUAAAAAGACUAUUUAGUUUUUUAUCUCAAUAAAAAAAUUAAAGACAGUAACGUAAUUUUACAAAAUAAAAUUUUACUUUUUUGUUUAAACAUCACUUACAAGUACUUUUAACAUUUUUAAUUUUUAAAAAUUGAAAGAAAAAAAAAAUUAAACUCUCCUCGCUCUCGUUCUCUGUCUCUCCUCCAAUUUUAAAAACAAAAAUAAAAACAUUUCACACACAUUUUAUGUAUUGGCAUACUAGUAUUUAUUUACAAUUCACGUUUUUCACAAACAAACUUACCACAUUGAUCUCACAAAAAUAAUUUGGACAGGAUUAUAUAAAAUCAUAAAAGCAAAUUUGUUGAAGAUCUACUUUUGGCGUUUUAAUUACACUUAGUUAAAACCGCAUGUUUAAACUAUUUUGCUAUAUACAACACUAAGGGGUUGUAUUCAAUAUGGAACGGUACCAUAUGUUAAUAUAUAAUUGGGUUUUUUUUUCCUUCGAAUUGUAUAAAAAUAUGUAUUGUACCGUUCCACGUUCCAAGCAAUUUCUCCAUAAUCAGGAUUUUGAGCAAUUUUAAUUCUUUUUACAAAUCCAAGGGAAUUUAAUUAAAAUUUAAGUGAUUUUCUAAAAAUAUAAGUGUAUUCAAUUAUGAUUUUAAAAGAGUUUAACACAUUUCAGCAUUUCAAUUAGAAAUUUAGUUUAAAAUUUGAGGAAUUCGAGUGAAUUUGAGAGGUUUUGUAAUGUAUUUUAAAUAUUCUCAAAUCUCACAUCUCUCCCUAAUUAUUUGUGAGAAUUCACUCAAAAGUUUCGUAAUGUAUUUUAAAUAUUCUCACGUCUCUCCCUAAUAAUUUGUGGAAAUUCAUUCAAAAGUUUACAUGUGAAUAUCUAGAAGUCAAAUAAACUCCAUCAAAAUCCAUCAAAAUCCAUUAAAAUCCCUCGAAAUCUUAAUCGUAAACAACCCAUGAAUAAGAGGAGGCUUGAGAGAGAUUUAUGCGACCAAACCAAUGCUGAAUGUCUACUUACUUGAUGCUGCGUGGUUAGGCUUAGUCGACCUCACUCCAUCUUCAUUGCUUUGCUACUUGAAAUGAGGGAUUCCAAACAUAUUGGCGAAGCCGGCCAAUGUACCCUUCAAUCUACCACUUCCACUAGGUCCUUCUCCGUCACCAUCGCUACUGGAUUGGGUCGCUAUUUCAUCCAACUCUUCCACAGCGCUCUCGUACACAACGUCCAACUCUUCCACAUCACUCUCGUACACCAAACGAGUGCCGCAACUCUUCACCAAGCAGGGGCCUGAGCUUUUGAAAUUAAAUUUUAACUGAUUGCAACUGUUUUGCCACUCUGUACCAAAGCUUAUACCACGAGACACAUAGAGUAGCCAGAUAUGAUCUGACACGGGCUGGACAUCCGAAGAUAGUAGAGGCGCAGGGUACUCUUCCUUUCCAUUGACUUCCAAAACACCAGAGAGCUCCCAUCCGCUCCCACAAACUUUAAAUACAGCGCACAGAGCAUAUCCCAUCCACUUGUUAUCACGCCAUUGCGGAGUUAGGUCGACGGUUACUUCUGGUCCCAUCCUUUGAUGAGUGAACCACCCAGGAAUUUCCUUUCCAGGCAUGACAAUUUCAUAUCUAUCUCCUGCAUAAGGGACUCCCUGUACAGGUGAAACAGUGAUGUCAAGCAUUGAGAGAGAGAGAGAGAGAGAGAGAGAGAGAGAGAGAGAGAGAGCACCUUAAGAUAUCUUUGGAGCAUUGUAAAUGUUAUAUGAUUGUAGCUUUCUUUCUCAAGCAUUCCAAAGCAAUUGAUGAAAUUGAAGCAUGAUGAAUUCAAUCUGUCCAAAUUUGAUGGACAUUCCAGCAUUUUCAGUUUAGUACAACCAUCUGCAGUUACUUGUAAAUCCACAUCUGACGAAAGAACUGGAAGGUGUUGAAGCCUCCAGCAACGACUCAAGUAUAAAUUCUCUAGCUUAGUGAGUUGGCUAAUGCUUGUAGGAAGAUUAACAAAAUCGUUUCCACUUAAGUUCAAUGAUACCAAAGACGAUAAGCAGCCAAUAUCACUGGGGAUGUCUCCUUUACCAAGACUGUGACCACUUAAGUCUAAUUCCAUUAAAGAACAAAGGCCUGAUAGAGGAGGCAAGAACAAACUGAUGGAAUGAUGAAGGCUCCCUGUUGGCAUUAAUCUAAAAGGGAGCAACAUAUGCCAUGGUUGUUGUGAUGGCCCUUCCAUUCCACGAAAAAUCAAUGCUUUAAGGUUUUUCAGAAGGGCAAUGGAAGAUGGGAAUUCUUUUAUAGCAGUUCCACUUAAAUUAAUCUUCUCCACAAACUCUAAUUUCCCGAGGGUUUCUGGCAAUUUGGCAAGAUUUGAGCAUCCAGAAACAUCAAGACUUUUAAUAGCCGUCAAAUUUCCAAUGGUACGAGGAAGACAUUUCAGAUUUUUGCAAUCUCUCAAGUCCAACAAAGAAAGGCUGGUUAGAUGUUCAAUUGAUGAAGGUAUACAUUCAAUACCGGUCCCAUCUAAAGAAAGCUUCCAUAAAUGCUCCAUAGGUUCCACAAAAUUCGGUAUCUUUUUAACGCUUGAGCAGCCAGAAAGAACUAGAACUUCAAGGUGCUCCAUUUCAAUCUCAUCCGGAAGAAGCUCGAGACUUUUGCAGUCUUUAAGAGUCAAGAAAGUGAGCUUUUUGAGAGUUCUUAUGGAAAAGUGAAUCUCAACUAGACUUUCGCAUCCUUCAAGAUCUAAUCUCUCAAGAUUCUGAAUCCCUUCAAAAUCAGGGGUUCCAGUCAAACUUUUGGAAUGACUAACUUUAAUGAUUUUCAACUUGUCAAAUUUCUGCAAUGUUUACAAGAAAUGAAGAAUAAUUAGAUCCAGAAAACUCAAAUCAGGUAAUGAAGUAUAUUCUACAUCAAGCAAGGUAAUAAUAUUAUAGAUGUAGCCAUAUACCUUUUCUCCAUUCCAGAGCUGUUUAAUUCUACUAUGACACAUAAUAAGUUCAACAAGCUCUGCCGGGUGGAAUCCUAAUGGGAGAUAUUGUAGAGGAUAACCUCUCCAUUCAAGAAAUCUCAAGGAAUUAGGGAGACGGUUUAGGCCUUCAGGAAGGCGCACGUUAUGGACUUUGAGCAAUCUAAGAUUAACCAUCUGAGAAAAAACUUCAGGAGGGCAUUCGACCUCUUCUGAGGUAAGCAAGUCUAGGACAAUACCUUCAACCGUCGAUGUCCCCUGAUAACCAAGAAUAAAUAAAAAAACAAGUGAAUUGCAGUAUAGUCUGCACAUUAUAAGUAAAGGAAGAUAAGUAAAACUAAUAGGUUUUUUUUUUUUGUGCUUUUAAUUGUUGGAUUAAUUUAUAUUUGAUGUAUUAGGUAAGCUCUUACCGUAUUUUCCUUCAAAACACGAAAGAUGUCCUUAGAAAGCCAUAAUCUGCUCCGUUCACCAGGUUCUUUAGAUUGUUGACCAACAAUUGCUUGACCCAUUUUUUGUAACAAAUCAUGCAUCAACACCAUGUUAUCUGAAAUUGUUAUCAGAGACUUCUUCACAAGGACAUCUAUGCCAAUACCUGGAUUAAAACCACAACCAUCUAGUAUUUCAACUACUCGAUCUUUGUACUCUCCUUUAAAGAAACAUGCGAUGUCAAGGAAAAUAUCUUUCUCUUGUGGAUCUAAACCCUCGUAACUUAUUAUAAGUGUCUUCAUAAUUUUUUCAUUAAAUAUUAAAUCAUCCCCUAGUUUACUUAAUUGACCUCUCCAUGCAUCUAGACCUCUUCCAUUCAAAAAUAACCCCAAGACUUCAAGAGCUAAUGGAAGGCCUUUGGCAUAACUCACAAAACUUAUAGACAGAUCCAUAUGACUUUUAGGCGGAUUGUCCCUUUUAAGGGCUCUCAAGCUAAACAGUUUAAGAGCGCCAACAUCACUCAACAACGGCACCUCAAAUCUUCUUUCUACACCAUGUGAAAUUAGAACCUGUUUAUCCUUAGUCGUAAUAAUGACUCUACUCCCUUGACCAAACCAAGCUGGGUUUCCACAUAGCUUUUCUAACUGAAUACUAUCGUCCACGUCAUCAAGAAUGAUGAGAACCUUUUUGUCACGUACGAAGUAUCUCAUUUUGGCGGCUUCACUGGGACUCCAGUCUUGUAUAUUUCUAUUCAUAAGGCUAUUGGAGAGCUUCCUCUGUAUACCGUCCAGACCGUGUGCCUUAAAAUCCUCGCUAACUCUGUCAUGAAAGCUUUUGACUUGAAAUUUAUGAAGAAUCCUCUGAUAAAAUGCUUUGGCAAUGGUUGUCUUACCUAUCCCACUCAUCCCCCAUAUUCCUAUAGAGAGAACAUCAUUUGACUCUUGUUCUAAAAGCACAUCAAGUUGCUCCAGUUUCGACUCCAUUUCAACCAGGUUUUCUGCAGGCUCCAAUGAUAUAGGACCUACUUCAGUUCGUACCUUUUCAACGAUUUCCUUGAUGAGCUCUGGUUCUUUCCUACAAGAAAAAUAUACAAUGUUCAAGAUAUGACCUAAUACACAUAGAAAUAAAAAAGUUAGAGACUAUUUUUGUUUUCGUCCACCUGAAGUCCUAGUAUCAAGUGGUCUCUGUGUCCAUUUAAUAAGAGGGUAGUUUGGUAUUGGACCAAAUUAGGGACGGUUUCGGAAUAGGGGAGGAUUAAAAAGCGCAGCAGUGUUGGAUUUAAAAGACAUGAAUUCUUAACCGGAGCAAUUUUUUCCCCUUAGAUUCUCAAAUGGACCAAAUAUAUGGUAAAAACAAAAGGUCCUCUAGGAUGGAACCGUAAGAAUAAAGUUAAACAAAGUCUACAAGGCCUAAAUGCUUCCUCAUUAAUUAGUUGUGCUGUCAUGGGAUUAAGUAGUUAUCAAGCACCUUCGUUACUGUCGUCGUACCCAGUGCACAAGGCUCCCGCUUUACGCAGGGUCUGGGAGAGGUGAAUGUCGGCUAGCCUUACCCCCAUUUAUGGAGAGGCUGCUCCCAAUGUGUGGGGGAUGCAACACGAGGACUUCCCAGGAGGUCACCCAUCCUAGUACUACUCUCGCCCAAACUCGCUUAACCUUCGUUACUGUGCAAAAAGUAAAUUAUAUGAAUUCUUCGAUUUUCCUAAAACUUAUCAGAUAUUCUUCAUGCAUCAGGAUUUGGCAGAAUUGUAUUGAACUCUAGCAAAACUCAACCGAAUUAUAGAAACAUUGCAAGAAUUGAGUGAAAAAAGAAGGAAUACUAACUUGUUAUUUGAAAUAGGCCCUUUGAUUUUUGCCACUAUUUUUAAGGCAGCUUUCCAUCCAUCCACCAUCUCUUUGUCAUCCUUAUACUCUUGUUCGAGUUUAGUGAAGCCAUUCCCAAAAAUCCCAGACCGAUCUCCAACAUCGGAGGGUUCCACUGAGUAGAAAACUGGUAUAGCUGCCCGUCUCUCUUCCAUGCAUUCAAGAAUCUUUACGAGUUCGUUCAGGCACCAUUUUGAAGAAGCGUAAUCUGGAGAGAUGACAACGAUGGCAAGCCUCGACCUUGCAAUUUCCGGGAAGAGAUCAGAAAUUGGGCUUCCUAUUUGAAGUUCGUCAUCAUCCAAGAAAGUUCUUGUAAUUCCUUGUUCUUUCAAUUUAUCAUGUAGAUGGGCGGUAAAACCUAAGCGCGUGUCUGCACCCCUAAAACUCAAAAAGACAUCAUAUUUCCAUUCAAGAGCUGAAGGAAGAGAUGAAGUGGCUCGUUGGGUGCUCGAUGCCAUUGAAACAAGCUAACUGGAUACGGUGGCAUAGCAGCAAUUAAUAUGGUAUUAGUUUUUCAAGCAAUCAUCAUAAAAUUAUUUGCAAAAACAUGAAUAUAUAAAUUGACUUGUGACCAGAAAAACAAUUCAGCAUUCAUAAAAUUAUAUUAGGCAAUAACAUGAAUCAGAAAGAUGAGCAAUAACCUGGGUGUAUGUAGAAAACGAAGUCACAGAUCAAGUCAGAGGGGUCAUGAGAGGAGCUGAAGAUCCGUCAGAAAAAAGGAAACACUGUCUCUGUGUACUUGCUACAAGUCUCUCUGUAUGUCGUCGUCAACGAAACUUCACCGCGUAAGCUUGAUGGACGUGAUUCAACUGCUUCUUCUAUCCGACGGUCAAACCGCGUAAGCUCUAUUUUCCCUCUUUUUUAUUUUUAUUUUUUAUUUUAUUCGUUUGGUGAACUGUAAGCUCCAUUAUUUUAUUUUUGCGUGGCUCCAUUAUUAUUUUUUGGCCAAAUUGGAUUGUUCAUCCCGUAGCCAUAAGACACUUGCAUGAUGACAUCCGUGGUGAAAAAAUUAGGAAUUAAACCUAUGUGGUCUAGAAUGUUAGCAAAUUUAGUCCAAAAGUAAGAUUUCUGUUAAAGGACUGUUAAAAGUUGGGGUAAAACUGUAUUUUCAGUUCCAAUUGACAUUUAAAAUAAAUAAUUUUUUUAUAACAAUUAACAAAAAAAAUAAUGCUUAAUUUUUUAAAUAAAAAAAAAUACAGUUUCUAAAACUGUAUUGGAACUGAAAAUACAGUUUUACCCAUACUUUUAACAGUCAUUUAACAGAAAUCUUACUUUUGGACUAAAUUUGCUAACAUUCUUAACCACAGGGGUUUAAUUCCUAGUUUUUUCACCACAGAGAUCAUCAUGCAAGUUUCCUAUGACCACAGGAAUGAACAAUCCAAUUUGGCCUUAUUUUUUAUACUAAUGCAGAGCACACCAUAGUUGAAUGUUUCUAACAAACACAAAAUUUAAUUGCAAGCACUUCUUUUUCUUCCAGAAACACAAAAUUUAAUUUUCUUUAAGUUGACCCAGUGCGUUCACUUAGACAACAGUGUUGUUUGAAUAAAAAUAACUCUUAACAAAAACUUUUUUAUGGCAAACCAGAAAUACACCUGAAGCUUCUUGAACUACAUUAUGUGGAAUCAACACACUUAAAUUUAUUUAGAGUGUUAUAAACUCCUUUAAAAUAUUGAUUGUUCAAACCGAUCAUUUUGAAGCGCUAACUUAUUAGUAAGCAAAUACGUUUCUAGCUACACGUUUGAGCACAUUUGCAAGAUUCAUGAUUAUCCAAACCGAUCAUUUUGAAGGCCACCAUUGAAUAAGGAUUAUUCGUGUAAAAUCUCACUCAAAUUGAGCAUUGCUUAGCUAUCUAGCUAAUGGCAACACUAUAAGCAAACGAACAUGGUAAAUAAUAAAGAAAAUCAAAGGGCUCAAUCAUUCCAAUUUAGGUAAUUUUUGCAAGAAUGAUUUUGUAUUGAUUUUUAUUUUUUUUCUUCAGAAAACUAUUAAUCAUCAAAGUCCCAAGGGAGGGCGAACAAGAAACCAAAUCAGCAGGCCAAACAAAGGACCGUGGGCACUGCCGUUACACACUUCUAACAGAACGCAAAGAACCUUCCGACGUAUGCCUCAGCCUUCACCCGGCAACGAUUUCUGGCGAGCAACCGGGCAAGAAGAGAGAUGCUACAUCUCCAGAGACAAUGCUACUUGUAAAGAGGAGAGGACUAACCCACAAGUUAUGACAAACCUACCAAUAUUAAAUUUCAACAUCUCGAGUCCAUGUGGUUGGUACGACAAUUUGAUCCAUACAUACAUACAUACAUACAUACAUACAACAAAGACACACAAGAAAGAAAAAUUUGGCCAACCGUUAAAAACAAACCGAGAUCAAAGAAAUCAAACAAUAAGGUACAUCAAUACAUUAAAUUAUAUGCAAUGCCUGCUGACAUCUCGGAAAUAUACCAACUAAACAGCAUAGACAAACCAAAACUGAAAAAGUUCCUACCAAUAUUUAUUUAGCAACAGGUAAUCUCAUGAUCUCAUGUGUAAGUGAGGAAC
rnacentral:lncRNA from 1 species